rnacentral:lncRNA from 1 species
AACAUGGGGUUUCCAAUGGCCUCUCUUACUCUUACUACUCUUGCAUUAACCUUAAUCUCCCUCACCUUCUCAUCUCACACAUUGGCUGACAACUACAUCUACUCAUCUCCUCCACCACCACCAAAGCCUUACUACUACCAUUCUCCUCCACCACCACCACCAAAGCAUUCUCCUCCUCCUCCAUAUUACUACCAUUCUCCACCUCCACCAAAACAUUCACCUCCUCCUCCCUAUUACUACCACUCUCCUCCACCACCAAAGCAUUCUCCUCCUCCCCCAUAUUACUACCACUCUCCACCUCCACCAAAGCAUUCUCCUCCUCCACCCUACUACUACCACUCUCCUCCACCACCAAAGCACUCACCUCCUCCUCCAUAUUACUACCAUUCUCCACCACCACCAAAACACUCUCCUCCUCCUCCCUAUUACUACCACUCUCCACCUCCACCAAAGCACNUAUUACUACCAUUCUCCACCACCACCAAAACACUCUCCUCCUCCUCCCUAUUACUACCACUCUCCACCUCCACCAAAGCACUCUCCUCCUCCUCCCUAUUAUUACCACUCUCCUCCACCACCUAAGCACUCACCUCCUCCACCCUACUACUACCACUCUCCUCCACCACCAAAACACUCACCUCCUCCACCUUACUACUACCACUCUCCACCACCACCAAAGAACCCACCAUACAAGUACUCAUCUCCUCCACCACCAGUUUACAAGUACAAGUCCCCUCCUCCUCCCUACAAGUACCCAUCUCCUCCUCCUCCACCGUACAAGUACCCCUCUCCACCACCGCCAGUUUACAAGUAUAAAUCUCCUCCACCCCCAGUUUACAAAUACAAGUCUCCUCCUCCUCCUUACAAGUACCCAUCUCCUCCACCACCACCAUACAAGUACCCUUCUCCUCCACCACCAGUAUAUAAAUACAAGUCUCCUCCUCCUCCAGUUUACAAGUACAAGUCCCCCCCUCCUCCCUACAAAUACCCAUCUCCUCCACCUCCCCCAUACAAAUACCCUUCUCCUCCACCACCGGUUUAUAAGUACAAGUCUCCACCACCACCGGUUUACAAGUACAAGUCUCCACCACCACCGGUUUAUAAGUACAAGUCUCCACCACCACCGGUUUACAAGUACAAGUCUCCACCACCACCGGUUUAUAAAUACAAGUCUCCACCACCACCGGUUUACAAGUAUAAGUCUCCACCACCACCGGUUUACAAAUAUAAGUCUCCACCACCACCCUACAAGUAUCCUUCUCCACCACCCCCAGUCUACAAAUACAAGUCACCUCCACCACCAGUUUACAAGUAUAAGUCACCACCACCACCCUACAAAUACCCAUCUCCUCCACCGCCACCCUACAAGUACCCAUCUCCACCACCCCCGGUUUACAAAUACAAAUCCCCUCCACCCCCAGUUUACAAGUAUAAGUCUCCCCCUCCUCCUGUUCAUUCACCACCUCCACCACACUACAUCUACGCAUCCCCGCCUCCUCCAUAUCACUACUAGAUAGUGCUUUUGCAUAGUGUUGUUCCUCGUGGUAAUCUUCUACACAAAACCUACAUUAUCGUAAUAAUCAUGUAAUUAAUAUUUACGUUAAAACUCUCUUUACAUGCAAUCACGUGCAAUCUAUUAGGGUAAUGUUCUGCCUAAGUUGCAGUUUACAAAGUUAUCCGCAGUAUUUGACGUUAACACUCUUUUUUGUUUCGAUCGAACAGUACUUUCAUUUUCUUUUUUAAAUUUCAAAAUUUUAAAUUUUGACUGUUGACCAUAGUAAUCAUGGUUUCAACUUCCAUUUUUUUUAAUUAAAUUUUUGAGAAGUUUAAGGCAAUUUUUUUGUUUAUUUCAUGUUUAUUAGAAACAAAUUAUGCAUAUUCUUUUAAGCGUACUUUUAUUAUUCUUAAAAGAUGUUAAUCUUUUAUCUUUUUCAAAGCUUUGAUCGCCGACCUACCUUUCAAAGGUAUACCACCUCCACAGUACUACAAUUUCUUACUCGAAUUUAACACCGUAUACAGUAUCGUAUGUUUUUUACUUACAUGUAACAUUUUGCGUAUAUAGUUAUAAAUAGUCAGUCUAUCAACACUUCUCAUUUUUUUUUUCUCACACAUAAUAUUAUUAAUUAUAUUAGAUACAUAUUUCUCUUUCCUUAGAUAACUAAAGAGUGUUGGAGUUUUUUUUUUCUUCGUGUACAUACAUAUUUUAAGGAUAAAAAUCCAAAACCAAAGGGGAAAAAAAGUAUAUUAAUAAUCUAAAUAACAACCAUUUUACCUGCAUUACUAUAUGAGGGAGAAAUAUUUCCUCAUAUUUGAUGACAUUAUUGUGGGAAUAACUAGUGAAAGGGACUGUAGACUAUUAUGUUAACCAUGUGCAUGUACUUUGUAGGUUAUUUAUGAAGAAUAUGUGCCAAUAAAGAACGUUGUUGAUAGAAAGAAGAUGCAUUUUGCAUUCCCACAAGGAAAACAACGGAAGCAAAGUUUCCGAGCGUUUUGUCUCAUAAGAAGAAAGACGUGUGUCAAUCCUUUUCUUUUUCGUUUGUAUUGUUCAUCCAUUAUUAUUGUAUUUUUAUACAGUUGUAAGGCACUUCUUUGCUUUCUCUAAUUGAACAUCACAAGAAUGCAUUUUGAUUGUGACGCAAAUUUAAUAAUAAAUAAAAAAUAAUGCUUUCUCCCUUGCUCUUUGUAUAUUUUUUAGACCAAUUCUAAAAUAUAUUUUUAGUGUUUUCAAUAAUACUAGUUUGAUUUACAGAUAAUAAAUUGGUAGUUUAUAUUUAAUCCAACUUCUUAUGUACUAAUAAUUGUUGUUUUAUUAUUAUAUUAAAUGAAGUCUUCGAAAUUUAAUGUUUAGAGUCUUCUCUUUUAGUCACGUUUAAAUUUUGUGGUCACGAAUAAAAAGUAGUAUCGAUUACAAGCAUGCUGACGAUGUACGGACUUGUCAUCUUGUCAUUGACAUUUUCGUCCGUAUAUUAUGCAUACAAUUCUUUCAACAAUAAAAGAUAUUAUAUUUAAUAUGAAAUUUGAAUAUUAUAACAACAAAUUAACAAUAAGUAUAUUAAGAUAAUUAUUAUUCGAAUAGUAUUGCAAAGUGAAAAUUAAAAAAAAAAAUCUUGGGAUAGUGUAAAUUUAUAGUAAUCUUUAACAAAUUAUAAAUGUAAAAGAGAAAGUAAUAUACUAGUAAAAAAAAGACUUUUUAACUUGUUUAUUUAAAAACACGUGAUGAUAUUUUUGUAAUUUUUGUAAACUAAUAGAUAUUGGUUAAAAAAAUAGAAGUUAUAAUGUAUUUUUGACAAUGAUUAUUCUCACAUCCGCUACCAUAUGGUCUUGCAAAUCUAAUAUUUGAAGACUUUUUAAUUGACAAGCUUUUUGUAUAAGACUUAUGGUCUCAAUUCUCUACAGAGCCACAAUCAUAGGGAUUGUGAAAUUGACAAUUUAAGACAUUUAAACUAGCAAGCUUUUUGGACAGGACUUUAGGCCUCGGUUCUCUAUAGAACCGAUGACAUAGAGUCCCGACAUUCCCAUUACAGGAAGAAUUUUGAAUUGACAAGCUUUCUGGAAAUGACCUAUGACCUCGGUUUUAUACAGAACUGCUGUCAUAGGGUCCUGACGUUGUAGGUUGUCUUUUCAAUUGGUAACCAUAUGGACAACUCUAAGGUCUUGGUUGUUUUGAAAACCAAUCCCAUAUAACUCUUUAUGUUUCAGUUAUACCGCAAACCAAGGCAUAAAGUUUGAAACAAAUUGUAAAAACUUCAUUGAAAAUUUUAUUUUUUAUUUUUUCGGAAGGCUUUAGGCAGCAGUUCUCAAUAGAACCGAGGCCAUAAAGUCCUUAUUGUUUCAGUUAAUAGAAUAACCGAGAUAAUAUGUGUUUUUAGGGUUAUAUUUUGCAAAAUAACAGAGCCUCCCAUUGCAUAUUUCUUCUUCACUUUCUCUUCACUUCUUCUUCUUCUCUACUCAAACCCUUAUACGACAGCUUUUACCGACCAACAUAAUUAAUUUUUCUUUCAUACAUAAAUGUUCGUUAAUUAACUACUUUAAGGAUGAUUUUCUUUUGUUUUGAUCGAUUGUUACAUGUAUAGGUACUCUUUCAUUUUGAUCGAUUACCAUUUUCUCUUGUUUUUGGGUUUAAUGAACUUUCGUUUUCGUUUUUUGAUCUCGUUUGUUGUUCAUAUAUCAUAGCUAAAACUGAGAAUAUAUUCAAAAGAACUUCAAAUGACUUGGAAAUUUAUUCAAAGCACCAAAAUACUAUAAAAAAAAGCUCCCACAAAAAGUUUUGGAUCAAUGUGUAAAUAUGUGAAAUAUUUUUGCAAAAUUUUAAAAAACCAAAAUAAAUUGACUAAAAAUAGAAAACGACUAUUUUUUUUUAAAUCUAGAAGGAAUACCCAAUUACGUGGGCUACCACGGUAUUGAAAAUUUUUUUUCUACUCCAAAUCAAUACAUAAUAUGGCCAAAUCGACUAACCGAAGAAAAUGUUAUGGUUGUUUAAAGAUAUGUGACAACUUUUUUUUAUAUAAUUUAAGGGUCUAUGACAACGUUUCCUAAGAGAAACGCUACCAAAAACCUUUUUUUUUUCUUUGCUUACUACUUCGAUUCUUUUGAACUAAGGCAAAAUCAUGACCCUUUUUUUCUUAAGCUAUAAAUCGAGGCCAAAACCUUCCCUUUUUUACCUCGUCUGAAUAUACCUCGAUUGGAAAAUCACUGCCAAAUGUAAAAAAGAACCACUGUUAUAACCCUGCGCUACAAUAGUGAUUGUUUUCCUCCUAAAAGGUGAAUCCUUUCAUCUUCUCAAUGUGAAAAGAUGAUAUGCAAUAAAGCGUUUUAUAAUUAUGUAAAAAUGAAAGAGCAUAGAAAGGGAAAUAGAUAACAAAUAGAGAAGAGUGAAAGUGGAAAAGGACAUAAAAAGAAAACAAAUUUAAAGUUGUUUUUCUUCCUCGUCUUUCAAAAUGAUCUCUCCUUACUCCUUUGUUCGAGAUGUCUCCUUCUUCGAAUGAGGCGUGAAUGCCUGCAAAAACUUAAAUGCCCAAUCCUUCUUGGAAAUCGUUUUCUCCACUUGUAACCUUCUCCGACAAAAUAACUCCAUGUUGAUACUCCUUAUAGCUAAAGUCUUCUUGCAACCCGUCCAAUUUAGAGCCCUCAGAUAAUGUCCUUGGUUCCUUCGUUGGAGUUUCUAUCAAAGGCUAUACUCCCUAAAUCACCACAUAUGUAGUUGUAUGGUUUGAUUUUCGAUGAUUGAGAUUUCUUCUGAAGUGUAACCAUAUAUAUGCUUCCACUUAUUUUGAUCUCUACUUUCUCACUCUCACAUACUCUAGAUUGUCCUAGUUGAGUUGUUAUUAGUGUAAACGUAAAUGAGGAGUUAUUCACAACAUAUUUUAUGAGUAGUUGUGUUUUGAUGUUUUAGGACAGCAAAAGCCAGGAGUUUAAUGUGUUAUGUUUUGGAUUGUAAUGGUCAUUAUAGUGUCAUGUUUUAUUAUCAUUGGCAUAAACUAUAGCUUGGAAGUGAAAAACCAAAUUUAUGUCCUAUAAAUUAUAGUGUAUUGUCGAUAGGAAAUACAGAAGUAAAGGAAGCUAGAUUAUUCAUAAAAUAAUGCUUUGUUAACAAAGUGGUAUCAAGGCCAAUUAGUUUAAGCUUUUGAGAGAAAAAAUAGAGUAAGAGAUAAGUAUUCUUGCAAAUAGCGUGCCCCUACCCAAGUUGACAAAAGGAGUUAACUAUGACAUUUGGAGCUUUAAGAUGAAAGCUCUCCUUGGCUCCUAAGAAAAUUGGGAGGUGGUGGAAAAUGGUCAUGUAGAAUCAGAAAACACCAUAAAUUGGUCAAAUUCCUAGAUGAUUGUGUUGCAAAAAUCACUUAUGAAAGACAAGGCAACUAUGUACAUCUUGUACUGAGCUGUGGACGAGUCCAGCUUUGAGAAGAUUGCAAGUGUAAAAACUUAAAAAGAAACAUGGGAGAUUCUAGAAAAGACGUAUAAGGGAGAUGACUGAGUGAAAAGGGUGAGGCUUUCAACACUCAAAGGAGAGCUAUAGAGCAUGAGAAUGAAAAAGAUAGAGGGAGUAGUUGAGUACAUCACUCGAGUAGAAACUGUGGCAAACCAACUUGAUAGAAAUGGAGGAGUUGCCUACUAGCUGCAUGGUGGAGAAGAUUCUAAGGUCAUUGAUUGACAACUUUCGAAAUGUGGUGUGUGCUACUGAGGAGUUCAAGGACCUAUCAACAUUCACAUUUGAAGAACUUGUCGGGUACUUUGAAGUGCAUAAGUAGCGAAAGAAGAAGAAGAAGGUGGAGUCACUUGAAAAUGUGCUUUAAUCAAGCAAAUGAAAAGACCAAGGAUGUACUGGAGAUGGUUGUGGUGGCCUAAUUCGAGGAGAACAGGAGGAAGAAAGAAAUCAAUUUGGCCAAUAAAAUUGACAUGUACACUAAGGUCGGUGGAGAGGAGGUCUAUUAAGAACCUCAAAUAGUGAGAGCUUCAAAUGUGAUAAGUAUGAUCACUAUGCAAAUGGUUAUAAACUAGACAAAUGUUACAGUUGUGGCAAGGUCGAUCACUUUGCAAAAGAGUGCUGAUCUCAAAAUAGGAGGGAUGAACAAACCAAUUUUCUCAUAAAGGAAGUUGAAUGAAGAAAAUGAAUUUUUAUGUUGUUGAUGCCAUAAAGCUCAGGAACCGACCAUAAAUUGAUUACUAGCUUGGACAAAACAACGAAGCUGUUAAACUCGGUAGUGCAACCAAGUUGUUCGAUCAAGUCGACAUAGUACAAAGGUAGCAACCAUAUGUACGAAGACGAGAAAUUUUCAAAGGCUUUACUGAGAUUGAUGUCGGCCAUGUGUCCUUUGGAGAUGAUUCAAAGGUAGCAAUAAAAGGCCUAGGAAUAAUUUAGUACUCAGAAGGAUGACCAAGUUGGGAAUAUUCGAGACGUGUAUUGUAUACCUAAUCUCAAAAGCAAUAUUCUUAGCAUGAGAUAACUAACAAUUGCUUCAUUGAUGGCCACUAAAGUUCCAAUCUUGACCCCACCUUUAUAAGGCAUAGUCUAUUCCAAAGAGAGUUUCUACAUAAAAUAAUAACAUUAUAGUAUAUGAGACUCCUAUUUUUAAGAAUUUCAGGAUAGGUCGAAUACAAAUUUUUGGACAUAACACCAAUGAAAAAUUUAUUUUUGAUAUAUUAUUUCUCUUCUACGUCCAAGCUUUUAUUUGUGUCAUAAAAAAUGUUUCUCACAAUUUCUUUGCUUGUUUCUACACUUAGGAUAUGAACAAACUUCGUGGAUAUAAAAUCUAAAAAUUUCUAAAAGUAAUGGAGGAGUCAAGUGACAUUUAACUCAUGAUAUUAAUUGCAGUCAUGAUUAAUUUGUAAUAAAUUCUCGAAAUAUUUUUGGGAUUUUUUUUCAAAUUUUCAUGUAAGAUUUUUGAGGAUUAAAUUCAAUUUCAAAAUGGCCUAGUCAUGGGAGGUAAUUAAUGAAAUAAAAAUAUGAAAUUUAUAAAAAAUGAAAGAUAUUACAAAACUUAAUAAUUAGAAUACCAAUAAAAUAACAUCAUAAUGUUACUAUUUCUUUAAGAUUGAAAAUAAUAUUCUCUCAAGGAGUAUUUUGUUCUGAAUAGUGAAUAAAAACUUAGAAGAUAAAGAAUGUUAUGUAUUAAGUUUGAUUUUAUAAAAGCAAUAUUGAUAUAAAAUUUGUUUAUCUCAUGUGUUGAUUUCUCAUAUCUUUAAAGGAAAUGCAUUGAGAAAGAAAUGAUAAGAUACAUGAAGGAGAAUAUUAAGACUGCCACUAUUCUUGUUUGAAAAGAUACACGUGCAAUUAUGAAAUUAGACUAUGAAAAAACAUAUGGUUCAAUUAGAUAGGAUUUCUUAUAUCAUAUGAUACAACAAUUUAGAUUAUGUGGAAAAUGGAUUAGAUGGAUAAAUGGUUGUUUAACAUAGUCAAUAAAAUCAAUCCUAGUCAAUGGUAGUCCAACACAAAAUACAAGCCAAUAAGAUGUCUUAGACAAAAAUACCCUUUAACACCUUCUUUAUUGAUAAUAGUUGCAUAAGGCUUAGUAGGGAUGAUUAGACAAGAUGUGAAAAAACAAAUUAUACAAAAGUAGGGAGAAAAGAAACCACACUAAAUAUGCUGCAAUUUGUAGAUGAUACAUUGUUUACUUCCAAGGUAGACACUACAAACAUAAUGAUAAUUGUUGAUGCUUUAAUACAAUCAAUUUUUCCAACAAGUAUACUAGGUAGUUUGUAGAACAACAAGGGUCGUAUCUAUAGGAAUUUGGCAUAAUACGCAUGGUUUUAAAGUAGUUUGACUUAAUGAAAUGGUAAAAAGAUGGAUGAGAAGUGUGAAAAUAGAUUUCAUACAAGGAAAUAAAGUUGAUUUAAAGAGUAACAAGCUACAAAAAUAGUUUUGAUCAAAAAGUUAACUUCAAGAUAAUAAAGACGUGUUGAAGCUAGAUUUCACCACUUUGUACCUCUCUUUUAAUGAUUUAGUUUUUAUUUAUAAAGAUGCAAUUAAUCAUGUCUUGGGAGUUCUUUUGAAUGAUACUCUAGGUCCAUUCCUGACACAUAGAGCCUAAGACUACAAAACUUCAGUAUGAUUCCUUAAUGAUUGCUUGAAUGAACCAAUUUGCAUUAAGUUUGGAACUUUAUGAUCAGCUAGAGCCUUAGAUCUAUUCCUAGCAUUUAAAAGUUGAAGAACAAUUAAUUGGACCAUAACUUUGUUGAGUACAAACAAAGUCUCACAUCGAAUAAAAUAAGAGAUGGACAUGAGUUUAUAUACAUAUAAGAUACUUCCAUUGGUAAGAGGCCUUUUGGAGUGGUACCAAAAGCAAAUCCGUGAGGGCUAGGCCUAAAGCGGACAAUAUCUUACCAGUGUGGAGACUUAUGUGUGUGUUGAACCUCCCUACAAACUUGGCACCAGUUCCCACUCAAUCUCAAGCUAGUGAACUAAGGAGUGACUAGUUUAUCCAAAAAUAUAUAAACUAAUUUACAAACAUGUAAUAAAAGCAUACUUUGAUAGAUAAAACAAUACCAAUACAAGAAAGUUUCAAAGGGUUACAUCUUUACUCCAACACUUAAGUGUAUAAGAAGCUCUAUAAAAAUUAUGUGUGCAACUCUGUUUUUAUAAACUAUCCAAGGUAUGGCAUCAAUAGUGCACUUGUGGCUCCAAUUGCAAAGAUUUCCUUCCAAGAUUAGUUUGCUUUUGUGGUUCAAAUCUCAUGCUUUGGUGUUAUAUAGCACUUUGAGAUAACUUCUUUGAGAAGACGUCUUUGUGGCUUAACCUUAGGUUGCUUGAGGUUUCCUCCUUGUGGAGGUUUUGUUGUAUGACUCAAGCCUCAACUUUGCUACUGUAACGCCCCGGCAACUUACAGGGACUGUUGACUGCCCCCACACAUCACCACGAGACUUUCCAGUGUGUUUUGUCCUCACUCACACACUUUCCGGGAAAACUUCCCGGAAGGUCACCCAUCCCAGAAUUUCUCCAGGCUAAGCACGCUUAACCAUGAAGUUCUUAUGGGUUAGGCUUCCAAAAAGUAAAUGCAUUUUGGUGAUAUGGGUAGCCAAAUCAAUUCCUUUAAGCUAUCCUUCAACUGUAUAGUCCUAUACCUAUACAGUCUCCAGAUCCCUCUCAUUCUGGUGUAUGUUCGAUUCGUCCAUGUGUCCCUUCAACUAGAAGCCUACCAGGAGUCGCUCCUUGUCUGUGCCCCCUGCACCAUGCCUCUUGCACCGGCGAUCACUCCCCGCCCUCGUCAGUGAUCGGGUGUCACAGCUACUCAACUACACUGGUGUUAGUGUUUUUCCAGAAUUACUUGAAUUUUCAUCCAUUUCCUUUAUUUUUCCACUUUGACUCUAUGGUGAUAUCAAGAACUACAAACACAAGUAAAAAUGCAGUGAUUUAAACAAAAGUUUAACAAAAUUAAAGUAAAAUAAGAAGAUGUUUUGAGUUAGCGUCCGAGUUUAAAGUGAUUUUUCCUAAUAGUAAAAUUGAAGGAAUGAGAGUAUAUGUGAGUGAAAUAAAUAUCUUUUAAGUGAUUCUUAAUUGUGGAAUAAUGACUAUACCAUUUAUAUAUUCAAGAAUGUAUAUGGGAGGAAAUCCAAAGAAAUUAAACAUUUGGCAACUAGUGAUCAACAAAAUAAAAACUAGAUUAACAAAAGGGAAGGGUGGGUAGGUAUCAUUUGUAGGAAGGGUAUGUCUAAUUAAAUAUAUAAUAACAACAUUACCUUUGUGUUAUAUGUCAUUGUUUAAGGUGUAUGUGAAGAGAUUAUGAUAAUACAAAGGAAAUUCUUUUGGGGCUGGGAAAUAAAGGGUAGAAGAAUAACGUGGAUUCAAUGAAAAAUGUUGUGUCAGGAUAAGGAAGAGGGUAGAGUAGGGAUUAAAGAUAUCAAAUUAUCUAAUAUAAGUUUACUAGGGAAAUGAAAGUGGUGAUUAGGAACAUAAAAAGCGGGGUUGAGAAAGGAUAUAAUAGAAUCUAUGUAUAUAGAUCCGUGAAAAGUCUUAAUGAUGAAGAAAAUUGUAAAGGAGAAUCUUGGUAGUAGUGAGACCUAAGGAAAAGUUAUGGUUCUAUAGAACAAAGUUGGUUUAAUAAGAAUAUGAAAUGAGGGAUUGGAUCAAGAGCUAGAAUAAAAUUUUGAAAGGAUAAAUGGCUCGAGGAAAUGACAUUAGAAACUCAUAUCCUAGACUAUAUGCAAAAUUAAAAUAUGAAACAAAUAACAUUGGAAGAGGUAGGAAAAUGGACCAAAACAAGUAAGUGGGAGUGGAACAUGAGUUCUAGUAGACAAUUAUUUGAAUAGGAAAAACCAUAAUUAUUAACACUAAUGACAAAAAUUUCCAAAAUCUCAUUUAGUAAGGAAAGGAAGGAUACUUCGGUAUGGGAUGGUGAAGAUGGUGACUUCUAUACAUAUACCCAUAGGGUCUGAUAAUUAAAGAAAUACAAAUUUUCUUUACACACAACUAUGUGACACCAAAGAUCGACACCAUGGCGGCAGGCUUAAGACUCGACUUUAGGCAUACUGAGCCUGAGGGGCUACUGUAUCAUAUAUGUUUGAGGACAUCGUGACCUUUUAUGCUUAGAUGUACUUAGACCUAAUAAUAUGAACCUACAUCAUAAUGGCAUGGCUGACUACACAUCGGUCAAGGUAACCACUGUAGACGGUGUUGAUUAUUCCAAAAAUGAAUCAAGGAAAUUAGCUACGUGGAUCAGGCCCAUCUAGGUAAAAAGCCCAUAUAUCAUAAUAUAAAUAGCACAAUAUAAAAAGGUACACAAUUACGUUCAUGAAUCACCAUAUUUACUGUCAUAUGAUGCACUUGAUUGACUUGAGCAUUAUAGUGUUUUCUGCAAACAUAACAUUUGGUGUGGAGAGAAUGAGUACUUUGGAGAUGAUGAAUACCUAAUUAUCCAAUGCAGAAUGUGUUGUUGAAGUUAGGAGUACUUAGAAUUAAAAUCUUUGCAGUAUAUAUUCGACUCUAUAAGAACAAUAUAGUUAAAGAUGUUCAUAACAAGUUGCAAGAUAAGAACAAUGGGGUUAUAAAGGCAUUACCCACUACCCAAUAUUUUUCAUGGAAAGUUAUGCUAAAUAAACUAGCAACUAAGGAUAAAUUAAAACGAAUGGGAAUUUCAUGUUAUUUGAAUUGUUACCAAAUUUUCACAUUUAUUUUGUGUUGUUAAUUUAUGUUAAUUAGACUCAAUUAUUACUUGUGACCGAGCGGUUUGUAGUUAUAACCGUUCGGUCGUGUACUUUCUGUUUUGGUUUUGGUUGUCGUUCGGUUUUUAACUAGUGUUCGGCUUGUAUUGGCCUCCUACUGUUAAUGACCGUUCGGUCUUGGGUGUUAAUGUGUUACUGUUGUUUUGAUUGGCUGUAUAUUAGCAUGUAUUUGUUGUUUGGGGAAAAAAAUUUACAUCUCGAAGGUUUUUUAGACCAUUUUCUCUCUGUCUUUUAUCUGUUCACUCUUUUUCUUUUGCCAUCUGGAUUUUUUUGUUUAUCUGUUUCACGCAAACCCAACAAUUUAAGCUAUUUUUGAUUUUUUUUUUCAUAUGAUUCGAGUAGGUUUCAAAAUUUUUGUAAGUUGUUUUUCUAGUAAUACUAUUUUCGUUUCAUCUCAUCAUUUUCAAAACUAAAUAAUAAAAUAUACUUAAACUUCUUCUUUACGUUUGUUGAAGUCAAAUGUCUGGUAAUAUCAACAUAAUUGUUUUCUCAAAAUAUGUUUUUUAAUCGGAGUGUUUAGUUUCUAUGAAUUGAAGAGAUUUUAUAUAAUAUUUUCAUUCCACUCAAACAAAUCAUUGAGGUGGCCACUCGAUUCAUAACUUUUUUUUUUUUUUAUAAAUUACUUAAUCAUUUGUCAUUUAAAUAAUAAUAUAAUAUAUUAAUUAUAAUCAUAACAAAUUGGAAAGCGAUUUGAAUUAUUUUCAUGUCCUGAGCAAAAGUUUGUGUAUUUUUUUCUCCGUUUUCCUAACAUAUUUGGACCCAAUACAAACAUGAUUGAGACGUGGCAAAUGCAUUGUCAUGCAAUAUUUUCUUUAUAAAAAUUUCUGGGACUUGACCCUUUGGGUACGUGAGAAUUGGGUUUAUUUUGAUCUUUCAUUUUCAUUGAUUCUGUUUUGCAAAUGAAAUGAACUUCAAUGUUCACGUUUUUUGCUUUCUUAUAUUCUAGAAAAAGUUUUUUCUUUUUUUCUAUUUCUUAUAUGAUUAGAGACGAUAAAAUGGUAGAAGGGAUUAGUAUCUUAAUUACUUUUAAAAAAAAAAUUAAAUUAAAAGGUUUAUAUAUUAUUGGUAAAGGUUUAUUACUUUUUUUUAUUAAUUUACUAAAAAUGUAAAAAAAAAAAUGAAAUUGUCUCCUUUUGCUUUUGCUUUUCUUUCAUUUUCCAACUUUCCGAUCAUGAUUUUGAAUCAAAAUUUUCAGGUCUAUUUUUAUAAACUGGUGGUGUAAUCGAUCACAAUAGAUCAAAUUGAUUCAUUUCGUUAUAUUUAAUUAUAAUAAUGCAAAAGUUAUUUAUGUUUUGAUUACGUUAGAAACAUAUAUUUAGAACAUAAAACCCAAUACUGUUUAUACUAUUAAUAUAUAUCUGAUAAUCUGAGAUGCUUUUCUUUUUUCACCAAAUUCAUUUUUUCUUCCUAACAUUCUGACACUAAAGAGUAGAAGCCAAAGAUGUUGAAACAAAAUGUACAUUAUUAAUUGUAUGAUUAAAUAUGAAACAUCUACGAAAGCUGGAUUAUAAAAGAUUUGUUAGGUCGAAAUGAUAACGAAGCAUAAUAUGAGAAAUAAAAGAAAAUAAUGUUAUUAUAUUGUUUUUAAUAACUACUGAUGCUGACUCCAUCACGCACAUUAAUCAUAAACGAAAAUUUUGAGAACAUUUUUGAAUUUUGUUAGUAAAAUGAAGCAGUUAGCUUCUUUUAUUGAAAUAAAUAUUACUUUUUCAGAUACAUUAUAGUACUUAGAAAAGUCAGUGUGAACAACCAAAAUAUAUAUGUCAAGAAUUUAUUCUUCAUCUUUGGAAUUGGUUUCACACUGACCUUAGAGAAGUCUAAAUGACAAGUUUCACGUUAAGAUAAUUGGUUAUUGCAAUUUAACCAUUAAAAUUUGUUUUAUAUUUUCGUAGAUUGUUUUAUAUUUAGUAAUGUAGUGAAAUGAUAUUUUGAUUUCCAAUUCUUAUGAAACAAUCAAAUAACAACUAUUUUUAACUGUAAAAAAUAAUAAAUUGAGGUUAAUUAUAAUUGUUUACAAUAACAUAAUAUAUUUUCAACAUAAAUAUUUAUAAAAGGAUAAUGAUAUUUAGAUAACAUUUUUUUGACAACAUUUGACCAUUGAUUACGUGUCAAUAUGUGAUUGAUAAAAAAUUACUCAACAAUAAUGUUUAUGAUUAUUAGUAUUAUGGAUAAUGAUAUUUAGAAAACAUUUUUUUGACAACAUUUGAACAUUGAUUAUGAUUAGUCAAAAAUUACUCCACAAUAAUGUUUAUGAUUAUUAGUAUUGAUUGUGAAGUAAUUUUUGACCAAUUACAGAUUGACACGUAAUCAAUGUUUACAUGUUGUCAAAAAAAGUUGUCUAAAUAUCAUUAUCCUUUAUAAAAUUGUUGUAUAUGUUGGUACGGAUGUGAAUCAACACCGUUCCUGUAUCCAUAAUCUUUCCAACAAUUUGUUUCACUUCUCAAUAUUCCAGAAAUUUUAAUAUUGUUCAUAGAAGUUGCUACUUGAUGAGAUACACAUGAAAAAUAUGGGGUGCAUAAAGAAAUAGCUCAAGAGAUCAAAGAAACAUCUUCGUUUACUUUUUCCACGUAAGAGCCUGAUAUCGAAAUAAGUAAAGUAUUGUACGAAGUACGGUCCAAUAUUCUAACAAGAAAACAACUACAAAAAAACUGUAAUUUCUUUUUAAAAAAUUUGUUUUGUUAUGGAGAAAUCUAUCAUAACAUUAUAAAUUUAAGAACUGAUUUUAUAAAAAAAUUUCAUUGAAAUAUCUUCAAAUGAAAUAAAAUUAAUAUUUUAAUCUUAAAUUAAAAUUAAAUUUUGGAUCACAAUAUUUAAAAAAAAAUAUAUUAAAUAAUCAAAUAAAAUAUUAAUAAAAAUGAGAGUCAUAAAAAUUCUUUAUAUUGAAAUAAAAGUUUUGAAAAGGUUUUAAAAAUAGUGAAACGGCUUAUAAAAUGUACAUUUGAGCUGAAUUGGGCGGACUUUCUAAUGUGUUCGGAUUAGAUCCUAUUUCUUUUUAACUCCCAUAUUUUCCUUUUACAUCCUCAUCAAUAUGAAAAAUCUCUACUUAAUCCGUAAAAUAUAUUUCUAAAUUGCGCUAAUUUAUUUUUUAAUUUGUAUACAGUACAAUUUAGAAUAUUUUUUCUUCUUUAUUUUACUUUUAAAAGAUUUUUAUUUUUGAAUUGUGCAAUUCAAAAACAUUUUUCAUUGCAGAUUAUAUAGUCUAGAGAAGUCACGUUUUGCUCUUGGAUUAUGUAAUUUAGAACUUUUUAUUUCAGAUUUUGUAAUGCAAAAGUAACUUUUUACACAAAGAAAACUUUUAAUUUGAGCUCAGAAAAAUAUGUUAAACAUUUUUGGAGAAAAAAGAAUUCUUCAUUAAGAAUAUGUUAGUAGAAGUGAAGAUAUUGGAUUAGGAUUUAUGAUUAAUUUAAACUUUUGAUAUAAUAUAUGAAAUAAUGUAUUAAAAUACAAAUAUUUAAUGGGAUUUUCUCAAGUAUGCAGGAGUUGAUAUCUUAUAGUGUAUCGUCAAACCUUUUUAAAAUAAAUUUAAGGGUUAAAUAUGUUUUUAUCCCUUAAUUUUCAGUGAAAAUUGGAAUUAGUCUCUUUUCAAAAAUUUUGCUUAAUUUAGUCCCCAACUUUAGAAAUGUAUGAAUUUAGUUAUUUUAACAAAAAUUUAUUAACUUUAUUUGAUGUUUCAAAUGCGUUUCUGAGUUAAGAUUGAAACAAAAAUGUGCCAAAUAGUGUAAACAACCCAAAUGCUAUUAUAAAACGUGAAACAUCAAAUAAACUUAACAAAAUUUAAUUAAAAGAACUAAAAUAAUACAUUUCUAUAAUUGAGAGACUAAAUUAGGCUAAAGUUUUGAGGAGAGACUAAUUCCAAUUUUCACUUAAAGUUAAGAGACAAAAACAUAUUUAACCCUAAAUUUAAUUGAAUACCAAAUGAAACAAAACUGUAAAACAAUAGGUAAUAAACUAUUUUCAAUGCAGUGCCGGUGUUACCACGUGGCAGCAGGUAAUCUAUUCAUUACCGCUUCUCAUAAUUUUUCCACCAAUUCUGUCAUAAGAUGGCAAAUAGGCUAACAAUAUGCUUAAUGGCCAAAACAUCCUUUUGCGCAUAGCUCUUCACUUAAACUUGUCUUUACUUCUUAUUUCAUUUCUAAAUCCGUUGAAACAAUAUUAAAGUUAUGGUGGUUUGAAACGCGUUUGUUGAUCAUGGGUGAACUUAAAAUUACUAAGCUUGAUCAUAUUUAUGUUUUUGGUAAGUAACAAUUUUGUAAUUCACGUUGAUGAAUGAAUUGAGUUAAUUAAGAAUGUUUUGUUAAUUUAAUUAUUAUUAUAUAUGUAGUAUAGAGAGGAUUUAAGUAGAUCGGGGUUACGAAGAGGAAGGUCGGGAUUGAGCUUAUACCGAUAGGGAAAGACACAGACAUAGGGGAUAAAUGGUUGACUUGUAUAAUAGAGCGGGAGAAAGGUCAGAAAGGUCCGGUGGAUCGGGAAAUAUGCAGGGAAGAUCGGGGUAUGGGUUGCCUCGAAAAGGAACUAUAGUGAUUGCUAAGUUAGUGGAGAUAGUUUGCGGAUUCAGCGGAGCAAAUAGCGGACUAAGAGUCUAGGAAGUGGGAAGUGGUUGCGGUUACAGUUACGACUAAUAAGCUAAGUUGUUGGAGGGAUUUACGGAGCACAUGACUUGGCACAACGUGGCUCCGAUUAUGGUGGGUAUAUUUCUCUAUAAAUAGAACAAGCAUAGCUCAGGUAAAAGGUUAGAUUGACUUUCUGAAUAUUAUUAUCGUGGUAAUUCUGCUAACUUGAGCGUUGGAGUGCUAACUUGUAGGUACUCACCGUUCGGUUUUAAGAUUACUACGAAGAAGAAUCCGAAGUGAGAAGAAGAGCCACAGUGAUCAACUGUUAUCUCGUUUCCAUCCGAAACAUUUUGGCGCCCACCGUGGGGCGAGAUAGUUACAAGCCUUUAUACGAUCACAAUGGCAGGAGACCUUUCGCUACAGCUACUUCAAGAAAUGCAACGUCAAAUGCAAGAAAUGAGAGCUGAAAUCGCUGCAAUACGGGCUGAACGAGUUCAGAACAGAGUACCUGCUCACUCUGUUCAGCUAGAAACAGUGAACAUCUAAAGCGAGGAGAGUGGUCAUCGGGCCACCGGGGAAGAAGGGAUGAGGAGAAACGAUAAUGCCCGGAGAGUGGAUGAGCAAGGCGAGCGUGAAAGAGAAGGUGGUAGGAGGAUAGACGCAAGAGAUAGAGAAGAGUAGGAGGGAAAUCAAAACAGACUGAAUAGGCCAAGGGGUGGGGAGAAUGGCCUAAAUGUAAGCCGGAGAAACGGUGUUGGGGGUGAAAACAGUGGAGCCAAUUUCAAUGGCCAUAAUGACGGUCAUCGAAAUGUAUCCGGCGAACGGGUUCCAACCAUCGCCGAUCGGGAGAUUGGGACACCUGGUCAAGCAGAAGGCCUGCAUCCAUUCACAGCAUGUGUAAUGAGAACGGGCAUGCCAGAAAAUAAGGUGUUGCCUGCAAUGAAAAGAUAUGGGGGUUCUACAGAUCCUAUUAAGCACCUCCGAUCCUUCAUCGACGCUAUGGCGGUAUAUUCUUCGGAUGAAAUGGUAUGGUGUAGAGUCUUUUCUUUAUCAUUGAAAGGAGAGGCUCUAGAUUGGUUUCACUCGCUGGCACCCCGAACGAUAGAUUCUUUUGCCACUAUCAGAAGGCUAUUCAGCCAACAAUACAUAUCAAGUAAAGCACCUGGAAUGACGUACACAGCCCUGAUGAGAAUCAGGCAAGGAAGAGAGGAGACGCUCAAAGGGUUCACGGAGAGAUUUAAUCGGAUGGCCCGACAGGUGAGAAAUGUUGAUCAAAGAUUGAUAGUCAGUGCCUUGACUACCGCCUUAAGGCCUAGACCUUUUGUGGACUACUUAUACGCAGAAGAACCGCAAAGCAUGGCCGAUUUGCAGCAUAAAUUAGCAAGCUUUAUCCGAAUUGAAGAAGGAAAAACUCACUAUAAAGGCCAUGAUAAUGAACCAAGAGAGCAGAUGAGAAGAGAGGGACUGAGUAGAGGGACGCAAAGAAAGGAGGAACGACCGGUCGGGCACAGAAGGACAGAUCCUCCCAGGAUGUUGCAGAACGUGCAUCACACACCUCUCAAUGCUCCUCGCGCCAGAGUAAUGGAAGAAGCUUUGAGAGCCGAUUUGUUAAAAGUGGUCCGUGCUCCUACGCCUUUAGGAGCCAAUCAAAACAAGUAUUGCAAGUAUCACCAAAACAGAGGACACACUACAGAAGAUUGCAAUACCUUAAAAGAUAAGUUAGAAAGCUUGAUCCAGGCCGGACAUUUACAAAAGUUNGUGCAACNCCAUCAGGCGUCAGUACCGAUCACCACUAGUCAUAAAAAAACCAAGAGUAGACACGAUCGAAGUAGGAGCAGAAGCCGGAGUAGGGAAAGAGUCACAAGGGGCAUUAUAAACACCAUUUCUGGUGGGUUCCCAGGCGGAGGCCCAUCGAUAUCGGCCCGAAAGAGGCAUAUAUGAAGUUUACAUCAUGUAAACCAAAUAGGAGCCGAACGGAAAUCUAUGCCUAUAAUUUCCUUUUCGGACGAAGACUUUCAUGCCCUUGAUCCCGAUCAGGACGAUCCAAUGGUGAUAGUGGCAAUGAUCGCUCGGUAUCAAGUGGGAAAAGUGCUGAUUGAUCAAGGGAGCUCAACAAAUAUCCUAUAUUGGAAAACAUUCGAACAGAUGGAUAUACCAGAAGGGGCCAUUCAACCUUUUCAUGAGCAAAUUGUAGGCUUCGCAGGAGAACGGGUGGAUACCAGGGGGUAUGUGGAACUUAAAGUCAGUUUGGGGUUAGAAAAAGAUGCAAAGGAGCUGCAGGUCCGUUUCUUACUGGUAGAGGCGGAUACGUCAUACAACGCACUUCUGGGACGACCCUGCUUGAAUGAAUUUGGGGCGAUUGUGUCAACACCACAUUUGGUAUUGAAAUAUCCGGAUGAUCGGGGAAAGGUGUGUACCGUCCGUGCCAAUCAGAAAAUGGCAAGGGAGUGCUGUGCAGCCGGACUCAAAGUAAGACAACGACUCCUGACGAAACCGGAGGAUCGAUCGGUAAUAGCGGUGGCCGAUUUAGACCCAAGAUUAAACAUGGACGACCGGUUGGAACCCAUGGGUGAAACUCAACCGAUCAGUCUAGGAGACGAACCAGACAGGCACACAACGAUCGGGAAGAGUCUAAGUGAAGAACAAGUGGAGGAGGUGAGCAGAAUUCUGUUUAAGAAUAAGGACCUAUUUGCAUGGAUACCAUCUGAUAUGCCGGGAAUACACCCUGAUAUUAUCUCACACAAACUAUCAGUAUUUCGCGAUGCUUGACUGGUCGCACAAAAGAAAAGGAGAUUGGGUCCUGAAAAGAGACAAGCGGUAGAUGAAGAAGUACAAAAGUUGCUAGAUGCGGGAUUCGUCCGGGAAGUAAAAUAUACUACCUGGUUGGCCAAUGUAGUUUUGGUCAAAAAGUCUAAAUGGCAAAUGGAGGAUGUGCACAGAUUUCACCGAUCUGAAUAAAGCCUGCCCCAAGGACACUUAUCCUCUCCCUAACAUUGACGGUCUGGUUGACGGGGUAUCUGGUUACAAAUUACUGAGGUUUUUGGACGCUUAUUCAGGGUACAAUCAAAUACCGAUGUACUCUCCUGACAGAGAAAAAACUGCAUUCAUUACCGAACGAGGUACAUACUGCUAUAAUGUAAUGCCGUUCGGUCUGAAGAAUGCUGGAGCUACUUAUCAGAGGCUUAUGGAUAAGGUGUUUGAGAAUCAAAUAGGACGAUGUAUGGAGGUAUAUGUUAAUGAUAUGGUUAUACGUAGCCAUUCUUUGGAAGAUCACAUCAAAGAUCUAGAGGAGGUACUGGGACAAGUCAGAAAAUAUGGGAUGAGGUUGAAUCCUGCUAAAUGCACGUUCGGAGUCAACACAGGUCGAUUUUUGGGGUUCAUGCUGACCGAUAGGGGAAUAAAAGCGAAUCCCGAUAAAUGUAAGGCCAUUCUGGAAAUGCGAAGCCCGAACAAUUUAAAAGAAAUACAGUGCCUGGUCGGUCGGCUGACAUCUUUAUCGCGAUUCAUCCCGAAGUUAGCCGAGAAGAUCAAACCCAUUUUAAAACUCAUGUGAAAAAACACUCCCGAAGGAUGGAAUGGGGAGUGCGAAGAAGCUUUCAAGGGAGUUAAGGAAAUCCUGACCAUCCCACCCGUCAUGGGAAGACCUGAUCCUAGUCACGCGUUGCACAUCUUCCUGGCAGUGACUGAUGCCGCCAUUAGCGCAGCUCUGAUCCAAGAAGAACCUCAGUUCAAGUUGGUUUACUUUGUUAGUAGAAGCCUGAAAGACACAGAGAUCCGGUACCAAAAAUUAGAGAAGGUAGCCUUAUCUCUUUUAUAUGUCGCCCGGCGUCUUCGGCCCUAUUUCCAAGGAUAUCAAGUGAUAGUCCGAACGGACUAUCCAAUAGCUAAAAUCUUACGCAAGCCAGAUUUAGCUGGGAGGAUGAUAGGGUGGUCCGUUGAAUUAUCCGAGUUUGGAUUACAGUAUGAACCUAGAGGCUUGGUAAAGGAACAACACUUAGCCGAAUUUGCAGUCGAACUACAAUAUACAAUACUCACGCAUGCCUGGAAACUUUAUGUGGACGGAUCAGCAUGCAAAGCGGGAGGAGGAGCGGGAAUCGUAUUGGUAGGACCGAACGAUAUGGUUGUUGAGCAAUCUAUCAUCUUUAAGUUCAAGGCAAGUAAUAAUCAGACCAAAUACGAAGCAUUAAUCGCAGGAAUGGAACUCGCUCGGGACGUUGGCGCAGACAGUUUGGCAUGUUACACUGAUUCGCAAGUAGUAGAGGGGCACAUGAACGGUAAUUACCAGGUGAAAGACGAUUAUUUACUGCGAUAUUUUCAUAGAGCGAAGCAAUUACAAACAUGCUUCAGUGAAUUCACAAUCACUCAUGUGCCACGAGAGCAGAACACACAUGCCGAUCGGUUAUCCAAGUUGGCCCAUGGAAAAGAAAAAGGGGUUUUAAGUUCAGUCAUCCGACAGGUAUUAUCUGAACCGACUAUAGGCAGUUAUGCUAUUUCUUCUCAUACCGAUGUGGAUAGGCAGACUUGUUGGAAAGAUGAAAUUAUCCGACUCAUACGACGACAGGACGAGGGGCAUAAUCUACAGGCAGACGAAACAAAGAAAAUUUCCCGAUAUUGUUUGAUCGGGGACGAUUUAUACCGAAGGGGGUAUGUUACCCCCAUCAUGAAAUGUUUAUCUAUGGAAGAAGCAAGUUACGUCUUGCGUGAACUACAUCAUGGCAUAUGCGGCAGGCAUACAGGGGGCGGGCACUGAAAGCACGCGUUCUGAGGGCUGGAUUCUUUUGGCCUACGUUAGAACAAGAUUGUUUAUCCUUUUCACAAAAAUGCAUAUCAUGCCAGAAGCACGACAACGUCUUUCACGCCCCGGCGUCAAAAUUGCAUAACAUAUUCGCCCCUUGGCCGUUCGCCUAGUGGGGUAUGGAUAUAGUAGGACCAUUCCCGCUCAGUCGAUCUCAAAAGAAGUUCCUCCUGGUUGCUGUAGAUUAUUUCACCAAAUGGGUCGAGGCCGAACCACUGGCCAGAAUUUCGACCGCACAGGUCAAACGAUUUAUAUGGCGUCUCAUAUGCAGAUUUGGCCUGCCGAAGACGAUAAUAACAGACAAUGGAAGGCAAUUUAUAGACAAACGAUUACAAAGCUUUUAUAAGGAGUUAUGCAUCACAAAUAUCACAAGUUUGGUGGAACAUCCCCAAACGAAUGGGCAGGCUGAAGCAGCAAAUAAAAUCAUUGUCAAUGAAUUGAAGAAACGCUUGGGCGAAGCUAAAGGAGGAUGGGUAGAUGAGAUCGAUCAUGUUUUGUGGGGGUAUCGUUGUUCCCCGCAUGGUUCAACGGGGGAGUCGCCGUUCAAUCUGACCUAUGGAACAGACGCCAUGCUACCUGUGGAGGUUGGCGAACCGACCGUUAGACGACAACUGUCGGACAUGACGAUCAAUAACGAACAACUCAGAAGUAAUUUGGAUGUAAUAGACGAACGACGUCAUGUAGCAGCUAUAAAAAAUGAAGCAUACAAGAGAUUGGUAGCCCGAAGGUAUAAUACUAAGGUCAAACCCCGACGGUUCGUAGAAGGAGAUCUGGUUUGGCGUAAGACAACAGACGCAAGGAAAGUUCCUACUGAAGGGAAGCUAGCAGCAAACUGGGAUGGACCGUUCAGGAAAAAAGAAGACUUGAACAAUGAAGCUUAUUGUUUGGAAUACUUAACCGGCGAUAGCAUACCAAACACCUGGAACGCGUCUCAUCUGAAAUUUUACUUUAGUUAAUUCAAAACUCUAUUGGUUAUGGAAAAUAAGGCGAGGUGGUCGUAUGCACUCACCUGUCCCUGCUAUUUGCAAUACUUUAUGAAUAAAUUCAUGUCACUCUUGUAACCCGAUCGGUGCUAUCCUUUUAUUUAAUUUUCUCAGUGUCACAUGUUAUCAUUAUUAUCGGUGAAUAAGGUGAUACCUAUCGGGCAAGGGGAAUAAGGAGCUCAUGAUCUUUUUUGAUCGAGGUGCUCAUUCCUAUACGUUUUCAUUAUUGGUGCAUAAGGUGAUGCCUAUCGGGCAAGGGGAAUAAGGAGCUCAUUAUCUUUUUGAUUGAGUUACUCAUUCAUAUACGUUGUCAUUAUUAUUGGUGAAUAAGGUGAUACCUAGCGGGUAAGGGAAGUAAGAGCUUAUUAUCUUUUCAAUCAUGUUAAUCAUUUCCUUGUGAUACUCUUAUUAUCGGUGAACAGGGUGAUACCUAUCGACGAUAAAGAAUUUACUAUCUUUUCCAGACAAAUGGUUCAUUCUGUUAUGCUUCAUUUGUAUUUCUGUAUCUAAGAAAUACCUAUCAUAAUGAAUGCAAUUAAUUAUCCGAUCGGAAACGAUACUCUUAACGUUUUUCGUAGGAUAACGACGGUCAUUAUAUUUUUAUGCAGAAUAAGGAAGUCAUUAACUACUCAAAUAGUAACGUGCUACGAAGAUAAUACUAAAAAUGUUCAUACAACAUUUAACAUAACAAAUAUAAUACUAGUUGUUCAAAAGACACUAACGUUCUUAUAUAACUACUAUUAUUAAACAUCAUUCAACUUUUGUUAGCAGGACCGGUAGUCUUGGAGGCCAGAUCGGUAGCAGUCAGCACUUGAUCGUCUACCACUGUUUCUGUGUUUUCAGUAUUUGUCGCGACUUGGCUGCCCAGAUCAAUCAAUUUCCCAUCAACGACCACCUUCAUGAUGUCAAAACUUGGGUCGGAUAAAGGGGUCUUGAAGAAAUGGUGACAUUGAGCAAUUCCUUGCUCAAAUCCUAGUUCCCUUUCUAGGCAUACUUGAUCUCCCAACCAGGCCGUUUCCGCAGCCAAAUUAUCUCGCUCAACGAUCAGGUUAUCCCUUUCUUUAGUCAAGUCUUUGAUUUUGCUGGUCAAUUCCAGAACGUUGUUGUUCAGAGUGUCUAGGGAAGCUUUAAGACUGACCACCUCUUCUUGAGACUCCUUCAGUUGCUCCGCCGCUUUCACUCGAUCAUCCUCGGUUGCUUUAGUCAAUUCUUCAACACGAAGCGUUAAAGCAAUGUUCUUCUUCUUGAAAUCUGCCAACUCACUCAUGGCCAUUUCCAGCUCAUUCACCAACAAAGGUUUGGUUGUUCCAGCGGAAUAAUUCAAACAAAUGCUCGCUCGAGCUAUCAACUCGUACGCCAUGUUGAUGGAUUCACUGGGCGUCAUGUCCUUGAAUGGCUUCCUUUCCUUCGGUGUGAGGUUGAAUUGCAACCGAUCCGAUAUGUGAACGUUCGGGUCUAGUGGCUCGGUCAAUAGUGGCACGCACACUUUUUGUUUUUUGGGUGGAGAAGGCGUUUUCUCUGUUUUUCUUUUCGGUUUACCCCUGGUAGUAUGGGACUUGGCAGCUUUAGUCUCAACCACAUCGUCUACCGAAUCAGUGAUUUUCAAAGCUGGAUUAACUGUAGGAGUAGAUUUUGCUGGUGAAGCAGGAGAUGAAGAACUCUCAGCAAUUUUCUUCAACUUCUUCUGAGCCAUCAAUCGAGCAAAGGCAGCGUGCUGAUCCAUUCCUUCAAAUAGUUCUGCAAAUAGAGGGUAAAUUUAGGCAAGUCAAUAAUGAUAGACGAUCGGUAAACAGUAGGAGGCAAGACAUACCUAACACUGUAGUUUGUAACUCAUCGGUGCCAAGAAGUUUUAUCAACAUGCGGGAUGACGUCUUGCGGGGUAACUGAUCGAUCUUAUUAACAAUCUUCAACUCAUCCUCAAUCAUAUCUGUUGUUGGCCAUGAUUCUAACCGGGUAGGCUCUUCGGUCCAAUAUAAAAGAAAUUUUGGUUCACCAUUGUUCAGAAAAUAUUUUGGCCGACCUGGUUCCCGAAUGGCUAUUUUACAAUAAUUGGCCUUAAAAUCUUUGUAUGAAGAGUUAAAAGAAGUGAAUAGCUGUUUAUCUUUGGCCGGAAGGAGGGAAAUCCAAGACCUACUGGAGUUAGGAAAGACGCGGAAGAAAUGCAAAAAAGACUUAGGGGUGGGGUCAAGUUGCAGACCGGUGCAUAACACCUGGAAGGCUUGCAUGCAAGCCCACCCGUUGGGGUGAAGUUGGGCGGGGCAUAUAUUCAAGUAUUUUAAUACUCCCAUUUGGAAUUCAGUAAAGGGAAGUCUUACGCCUAGAUCUUUGAACAGUGUUAUAUAUACAUAGAAAAAAUCUAAACAGUACACUUCCCGACCGUGACAUGCUCUUUCAUUCGAACGACGCACUACUAGUGUAUAAUCAUCAACCUCCCUAAAGUCAGACAGGAUAUAUACCUUUUGCAAUAGAUGCCUUAUGGUAGCUCUACGAAUAUAAUACGUAAGAUAGGUUUGUACCUCAUGAGGAGCCCAUUCGUACCCUUCUACCCUGGGUGGCGCUACAAUAGAUGUCCAGGUACGAGAAUCGUCAAUAUUGAAUUCCACAUAAAAGUGACCGGACGAGUUACUAGAAUCACUGGAAUUACUAGACGAUGACUUUAAUGACGAGGUGACCCUACGAUCAGUACCCCCCGGACGGUCAUCACCAGAUUCCUCAGUUGAUGAAGAAGAGGAAGACAUUACCUUGUUUCGAGUGAUGAUCGGCACUCUCAAUAACUCGUUCAGUAUUCAAGACUGAGGGAACUAUGCAGAGUGAAAGUGAUAGUGGUCCCUCCCCCCUAUUUAUAGCCGCAAUAAACGGUUUCACAUCCUCAUCUCUACCGUCCAUUUCCUUUUAAUCUGACGUUCCAGAUUUGGCGCCUGUUCACGUCCAUCGUGAUGACGUCAGGGUUUAAUCUUAGCCAUUCCUCAUUAUUCAUCCUACGGUCGAAGACGAAACGUCUUUUCAAGAUUUAAAACUGUUCAUCCGUUAUAUCUCUUCAACCAGGGGUCUUAUUUAUUAAGAAACCCUUACACUCUUAUCAUCGUUAAGGGCUUGGGGGGCUUAUGUAGUAUAGAGAGGAUUUAAGUAGAUCGGGGUUAUGAAGAGGAAGGUCGGGAUUGAGCUUAUACCGAUAGGGAAAGACACAAACAUAGGGGAUAAAUGGUUGACUUGUAUAAUAGAGCGGGAGAAAGGUCAGAAAGGUCCGGUGGAUCGGGAAAUAUGCAGGGAAGAUCGGGGUAUGNNNNNNNNNNNNNNNNNNNNNNNNNNNNNNNNNNNNNNNNNNNNNNNNNNNNNNNNNNNNNNNNNNNNNNNNNNNNNNNNNNNNNNNNNNNNNNNNNNNNNNNNNNNNNNNNNNNNNNNNNNNNNNNNNNNNNNNNNNNNNNNNNNNNNNNNNNNNNNNNNNNNNNNNNNNNNNNNNNNNNNNNNNNNNNGUGAUUGCUAAGUUAGUGGAGAUAGUUUGCGGAUUCAGCGGAGCAAAUAGCGGACUAAGAGUCUAGGAAGUGGGAAGUGGUUGCGGUUACAGUUAUGACUAAUAAGCUAAGUUGUUGGAGGGAUUUACGGAGCACAUGACUUGGCACAACAUGGCUCCGAUUAUGGUGGGUAUAUAUCUCUAUAAAUAGAACAAGCAUAGCUCAGGUAAAAGGUUAGAUUGACUUUCUGAAUAUUAUUAUCGUGGUAAUUCUGCUGACUUGAGCGUUGGAGUGCUAACUUGCAGGUACUCACCGUUCGGUUUUAAGAUUACUACGAAGAAGAAUCGAAGUGAGAAGAAGAGCCACAGUGAUCAACUGUUAUCUCGUUUCCAUCCGAAACAAUAUAUUUAUUAUGUACAAUAAAUAUUGACUAGAGUAAUUCUUUUAUAGUUAUAUAAAUAUUGGUUUAUUUCAUUAAAAUAUUAAUCUAAAGAUAAAAAACUUUCAAAAAUGAAUUAGUUUACUUAGUAAAUUACAAAUGGAAUAGUUGACUAACAAUUUAUAGAUUUAAAAUUAGUUGUGAGUCUUGACUAUUUUUGAAUUGAAGUCGUCAUGAGUUUUUGACGACUUCUUCAAAAUUUUUUGAAAAAGGUGAAGAUGUUAUGGCUUAUGACGAUUUUUUUAAAAUAUGUUGAACGAAAGUCGUUAGAAGUGGUAACAUCUUUCAAUUUAUAAGAUAUUGUUCAUAGUGGUGACAACUUUUUAAUUGAACGAAAGUUGAGUGAAGAACUGAGUAAGAUUGUUGAGUAGUAAAAAGAAUUUGACAAGUUUACUGAGUAACAAGAAGAAUUCGGCUAGACAAUCGUGUAGGUUUGAGAUGUUGCUAAGAUAUGCAGAUAGCCUAAACAAUGAGGUAGAGCAUACGAAGAACUCAACAAGACAACCUAUUAGAGUAGUGAACUUAAAGAAUGCAAAAUAGUGCAGUGAACUUGACAAGACAACUAAGUAGUGUGGUGACCUUAACAAGACAGUCGAGUAAAGUGAACAGGUUGGAUAUAGACAAUUAGAUAGCUUGGGGAGGUGCUUAGACAGCUCACAUAGCUUGGAGCAUGCAAAGAGCUUGGUGAAAGCUUAAUGGAGAGCUCAAUAAUAGAGGAUAAGCUUGCCAAGCUUGAUCUCAUAAUGGAAAUCGUCAUGAGUUAAGACAAAUUUGAUUCAAUUGAAUAUCAUUACCAUUCUGGAUGACAUCCUAUAACUUGAAUAACAUAUUUACAAAGUUAUUACGAGUCAUAAUGAAUUCACCUUUUCAUAAUUUUAUGAAGAAGUCAUCACGACUUCAAUUAGAAAGCCAUUAAAACUUAUGACGACUUAUCUUAAAUCUAUAAAUUUUAAGUCAAUUACCUCAUUAUUAUAAUAUAUAGGAUAAAUUACACAAUAAAUAAUUAAAGACAUAGUAAUUAAAAAUCAAAGUUUCAAUUAUUAUAUUUUGAUAAACAAAUAAAUUAAACAUAUAAAUUAUUUAUUUGAAUAAUAUUAUAGUAAAUUAAAUUGUCAAGUAGUAAAUUUAUAUAAUAAAAAAACGUAUAUAAAAGUGGUGAAACAAUAAAAAAGAUAAAAUUGUCAAUUUAUAUAAUUAAAAACAAUAAAUAAGUAUAAUGUAAAAUCUACGAAAAAAAUGGUAAAAAACUAAUAGAGUUUUUGUUUAAAUUAGUCCACCUUCAAACCGUUUUAACUUGUUUAACUCAUUUUAAAUGAGUUAGUUUGAUACAUACUUAAAAUAAUUAAAUUCUUUUCUAAGUUAACCCGGUUAAAACCUACAGUGAGUUAUAUUAACUCAUCAAAUAGAUAUUAUUUUUUGACAUCAUUAAUUAACGUUUUUUCUUAUUAUUUAUUAAAAAUAAAAAUCGAUUAUCAUAAACUUAGGUACGACCAAAAUUUUAAAAAAUAGUAAAAUAUUAGAAUUACACAAAAAUAAGUAUGAUGUAGAUAAUAUUUAACCCAAUCUAGUUUCACUGAUACAUAUAACAUACUUAAUUUCCAACAUUAAUUUAUUAAACAAGGACCUUAUAACAUAGAUGGCCAUGCAUUGUGCUAGAAGUCCCUGAUGACUAACGUGUAGCAUUUGACAAAUUAUUAACUAACUCAAGGUUGGACUCGCUUAUUAUACUAAUUUUUCAAUGCCCUACCGUCUUCGCUAUUUUAAAACUUUCAUAAACAAAUCACAUUUCUUCUAGACCACAAUUCUAUUACUCUUCAAACUAUAUUAUAAUAUAUAUAUUUAAUAGCUAGGCUAGUUUCUUCAUGUCAUGACCAUAAUUAACAUAACCAUAUUAAGAGUAAUAAAGUAUUUAAUAAAAUUUUGAUUUGCUCAAUAAAGUAAAAAAUGUCAUAGUUAGGCGACAACAUGCUUGGUUUUUCAAAGUUUGGUAUAUCAAUUGCAAACAAAUAAAGGAGAAAAAGUGACAGAAAUUGAAAAAUAGUAUCCUUUAAGACUUCCUUUGCUUUUGAAUAUUUCUUACAAAUAAAAUCUUAGACUACAAAGCUAAAAUAGUUAAACUUGUCUUUUUCUACGUAGAAAAAGGGAAAAGUUUCUUUUAACAACACAUUUUUAAUAAUUUUUUGACAACAUAUACGUGUCAGUUUAUGAUUGGUCCGAUUUAAAUAUUUUUUAAACGUAAAUUCAAAUAGACCAAUAAAGUGAUAACACGUGUCCCGUUGUCAAAAAAAUUGUCAAAAAAUGUUGUCAAAAUAUCGUUACCGUAUAAAAAGAUACCAUUCUCCUUCUCAAGUCUUCGAUCAAAAUCUAUAUAUAUUUUCUUUACUCAAUCUUUUAACUUUAUUUUAUUAUCUAUUUCUUUGCCUUUUACGUCGUACACAAGGACAAAAUGCACUCUAACCAGUUUUUUCACACAAACUUAUACGGAAAAAGAAAUUCAACUAGACUUUCUUUUAUGAUUUAAAAUUUACUCACACCAAAACUUAUUCAAAAAACCUUUCUAAUGAUUUUUCAAAUGUUAAUUUUAAAUUAUGCAAAUUAAAAGAAUCCCUAACACAAACAUAUGAAUUAAUUAAACAAAUAACCUAUAAUUAUAAGAAACACUUAAUUUGUACUUACAAUUAUAUUCUUAAAUAAUAAUAAAUUACGGUUAAAUAGACAAAUUAUAGUAUAUUAAUUCUUAUAUUCAAUUUUAUAUAGACUACAUAAAAAAAAAGGUUAAAUAUGUUUUUAGUCCCUAUAUUUUGGGGAGAUUUUGGUUUUAGUCUCUCUUUCAAACUAAGGUACAAUUUAGUCCUUCAACUUUAGAAAACUCUAGUUUUAAUCCUUUUUACCAAAUUUUUUUAACUUUAUUUGUUGUUUCAAGCACGUUUCAUUAUAGCAUUUGGAUUGUUUACAUUGUUUGACACAUUUUUGCUUCAAUGUUAACUGAGAACCUCGUUUGAAACAGCAAAUAAAGUUAAAAAAAUUUGGUAAAAAGGAUUAAAACCAGAGUUUUAUAAAGUUAAAAGACUAAAUUGUACCUUAGUUUAAAAGAGGGACUAAAACAAAAAUCACUCCAAAAUAUAGAGACUAAAAACAUAUUUAACUCAAAAAAAACAUAAUCUCUUUAAAUACAAAUAGAUUAUAAUUAGAACCCGUAACAUAUUAAAAAAUAUAGAAAUAUAAACUACUUAUAAUAUUCUUAAGUUCAAUAGUUUUAUCAUGAAUAAUUGAUAUCUAGAAUUUAAAUACUCUUUCAUUCUUUUAAUAUUUUUUAAAGAUAAAAUUAUAAUGAAAUUUUAUGUUACAAAACAAAUUAUAUUUCGGAUAAUAAUUGAGUUUACUAAUAUUACUCAAAAACAUUAUAUUAUUAUGAGAUCGAUAAUCAGAAUUUAAGACGAAUUAUCACUCCUUUAUCUUUCGAAUGAGGAUUUCAAAUCACAGUCCACAAUGUGUAUUUCAUUAUAUAAGUAGAUGGAUUACGAUUCUUUAACCGUAUCUAACAUAUAAAACUUGACAAUUAUUUUUAACAUUUUUUUUAUAAUUGGACACGUAUCAUCAUUUUAUUAAUACGUUUGAAUUUAUAUUUAAAAAAAUAUCUGAAAUAGACCAAUCACAAACUAUCAUGUAAACAUAAGAAAAAUAUUUGUUAAAAACAACUUUUUCCAUAAAACAAUUGUAAUAAAAGUAAUUCACUGCAUCAUUAUAAAAACAUCAUAAAAGGUAUUUAUAAAGUUAAAUUUAUCUACAUACGAAGAUUCCAAAAUUUUCAAUGGGGUUAAGUUGAAUAGAUCAAGUCAAAGGUAAUGCUUCCAAGAUGAUUAAUGGAGUUGAUGUUAGCAUGGUGAAAAAAAAAACUAUAUAUAGGGGUUCCAUAGCUUUGCUAACAGCACAACAAAACCGCCAUUUUUGAAGUUUUGAGAAAAUGGGGUCUCUAAUGGCCUCUAUUACUCUUACUCUUGUCUUGGCAAUACUGUCUCUAAGCUUGCCAUCUCAAACCUCUGCUGAUAAUAACUACCCCUAUUCAUCUCCUCCACCUACCCCUUACUACCACCACUCGCCACCACCACACCAAUACUCACCACCCAAACAUCCUUAUCACUAUCCUUUACCACCGCCGGUUUAUAAGUACAAGUCUCCACCACCGCCAGUUUACAAGUACAAGUCUCCACCACCGCCGGUUUAUAAGUACAAGUCUCCACCACCGCCAGUUUACAAGUACAAGUCUCCACCACCGCCGGUUUACAAGUACAAGUCUCCACCACCACCGGUUUACAAAUAUAAGUCUCCACCACCACCGGUUUAUAAGUACAAGUCUCCACCACCACCGGUUUACAAGUACAAGUCUCCACCACCACCGGUUUACAAGUAUAAGUCUCCACCACCACCACCAUACAAGUACCCAUCUCCUCCACCUCCAGUCUACAAGUACAAGUCACCUCCACCACCCUACAAAUACCCGUCUCCUCCACCUCCGCCAUACAAGUACCCCUCUCCACCACCACCAGUUUACAAGUACAAGUCCCCUCCUCCUCCUUACAAGUACCCAUCUCCUCCACCACCACCAUACAAGUACCCUUCUCCUCCACCCCCAGCUUACUAUUACAAGUCACCUCCACCACCAUACAAGUACCCUUCUCCUUCUCCUCCUCCACCACACUACGUCUAUUCAUCACCACCUCCCCCUCACCACUACUAGACACGAUUUACUAUACCACCCCAUGGUAAGCUAAGCUUCGUAUACAAAACCUCUAUGCUUUCCAUGUUCUUUCUAUCAAGGUUUUAAAUCACAACUAUACGUAAAACUUCUACAAUUUUUUAGCGCAUAGCAAUUACAACUAUAUUUUCUAUUAUCAUGAAAGUAUGAAAUUUAAUUAUAAAUAAAUAGCAUCCUCACUGUUGCAUAUAUAGACCCUUUAACAUAAUAAUAAAUUAAAAAAAAAAACUUAAAUUUUGCAUUGAUAUAAAACUUUCUCCAUGCAUUUUAUGAUAAAAUAAUGGUUUUUCAGGAUCUGAAGAAGAACGUGUGCAAAUAAAGGGAAUGGAUUGAUAGAAGGAAGAAGUACCAUAGGGUUUAUACAGUGAAGAGAGGAACGUGUUUUACGAAAGUUGUGUUUAUUUGGUUUCCCUUUGUUUUUUUAUUUUGUAUUUUAAAUAUUCAAUGUUUUUAGGCACUGUUCUGAUCUGAUGAUCCACGUGGUCUUGGCCCAGUUAUUAUAUCAUAUAAUAAAUAAAUGCCCUGAUUUUUUUCACUUUGAAAAUUUCCAUUUAAAUUUUCUGUAUGUUUUUGGUAUAUUCUCAUGCAAGAAAUUCGAACGUGAAAAGAACAUGACGCACCUCGUAUUUUAAGAUUAUUUUUCUGUAAUUGGUGUGACUGUAACAAAUUAUAAAAAUUUGUUAACAAAAUUAUUAUUGUCAUUUUACUAGAAAAAUAAUUAUAUUUGUAACAAUAAUUAUUAGCAACAUCACAAGCAGUGACAUAAUGGAUGUCAAUAAGAAAUAGGUAUAUAUAUAAAUUCUAAAUAUACUUUUACUCUAGUAUAACUUGGACAAAUUUUGAUUACUGUAUGAAAAUGGCUCUGUGUUUCAUUUAUUUAAAUUUAGAAUUCUUAUUUUGAAUCUAUAAUAGUUAGACUUAUUAACAAUUGUUAUGUAUCGAAUUAAAAAUCAACGACAGCAGUACUGUAAUUUGCUUUAGAACUACAUUAAACUGCUCCAGAUGUAGAAAUGCCGUUAAUUACUGUAGCAACCUUCCAAUUGUGUGUUGCAAUCACUGCUGUUAAAUUCUUAUUCUUUCAUAUAUAAAUUUUGAAUAUUUCAAUGUUCUUGCCGAAAGAAAAAAAAUAGUAUGAUGUUGAAUUGGAAUUAAAUAUAAGACAAAUUAUAAUAUAUAAAUAAUGUAAAUUUUAUUUUAUAAAUAACAAAAGAUUAAGUUAGGUUUUAAAUUUAUAUAUGAAAAUUAUAUUAUACUUUUUAUUUAUUAGAUUUCUCAUGUUAUUAUGGCUAUAUAUUAAACCAACCAUUAAUAUUUAGUUUUGAUAAAAGAAUGUGUUAGAAAUUUACCUCGAAUAGAACAAACUUAUAAUAUAUAUGAUAAAAUACAUAUCUUAUUAAUAUAUUUUAUAAGAUUAAGUUUUAUUUAAAGUCUUUUUCUUAAUAUAUUGUUUAAGAUGAAUAAUUACAGACAUAAAUUCAUUGUAACAGAUUAUAUUCCUGGUGAUAAAUUGGUAUGAUAGGUUAUCCCUAUCUUGUGAUAGUUUAUAAACAACCUUCAUGGAAGUGCAUUUGACAACAUAUGCUUUCCGAAAACUCUUGUAUUGUUCUUUGUUCAGACACAACCACCUUGACUUAAUUCACGAUAUUGAAAUCGUAACAUGUUAUUAUACAAAUUCUGUUAAUAAAUUUGGGAGGAAACCGUUGGAGAAAAUUGUUCAAAACUUGGAAUAAGAGGUGCAGGUGAUGUGUUCCUAAAUAAGGAAGGAAAACCACUCAAAUUUCAGAUACUAAAUUUUAGAUACUAUCAGCAUUUUUUUAUAUAAAAUACUUUGGUGGGAAAUUCCAGCAUAUUUUCUUUUGAAAAUUCUUGGCAAUAAUUUCAUUUGAUUUUUCAUAUGAAAUGAAGUUACAGUGAAAAUUUUUCUGCAUAAAAUAUGAAUUAAUCUUUUUUUUUUGUAUAAAAUUAUGCAAAAAAAGAAAUAUUAAAUUUUUUCUACGAAUUUACUUAUAUAACAUGUAAGAGUAAAAUUGAUAUUAUUUUUCAAUAUUUAUAGAAUUAUAUUACGACCUUAACAUGUAAUUAUGCCCUCACCUAAUCUAGAAUAAAACCACUAAAAUUAAUGAUUUUCAAUAAGUUAUAAAAUAGUCUUGACAAAAUGUGGAGAGAGAAUGUGCUUAAAAAUUGUAUUCCUCCUGAAAAUUAUAACUAAUUGCAGAUUUAUCUAACUUGGAAACCAAUGUAUAGGAAGAACUUUUUGCAAUGUGACAGAGAACGAACUAUAGGCUUAGGGUUUGUGCAGUUUGGCAUCAUGCGGAUAAUGAUAUUUAGACAAUAUUUUUUUGACAACAUUUGAACAUCAUUUACGUGUCAUGAUUGGUCCAUGGUGGUAUUUAUGAUUAUUAUUAUUGAUUGUGAAAUAAUUUUAGACCAAUCACAGCAUAACACGUAGAUGGUGUUCAAAUGUUGUCAAAAAAAGUUGUCUAAAUAUGAUUACUCUUAAUGAAAUACAGAAAAUGUCGUUGAGUUAUAAUAAAAGUAUUAAACAAAUCUUACAUGUAAGCAAGAACAUAUUCUUCCUUUUCAAAGUUUGCAAAUUGCAUAUACAGAAGUAAUGUUACGCUAAUAACAUAUACUUAUUAUGAAGACUUUUGUGCAUGAAUUUUUCGCACAAACUACAAAACUUAAAUAGUUAAAUAAUAAGAUUGGUGUCCCUUUCCAGAGAAAAUAAGAGUAAUGUCAACAUUAUCAACUGAGUGCAUAUUCUCCUCCUCAAUUACAAUGCAAUCUCUCAUCAAAUUCUAAUUGUCAAUGUAAAUUUUUCUACACUUCAAUUUUAUGUUUAUUUUCUAUUUUGCCUUGCUUUUCCACCACACAGUAUCGUCAACUUUCGUGCAACAUUGAAAUCAUUUUAGUAUUCUUUUUCAAUCAACAAUCCAGAUUAAUUAACUUGCAGCUUACAAGAAGAAACUAAAAUCAACAAGAUUUAAGAGGGAUAUUAUUUGUUCAAAUUAACAUUAAUUAGUAAAUUUUUUUGAAAAAUAAAGGUUGAAUAUUGAACUUUGGAUAACUUAAUCCUUUUCAUAUGUGUGUGAAUAUGUAUAUAUCAUUUCAAUAAUUUAGUUAUUAAAUAUUAUUUACUGUACAGUAUUAAAUAUGAACUUUGAAUAAAUUGGAGACAUUUAUAAUUAAAUAAUAUAUCUUGUCACUUAUAUUGAAAAAAACUUGUUAUAAAUUUAUCUUUUGCAUUAAAUAAUCUUAACGUUUUUAAUAGUUAACCGAUAUAAAUUUAAUUACAGUUUUCCCUCUUAAUUUCUUCCCACACAUAAACAGUUGAAUUAAUAUGGCGAAAAUAUUUUACGAUUAUAAACAUUCGACAACGUAAAUUUGAAUUGAUAAAAUCAAAGAACAUCUUCCAAAUUAGCCGGUGUUGAGGUGAAAUAAGCUACAUAGAGGUACUUCCAUUUCUUAUAAGUACUUUAAUAAACCCUUCUAUAAUAACAUUACUUAAAAAAACUGAUGUCGUUAGAAAAAAAAUGUAGUAUUAAAUAAAAAACCAUUAUUACUUAUUAUUAGUCAAAACAAUAGUAUAUUACUUAUGAAAAGAAUCCUUUGCUGAUAAAGGAAAAAAAAAAUCUUAUGAAAAGAAUCCAUAUGGUAUUAUAAUUAAGUGGUGAUAAUAGUAUAUUGAUUAUUAAUUCAACUUAUUUAGUAUGUGGAUGAUUUGUUUUCCGGACUAGCAAUAUAAUGUAUAGUGUAUGUAGUGGCCUAAUUCCAUAAAAAGAAAAAUACUUAUGUACAAUAAAAAGGCUGAUUAACACUUAAUACAUACUUAAGAGAGAAUAAAAGUAAUAGGUUUAUAGGAUAUAUGAUGUGAUAAAAAGAGAGAUAAAAAAAAAAAAUCUGAGAUGUAGAGAAAAUAAAAAUAUCAUUCUAGUAUUUUUUUUUUAUAACAUAAGUUUUUAUUCAUUUUUUCCCCUUUGUGAUAGCAGUUUUCUUCUUGCUCAUCAAUCUCCAUCAUUCUCCCAUAAGCUAUGGUGGUGAUUGUGUUCUGCUAUUAACAAGACUAUGAAUACUAUUCUCUUCCACAAUAGACUUUUAUCACUGUAAAAAUACAUUAAUAUUAAUUAUUACUAAAAUUCGCAGGUAAAAUUAGUUCCUUAGAAUAAACAAAUAUACGGGUAAAAUAAUAUUUGUAUGUAACUAUUACUUGUAAGUUUUCAAAUUUGCGCAUAAGUUUAUACAAAUUUAUUCAUAAAGAAGUUCAUAUAGACGGAUUUGUAGCUAAAUGCAUACGAAUUACAAAUUACACUACAAGGAAAACAGAAGUUAACAUCAGUCUAAAUCUGACGAAAAUAAUAAAACACCAAAACUCGCAUCUUCUUAUUGGCUGGAAGCUACAACCUUUGCGUUGACUAAAACAUGGGAUGCUGGUGACAUUAACACUAGUACAAAAAUGCUGUUUAACAUCAUCUCUUAGAUGUGGGUAAGUCCGACGUAUAUUGAUGACCGGUGGCAUUUUCAUAAAUAAGUUAGCCAUAUAGGCGUCAGUUAGCUGGUGCUCCGACAAUUAUAGUAUUGUAGACGUUGGGACUCUCCCGUCUGACGUCUAUAUGUCUGAUAGGUAGGUGAAAAGUCAUUUCUUUCAGACAUAUAGACGUCAAUUCGGAGGGUGAUAACGGUCUAAAAAUUGUUAUUUUAAUGCUUGAAUUUGAUAUUAAAACACACCCUUUAUGGCUUAGAAUGAACUUAUAAUUGAGUAAAACACUUAGUUAAGUCACAUGAGAGUCAAAAGUUGUUUUUAGAGAUAUUAUGUUUGUUUUUGCAUUGUUUUGCAGAGUUUUGAUGAGAAUUGAAGAUGGAAGUGAAGUAGGGAGGACUUUGACUCAAGAAAAGAGGAAAAAAGGAAGAAAAGAAUAGUCAAGUUCACCGCUCAGCGCCAAUUCCAGCGCUGAGCGCCAAUCUUAAGGGUGCAUUCACUGUUUCUCGCCCAAUCGAUGUCGCUGAGCGUCUAGAACGAUCAGAGGCAAACCGCUGAGCGGUCUGCGGCUUGGAGGGAAACCGCUGAGCGACCAAUUUAGGCGCUGAGCGGUGCAAUGUUGGGCCUGGGCUUAAAUUCUGUUACUUUUAUGCUUUAUAAAUAGCCCCAGUGUGACCCUCAAAGUAAUCUUUUGGCAGACAGAGACGUCCAGAGCAGUUCUACACUCCUUGGAGAAGAUUUCUUGGAUGCUUAGGCUCCACUUUAUCAAAUCUAAGGUUUUCUCUUCCAUUAUUUCAUUUAAUUCCAUCUAGUUUCACCAUGUCUAUGGUGAGCUAAACCCUUUGUUGUUGGGGAACAAUGUAAUCUUUUGAAACUCUCUUAUAUUGAAAUUCUUGUUUUAUUCAUAUGCUUGCAUAUGCUUAUAUUAUCAAUUGUUGGGUUUCUUAUCUAUGCUCAAUGCUUUUAUCGUUUAACUCAUUCGGUAAAAAGAUAUUUUCCUUUGUCGAUACGGAGACGUACGGGGAAGUCAUGAACUGAUAGGGAAUUCCUUGAUUAAGCAAUACUGCCUAGAGAUAAGGGUAGGACGAUCAAUUGUAUUUUGCUUCUGUGAUACAUGCAUUGCUAAUUACUUGGGGAGACUAGAGAUAGUAAGCCAGUAGUUAGUAAUAGGCUAUUUUCGCCGAGAGAUCGAGUUUAGGGUAGACUAAGAAAGUUUGCAUGACAGUUAGAUGAUAAAGCGGAUAAGAUAAGAAAAGUAGAUAUAAGAGGGUGGAUAAGAUGAAAUUGUAAACCCCAACAACCCCAUUCAUCCAUAUCUUUACUUUGCCAAUUGAUUCACUUGCAUUUGCAUGUUUAUUUUCUGUUUUGCAUUCACACUACAAAUUUAUUUUCUCAAGUCUUAUAAGAUUAAUUUACAUGAAAGAUAAGGCCUAGGAGUCCCUUGGGAAAACGAUACUCAGAAUUACUGUUUAUAUAUUACUUGAUAACGAUCUGGUACACUUGUUAAGGGCUUAACAGUGGGGCACUGACGUUUAUAUAGCGGAAAUUAAUGGCUAUUCACCUACCUGUUAGACAUAUAGACGUCAGUUGGGAGAACCCCGACGUCUAAAAUACUAUAGACAUCGGGGCGCCUUCUAAUUGACGCCUAUAUGUCUGCUAGGUAGGUUAAUAGUCACUCUUUUUCGCCUUAUAGAUGUCAGAUCCCGUCACAUUGACGUCGAUAUACAAUUAUAGACAUCAAUUGCCUUAGUAACCAACAUCUACAUAUAACACACAUAUUAAUUUUGAAAUCGAAUGAACGUUAUAUUAGUGAGGCGCCCGACGUAUAUACGAUUAUCGAUGUCGGUUUUGUGGGCAACUGACGUGUAAUUUCUUGUUAAAUAAUCGGUAAGAACCAGCAGUUUGCGAACUAGCAGUUUGGUCGUCUUCCUUCGCCUUUUCUCUUUGUUGCACUACAUUUCCCAGGUGCGUUUGAUCUCCCAUGAACCAUUUAAAGUUGUUUUUACUCCGAUUAAAGUAAUCUUUGAUGUAUUAUCUUUCAUUUGAACCGAUUAAAAUGAGUUUUCGUUGUGUUUUUGUGUAGUUUUUCUCGUGUCUUUGGGUAGCGUAGUGCACCUUCUCCUAGUUUCCUCGUAAGUAAAACUUGCAUGUUUUGGAUCUCUGAUGACAUAUCAACCCAAAGACGAUCCUGGGUCAUUGCCUAGGUCCAUUCCAACCGCCAAAGAAAAAGAAUACGGUGAGAAUACGGUAACACCGUAUUCUCACCGUAUUCUUUUUCAUUGGCGGUUGGAAUGGACCUAGGCAACGACCGAGGUUCGCCUUUGGGUUGAAAUGCCAUGAUAGAUCCAAAGGACGUAAUUUUUUCUUACGAAGAAACUAGCAAAGGAAGGAGGUGUUAUUAUGCUACCCAAAGACACGAGAAAAACUGCACCAAAACACAACGAACACUUCAUAGACGUUGGUUAAUGUACUGACCAACGUCUAUAGUGGUCAUAGAGGUCGGUUAAUGCAAUGUCUGACAGUUUUAUAGACGUCGAACGUGUCACUGAACCAACAUCUAUAAUGCCCUUAGACGUCGGUUAGUGCAAUGAAUGACAUCUUUAUAGACGUUGAGCUUUGCACUGAACCGACGUCUAUAGCGACGUCACACCUGCAAAAUUCUGACAUCCCAUUAACGUCAUCCAUAAAGACAUCGGUCCAGGAGGUGACAUUAAAAGCCCAAAAUAACUUACGUCUAAAACCCUUUUUCACUGGUGCAACUAAAUCCUGCUAAAAAAAGAGGCUACAAAUUUAAUAUAAAAAAAUUGCAUUGGUGUAAUCCGCUUAAAAUUUAAAAAUUUAAUUAUUUAUAAUUACAUAGAGUCGAUUAAACAUUUUUUUUUAAUAUGAAAAAAAAAUUAAUUGUAGUGUCAGUGUGGCCGAAACUAGAAAUAAUUACAUAUAUUAUUAACUAAAACAACAUAGUUGAUUUUAAGAUUAACUAAAAAGAAGUUUAUAGUUUUAUUACAAAUAAAAAGUUUAUUAAUUUUUAAAUACUAAUAAACUAAAGUUGAUAAAAUUAAAAAAUAUUUUUAAAAACUGUAAACAAAGAAAAUAUCUAAAUGUUAAAAGUCUCUAUUUGAAAUUUCUAAAUUUUAAUUAAAACUCAUUUUUUUUACUAAUAAAAUUUAUAAUACAUUAUUAGAAAAGAUUUGCAAUGUUUGAGAGAAAACUAUGAAGAUCCCAGUUAUCCCAUGUAAUGUAAGAUUAAUAAAGAUAAUGAUAGUGUAACGGUGGAGGAUAUUCACUUCAAAUAGUAGGAUCUGGCCAAAUAUCAUGUUUAAUGUGAGUCUAAUUAGCAUGUCCAAACCUACUGAGUUAUUUGCAAGUGGCUAAAAGAAUCCUACGAUAUUUAAAAGGAAUUUUUUAUACAAAAGACAGGAAAGCAAACGGACUUUAACUAUGCAGGAGACGAAGAUGACUCUAAAAGCACAUAUAAUUAUGUUUUGUGACUUGUGGGGGGUUGUGGAAGCAUCAAGAAGAAAGGGAUAAAAUUGUUAUUUCAUCAUGACUAUGGAUAUGUGGCAAGUAAAAGAGGGAGGUACAUAAAGAAAGAACUUUCUUUUUUACACUUAUAAGAUGGUUGAAAAAAUCAAAUUGCCUCUUUUAUACUUAUUAUUCCUUCUUAUUAUUAUUUCUAUUGUCGUUUCCUUCUCGUUGUCGUUAUCUUCUGUUUAAAUAUUGUGAUAUGAAUGAAUUAAAAAAAGUAUUUUGAAUUAUAUAAUUUGAAAGUCACCUUUAAUUUUAUAAUUAUGUAGAUACUUUCCGAUUGUAUACUGCAUACUAUACUUCCGAAUUAUCCAUUUUUUUUGUGAAAAAAUUAUUUUUUAAGUUAUUUCAAAAGCUUUAUUCUACAAAAGAAAAUGAUUUUAGUAUUACUAUAAAUAAAAAAAGAUUUUUAAAUUGUAUAAUCCAAAAUUGUAAAAUUAAAAAAAUUUCUAUAUAAAAAAUUAUAUUCAAAUUACACAGAAAUUAAAAAUCUUAUCAAUUCCACAAUGUGAAAAAAAAAUUGAGAUUAUAUAAUUCAAAAGAAAAAUAUGAAUUCCAAAGUAUAAGUAGAAUCCAAAAGUUUUUUUUAUAAUUUUUGUAUAAACCAAGAUGUCAUAUUGAAGAUUUUCACAUGCGUAUAUAUAUAUAUAUAUAUAUAUAUAUUUAUUUACUUAUUUAUUUACUUACAGAAGAAGAAACUAAUGUAAGUGAAAAGAAAACAAUUUCUCUUCACACCUCCUUUUCCGCAUGCCAUAAGAUUUUCAUUUUACCAAUGCUUUCUUUAUGGCCCAAAUUAUGUUACACAUAAAUUUGGAUUUUUUUUUACUAAAUUUUUAGUCUUUUAAAAUAUAUUGAUCAACACUAAUUAUAAAACUUUAAAAUAUAUUAAAAAUAAAUAAAAUAUUAAUGCCAAUAUAUUUUUAAUGUUUAAUGAAAGAUAAAAUCAAGAGUUAAAUAUGUUUUUAGUCCCUCAACUAUUAAGCCAUUUUAGUUUUAGUCUCUCUUUCAAACUUUUAUACACUUUGAUCAUUGUCCUUAAGAAAAUUAUAAUGUUUCGUCCUCCAAAAUCAACGACGUUAAAAAUAAGUUGAGCUGGCUAAUGACACAUAUUAACUUUUGUAAUAUUAAUAUAUUAUAACAAUCCCCCACAUAUUGCAAACGUUGUUGAAAGAAAAGUCUUUGACUCAACUAGUUCAAACAUUAAAAGAAAGAUAAGAAACCUUUAUUCUGGCUUUCAUAGGAUGUAAUGCAUCAAAGCUAGUAUAGCAAGCUAUAUGAACCAGUCUUAGAGUUAGAAACUUAACACACAGUGUACUUGGUACAAAAGCUAUAUGAAUAUUAAAAGAAGGUUUAAACCUCUUUUUGGUCCCUAAGUUAUGAGCGGAUGUUCAGUUUAGUCCCCGCUUUUAAAAAUGUAAACCUUUGAUUCCUAAGUUAUAAAAAAUGUAUCAAAUGAGUGCUUUUUUUAUGUUCAUGGUCAAAGUAUAAAGAGCAAUCUCAAGUGUUGUUUUUAUUAAGAAACAAAUCAAAGCAAUCUAAAGAUGUAGCAGUUGUUAAGAAACAACCACAAACAAUAUUUCAAGUUAAAAAAUGACUCAUUUGAUACAUUUUUUAUAACUUAGGGACCAAAGAUUUACAUUUUUAAAAACGGGAAAUAAACUGAACAUCUACUUAUAACUUAGGGACCAAAAAGAGGUUUAAACCUUAAAAGAAAGAUAAGAAACUUUUAUUCUAGGUUUCAUAGGAUGUAAUGCAUCAAAGCUGGUAUAACAAGCUAUAUGAACCAGUCUUAGAUUUAGAAACUUAACACACACUGUACUUGGUAUAGCAAGCUAUAUGAACCAAAGACACUUGACGUGUGUUAGAGGUUUAUCAAUCACAAUACACUACCACAAUCCUUGUUGUUAUUGCUGCGUUGCGCUUACUACGCCAUGCGCGUGCCCGGUAUUCAUGAGUGCUCUAGAGAUCAUGCCAAGAUCCCAUGCAACGGCCCCACUCGACACUCAUAUAGGUAAUUUCAUCAAGUGUAUGUUGCAAAUGAUACACCACCCAUAAGGGAUAUGAAAAUCAUUAAAAACUUUGUUUAAGCUAAAAUUCUUUCACCACAUAGAAUUUUAAUGACAAAGUUUAACCUCUAAAAAAUGUAGUCUUUAGCACUUUCACACACACCAUAGGAAGGGACAUAAUUGAUUAAAAUCAAUUUAGUGUUAUUAGAACUAACAAACGACUUGUUUUUACCCAUAUGAACCUUAUUCAUGGGAUCUCCAAUCACAAAGGUUGGGUUACCAUCACUUGUUUGUUAGCCAGUGGCUUAAGUCUCAUUCCCCUCGAUAUUUCUAAUAUCAUUUGUCUUCCUAGGGGCUUUGUCAGAGGAUCUGCUAGAUUCUGUUCUGACUUCACACAAUCAAUGGAAAUAGUUCCACUCUUUAGCAGCUGCUUCAACAAAUUGUGUCUCAAUUGUAUAUGUCUAUUCUUUCCAUUGUAAUUCUUGUUUUUAGCUAUAGCUAUUGCCAAUUGGCAAUCAUAGUGUAUUGAUACUAAUAGGGUUGGUUUCAUUCCUACUGGAAUGUUCACUAAGAAGUUUUUCAACCACUCAGCCUCGUUACUAGCUAUUUCAAGAGCAACAAACUCAUAUUCCAUUGUUGAUCUUGCAAUAAUAGUUUGCCUGGCUGAUUUGCAUGUAAUCGCACCACCCCCAAGUGUGAAUACAUAACCACUAGUGGAUUUUGUCUCGUCUAAAUCAGGGAUCCAGUUAGCAUAAGGAGUACUCACUAGUUUUAAGUCGUAAAACCCAAACUUCUUAGGAAGUUUCUCAACGUAUUGUUCUUGAGAAAGUAAAAUACUAUCUCCCUUCCUUAUGAUUCUAAUACCUAAAAUUACAUUGGCUUCUCCCAUGUCUUUCAUUUCAAAUUUUGAUCCUAGAAACAAUUUAGUUCUAGCGACAAUCUCAUUGCAUGUACCAAAUAUUAACAUGUCAUCCACAUACAAGAAUAUAAUGACACUAUCACCAUUUUUCUUUCUAAAACUUAAUUAAAAUCAAUUGUCUUUAAUGCUUUUCUUUUCCUGCAUAAUAUUUUAAGCAUAAUUGAUUACCUAACAUAACAUUAUUAGGUUACGACUACCAUAUUUACUCAUAUAUCAAAACUAAUUUCCUUUUUAAAAUAUUCAUAUCUCUAAAUUAAUUUCAUUGAUUAAAAUGAGUAAAAUAUCAUUAUCAUUCAAACAAAACACAAACAUUUACUAGAGCACUCAAAAUUAAAAUAUCAAAUAAUAAAUAAACUUUCAAGAAUAUAUUCACAGUAGGUAAACUCCACGUACCUUUGACAUACUGAAAUUUAAGUCCUUAAGAUUGUAGUAAAAAUACUGACCAAAAUCUUGCAAAGCAAUUUCCGUGUAAAUUAACUUGUGCAAGUCCCCCAAGCCCAGAUUAUUUUUAGAAGAGGAAAAUAGUUAAAGAAUGAACAAGAAAAGAAAAUAAGAAAUAAAUUUGGUGUGUUUUGGAAUGGAAAAAGUGCUCUCUAUUUAUAGAGCUAAGGAAGAAUCAAGAAAAUAAAUGAAAUUAAAAAAAAACAUAAAUGAUUUAAUUAAAAAAUUUUAACGUUGAAAAAAAACGAACGUUGCCACCCAACGUUCAAAAAAUCAAGAUGAUAAUUUAAUGUUUUUAAACCACACAUUAAACUUUUGCAAUAGCAAAAUGAUAUUUAAACACCCUUUUUUGACACUGCUUUGACACUAUCCAGGUGUCAUAUUUUCAUUGGGUGUCUUAAAUUAAAAAAAUGAAACGAUUUUCGUUCUGAAGCAAGGGCAAAGAUGGAAGUUGAAAUAUGAAUUUUUCAGUUUCACGAUUUCAUCUAUCUCUCUCGCGUUCUCUCUCUUUUCAGUCUAAUGUAACAGCCCUCCUCUCGCUCUCUCGUCUCUCUUCUCUCGUCUCACGCGUUCUCUCCUCUGACCCCAAUCUCCGAUCACUGUCGUCUCUGGCGUUUAGCCUCUUGGGUCGCCUCGCCUCGCCAUUGUGUUGGCCCUCUCGGUUGUGGUCAUCUCCACUUGUUUCGCCUCUCGGCAAACCAAUAGUUUGGGCGUUGAAGACCUUUCCCUUUCGUUCAUCAGUGGUGGUGUCAUCUGUUUUUACACCUUGAUUUUUUUUCCAAGUGGCCUUUCUGUGUCGUUCGUGGUGUGUAUCGGCUACGUUGAUUUUGGUGAGUGGGAACUGGACCUUAUACUAUGUUGUUUUCGUUGUUAUACAUUAAGUUUCGCAAACCCUAACAAUGUCCAAAUACUAUGUUGUUUUCGCGCAGGUCCAAUGGAAUCUCUAAAAGCAAGUGUAAGAUUGAAUGUAAAUUUUGUGUAUUUUUUUGGUAUGGGUGAUGUUUUGGUUUAAUGUAUUUCUGAUUUGUUUGAAAUGAUUUGUAGUCGCGCCUACGUGUAUCGAUGCAAUCGGCAACCCUUAUUGAAAUGAAUAGUUUAUUGAAAAAGUCUCAUAUAGAGCGCAUUAGGAUGACACCGUUUCACUAGUGCGUACAAAUUUAAAACCUGUGGAAGUGAAUUUGAAAUUGUUGAAGUGUAUGGUUAAAAGGUGGGUUGGGAAUGAUGUAAGUUUUAGGGUUUGUCAACAGCUUGUUCCGUUGACUACUUUAGAUGUAUAUAUGACAACCGGUUUAGGUAUGGGUGGUCUAGAUGUUCCUCUAGAUGAGUGUCUAGUUGGAUCUGUUGGUGAGGUAUUUAAUCCGAAGACCACUACCAAACAAGAUUUGGUUGAUAUGUUUAACUUGAUUGUGAAUGAUGAAGAAGUAGAUGUUGACGUAGUCUGUAGGUUGUACAUUUUAGUAUGUUUAGUAACCUUUUUUUUGCCUAGGAAAUCUAGAUAUGUCGCAAACAUGCCUUGUGCUAUUUUAGAUGACUUAGAUAGUUUGUGUUUGUAUGAUUGGGCGUCAUGUGUACAUAAACACCUAGUUCAAAGCUUAAAUAACUCAAAGAAGAAGAUUAUGUCGGGACGAAUGAAGAAGUCCCCCAGUCUUAGUGGGAAUGUGGCUGUGUUGCAGGUAACAUGAUUUAUUGAAUAAUGUUUUUGUAAAGCAUUUGACUAUUUGGAUAACUUGUUUGUUUUGAUACUUGAAGGCAUGGGCGGUGGAAAGAUUGUCUUUGCACCGACACAUAAGACACGGGAGGUUCCCACGCAUUUAGGUUUGGAACAAUUAAGAAGAUAUUUAAGACCGGAGAUGUAAGUCUUUGAAAGUUUGUUUACCUUAUUUGAUGGAUAUAUUUGACUUAUGUUGAUGUUUGUGUUUGUUUGUAGUUACAUCUUGAUUGGUAUGUAAGUCGAACGGAUCGUCAUAGUGCUGAACUUCGUAAUGCUUUGGGAAUAGAUGACAUUGGGUUGUCUAAAGGUGAAGAAUCAAAGGGUGAAGCAUCCAGGAUUGAGGAAUCAGAUGAUGAAAGCACUGACACUGCCACGUGGCUGCAAGAUGCUAAUGCGAUAUUGAAGAAGACGAACUCUGAAAUAACGUCAUUGCAUGGCCACAUUUCAAGGUUGACGAAGGAGUUAAUGGACCUUCUUGAAGGAAGGAGACGUUGUUGUCUUCGGGGUUCACCAUCAUAACCAUGAUAUUACAGUAGAAGUUUACAUCAAUGGAUGUAGCUGUAUUUUGAACAACCCAAUAUCGGUGUGAAAGUUAAACAUUAUAAUCAAUAUAUUUUCAAUUCCUGUACUUGUUUUUUUUUUUUGUAAUAAUAUAUAUGUUUAAUGUUAUUUGGACUAAAUGUCAUUGGGUGAAAUCGCCAUAUUCUUAUCUUUUUUGCCAAAAAUUGCAAACGAUUACAACACCCUUUUUCAAUGCACUUGACUCAGGAUUUCAUCCAACUACUUUUAGUGAACACAAGACCUUCCUUAAUGGAAUUUGGGGUNNNNNNNNNNNNNNNNNNNNNNNNNNNNNNNNNNNNNNNNNNNNNNNNNNNNNNNNNNNNNNNNNNNNNNNNNNNNNNNNNNNNNNNNNNNNNNNNNNNNNNNNNNNNNNNNNNNNNNNNNNNNNNNNNNNNNNNNNNNNNNNNNNNNNNNNNNNNNNNNNNNNNNNNNNNNNNNNNNNNNNNNNNNNNNNNNNNNNNNNNNNNNNNNNNNNNNNNNNNNNNNNNNNNNNNNNNNNNNNNNNNNNNNNNNNNNNNNNNNNNNNNNNNNNNNNNNNNNNNNNNNNNNNNNNNNNNNNNNNNNNNNNNNNNNNNNNNNNNNNNNNNNNNNNNNNNNNNNNNNNNNNNNNNNNNNNNNNNNNNNNNNNNNNNNNNNNNNNNNNNNNNNNNNNNNNNNNNNNNNNNNNNNNNNNNNNNNNNNNNNNNNNNNNNNNNNNNNNNNNNNNNNNNNNNNNNNNNNNNNNNNNNNNNNNNNNNNNNNNNNNNNNNNNNNNNNNNNNNNNNNNNNNNNNNNNNNNNNNNNNNNNNNNNNNNNNNNNNNNNNNNNNNNNNNNNNNNNNNNNNNNNNNNNNNNNNNNNNNNNNNNNNNNNNNNNNNNNNNNNNNNNNNNNNNNNNNNNNNNNNNNNNNNNNNNNNNNNNNNNNNNNNNNNNNNNNNNNNNNNNNNNNNNNNNNNNNNNNNNNNNNNNAACACACAACUUAAAACCAAAAUCAUCAAAAACCAAUCCAAAGUUUGCCAAAAAGUGGAAAUUUUACAAUGUGGUCCCCUGUAUACAAAAAACUGGUUUCUUCAGAAGAACUUUCUGUACAAAUUGAAUAAAACAUUCACGUAAACGUUUACCACCAAAUUGUAAACGAUUACAACACCCUUUUUCAAUGCACUUGAGUCAGGAUUUCAUCCAACUACUUUUAGUGAACACAAGACCUUCCUCAAUGGAAUUUGGGGUCUCCAAAAUCAAGUCUCCACCCCCAACACAACUUAAAACUAAAAUCAUCAAAAACAAUUCCAAAGUUUGUCAAAAAGUGGAAAUUUUACAAUGUGGUCCCUUGUGUACAAAAAAAUGGUUCCUUCAAAAGAAUUUUCUGUACAAAUUCAAGAAAACAUUCACGUAAAUGUUUACCACCAAAUUGUAAACGAUUACAACACCUUUUUUUCAAUGCACUUGACUCAGGAUUUCAUCCAACUACUUUUAUUGAACACAAGACCUUCCUCAAUGGAAUUUGGGAUCUCCAAAAUCAAGUCUCCACCCCUAACACAACUCUUAAAACCAAAAUCAUCAAAAACCAAUCCAAAGUUUGCCAAAAAGUGAAAAUUUUACAUCGUGGUCCCCUGUGUACAAAAAAAUUGGUUCUUUCAGAAGAAAUUUCUGUACAAAUUGAAGAAAACAUUCGCAUAAACGUUUACCACCAAUUUGUAAACGAUUACAACACCCUUUUUCAAUGAACCAAGUUUCUCUAUUCAACUAAGAAUGUUGCCUAUGUCCACAUGCAUUGUUUCUUUCAUCCAUUAAGUCCAACAUCAAUAACAAUAUCUGUCAAGUGUAAUAUUUAACAACUGCAUCGUAACAUUAUUUCCCAAGGGCAAUGACAUAACUAAUUCAUUUAACUUCAAUACCAUGUCACAAAAUGAAAGUUCAAUGUCAAAUUCAUUACAAUUCAAAUUACUAAACAAAUCUUUCAACAAUACAACAUCUCUUAACAAAAAGGAAAGUUUAAAAUCUAUAAACAUAUCAUAAUGUCACACAUGUUUUAUUCUUAGAGUUCUAGUAAAAGGAGUUUUAAGAGCUUUGCUCUUGAACCGCGGUUGUGAACCCUUCCUGACAUAAGUCUUCAAUGCAGCUGCAUCAGUGGACAUGGCUCUAAAGGAAAUUCUUUUCCGGGGAAAUGCCUCCCGGGGAGAAGGAAGGAUCUUCACAUGCCACACUCGGUCCACCUUCCUCCAGUCCUCUUCGUCUAGAUUUUUCAAAAGCAACUUCUUCGUCCAAAUUAACAACCUCCCUUUUAAGCCCUGCAACUAGAUUUUGUUGUUGCACCAACGUACGCAUAAUACUAUCUUUGAGGCUUCGUUUCAAUAUUUUAUUUGCGGAGGGUGGUUUAUCAACUUUAGUUUUCAAGCUAGGUUCGUCAUCUUUGUAAUCAUUCGUUGCGCCAACAUCAAAAUCAUCAAGAACCUGAAAUUCAACAAAUAAUAUCAUACCAGCAACACAUACAUCAUAAAAUAAAUAACUCAAACAUUAAACAUCAUACUACACCACUUUGCAAAGCUUGUUUCACAAUGUUGUCUCCCAAAUGUACAUUCAUCCAAUGCAAAAUUCUAGGAGAUUUUUGUAUUUGACCUUUCGGAGGUAAAAAUUUCUCACAUAACCAAACCUACAAAAAAUUCAUCAUCACAAACGCUACUCAAAAAUACAUUUCAAUCCACAACUCACAACACAAUUAAAAAUAAAUUUACUCAUAUUACUUGCAGCAUGUAAGUGCAUUCAUCAAUGUAAACAUUGCUUGUGCCUUUUCCUUUCUUCAAUCCAUCUGAAGCAUUGCACAAACUCCGUACCAAGUAACGGUACACUAAACUACCCCAACAAUAAUUACCCAACCCACUUAAAUUAUCAACAAUUUCAUACAAUACUUGAAACACUCUUCCACUACGAUUGGGGAAUAAUAACUCAGAUAUCCCAACUAAAAUAUACAAACUACAAAAAUCAGAAGAAUGAAUCUUCUUCUUACGUUUCCUCAUCAUACAUUUGUAAACCAAAUCCAAAUCUUUUGUGUCUUUCCCUACAUAUUUAACACAUGAACUUUUUUUAUAAUUUUCUUUCAAGUUCAAGUUCAAGUCCUUACCAUCUGUACUGAACCCCAGACCUAAACAAAAGUCAUUCUCAGUCUCUGAUAACAAAACAACCAUUAGAGUCAACCCACUUCACAACUAAUUCACUCAAUAUAUUCCUAGCCAACCUAACUUUAGGACUCAACUCUAGGAACCAACCAAAAGGAGUCCCACAAAUCAAUGAGUGUUGCUCCUCUGUUAGUUCCUUGGUCAAAGUUGAUAUAUAGUUCGUGGAAAAUGAGUGCCUAACCAUCAACUGCAUCAACCACAAAUGUUCAAAACCCUAAAACAAAUACUACUGUGAAAUUCAAACAAAAGGGAGAAAACAAAAGUAGACCAAGGAUGAUGGCACUUACCUUCGUCGAAGAACUUGCCAUUUCGAAACGAAGGGAUGACACAACCACACCAAGAUCGAAGAAAUGAGACACCAACACCAAGGCCGAACAACGAUGGCGAACACGACAAUGACGUCGAACAAGAGAACGGAGAGGAUAACGUCAGCGAUGGGCAAGAACGACGGCCACAACCAAACCGGAAAAAGGCAAUGACAGUGAAAUGGAGAAAUGAGAAGAAUGAAAAUGUUUCCCUCUAAUGAAACAGGUCAAGGGCAAAACCGAAAAUCAGAUUUUGAAAUCUGAUCCUAAGUUGUGACGUCAUUUUUUUAUUUUUUUUAUUUUAAAAAAAUUUUAACUAAUCGUAGACCGCCACGUCGCAGUGUGAAAUGGGUGUUAAAAUUUUGGUGUCAAAAUAUCAGGACGCUUUGCAAUAUUAAUAUAUUAUAACAUCUACAAAUCCAAAAGUUACCAUCACCAUCGUCACUCAUGCAUUUCUGAUUAAGCUCAUUCUCGCUCUCACCAAUGGACAAGUCAAGUAGUCUGGAGUACAUCAACCAGAUGUUCCCCAAUGGUAAGCCACAAAUCCCAAUCUCACUUCCAACAUUUCGCUUAUUAAAUCCGUGUUUUACUAUGCAGAGACGGUCUCUCUCCGGUGUGGAGCCGUUGACGCAUCCAGAACGAGAUUUGCACAAAUGUUGGAAUUCUCAUCGUCGCCAAUAGGUGUUAAAAUCUCUUCAAUUAAUGUCGCCUGGUUAGGAUUUGUUCCGUCGUUUUCGCUCCCUCAGACCUCCGAUUAUCUGAUUUCAGAGCAAUUCAGGAACUAAGGCUGUAACGUGACAAUGACUUUAGGUAAUGAAUUAUGCUUAAAAUAUUAAUUGAAAAAAAAAACCUUUAAGAGAAACAGAUCAGUGACUUCUAGAUUCUUUUAAUUGUUCUUAUUAUUUUUUUAAGAAAAAGAAAGACAUUGACAUUAAAGCCAAUUAAUUCUAAUUAUUUUCUCUGGAUUGAGACUUCAAAUAUUAGAUUAACCCUAAUUAAAUUCAAUUUGGAAAUUUCAAUUCUAAAAGUCCAAAUCUUUUCUCAAGCCUCAUUCUUGUUCUCGAAUAAUCCAGCUUAGGGUUUGUUCUCUUCUUCUCCUCCCUGUCGUGACUUCAUAAGAAGAGGGAGACACUCAUCUUUAUUUUUUUUUGUCACUUUGUUCAUUUCGUGGUGAGGGAACCUCCUUUUCCUCUUCCCAAUUUCUGGUUCGUACUUUGCAAGGAGGGAAGAAUCCCUUUCGCUUCUCGGUGUUGGAUCGUUCCUGCAAGGACGAAGGCGACUUUGAAUGGCUUAGGCGCGUCUUUCAUUUUUUCUCACGGCAUGGUGGAUGUUGAAGCAGCGAUGCCUUCGUAGCAGCGACGCCUCCGCUCUAGGUUCGUGUUCCGACAUCUUCGCGGCGAAGGGAAGUGGCGUCUGACUUGAAGUUUGGAGUUCCUUAUUGUCGUGAUUUCGAAAUUUUGGGGUUUCUGAUUUUGCGAUUUGGGUGAGUUUCUUGUUUUCCUCUCUGAAUAUAUGUGCUAGAGGAAGUAGUUAAAUGAUGAACUCGUCUUUGCCCCUAGCUGCAUACAAACCACCCCUUUGAGCAAAGUUUAUUAAAGUAAUCAAACAUUUCAUUACACGUAAUCAAACAUUUCAUCACACGUGGUCCAACCGUUAGCUAGCUCAAACUAUUUCUAACACCGUUAGUUUUGGAGGAUGAAAAAGAUAAUUUCCUUAAAAACAAGGAUCAAAGUGUACCACAAUUUGAAAGAGGAACUAAAAUUAAAAUCGCUUAUAGUUGAGGGACUAAUAACAUAUUUAACCUUAAAAUCAAUUAGUUUGCAAGACUUUUUUUUGUGUGCAUUAAAUAUAAAGAUGGUAAUAAGUGUCAGUUUUUCAUCCCAUCCAAGAAAUAAGGGGUUAGGAUAGUUUUUUUAACAUGAAAAACUUAACAAAUUUAGUUCGUCAAGUCAACCUUGCAAGUCAGUCAGAUCAGCUUGACAACUUGCCUUCAUAAAAAAAUUGAAUACAUGGUGUGAUAUUUUGAAUUAACAUAGUCAUAUAGUUUAACAAUAUUUGAUACAGUUCAUUUAAGGGUUUUUGUACCAGAAUGGGAAAAUUUAAGUCCCAUAUUAUGGAUAUAGGCAAAUUUGCCAUAAAUUACGUAAAUGGGGAAGUCGUUGGGGGGGGGGGGGGGAGAAGUCGUGCUUGGGGCACGACUUCACACUGUUUAUUCGAACAGUGGUGAAGUCGUGUACCCCAAAAAUGACUUCUGGAAGCUGUAAUCGAUUACUGAGGGGCUGUAAUCGAUUACAACGUUCUGAAGUCGUACCCUCCCUGCACGACUUCAGCUUUAUAGGCAAAAUUGGGCCGAUUACAGACCCAUUGUAAUCGAUUACCAGCUGAUUGAAUGCAGUGAAAGUCCCUGGUAAGUUAUUACAACAUGGUUGUAAUGGCUUACCAGAUUGUUCUAUGUGCAAAAUGUCCCUGGUAAUCGAUUACAGCCUGGUUGUAAUCGAUUACCAGAUUGUUCUUUGGGUGUUACACAAUUUUUUAAUGAGGUCUUUUAAAGCAUAAAUAGAGGUUUUGUAUGUGUAAUUGUUUGAAUUUUUGUGAGGACAUGAUGGUUGUUGAUUCAUUGUGAAUUAUUGGUAUGGUUAUGAAGAGUAAUUUUUUGAAUGAAAAUAGAAAAGAAAAGCAUAAGGAAAAAAAGGAAAAAAAGUCAUGACUGAACUUAGAAGUAUUUUAUUGUAUUGAAAUUCAUUACAAAACCAAAUAGACUGAAAAUAAAAUUAGACGAAAUUACAAUAAAAUAGCACGCUAUCUAGGAAGAAGGUCCACCAUGUGGACCUCUUUGAGGACGCAGAUAGGAAAUCUCAUGCUCCAUAUGAUCAAUUCGAGUGUCCAAUGUAUCGAAGCGGUCUCCGACGUUCAGCUCGAGUUGUUCUAAUCUUUAAUUAAUGUUUUCGUUCAUAGUGUUGAAGCUUUCCCCCAAAAAUGAUUUGAGAUCAUUGAUCCCCCUCAUGAUGUCAUCAUUUGACGAAGUAUGUUGUUGAAGAAGGGGCGUUAGUGGUGGUUGUUGUGCAGGUGCAGGUUGUGGUUCAUUACCGCGUCGGGAUGGAGGAGGCGAAUUUGUGCGAACCCAUCUCUCGUUUGAAUUUUUCAUAUAUCCAAAGGUUUGUAUGGUUGUUGACCCUAUCAUCAUUUGCCUAGUCUGUAUGCCAGAUACUUCAUCAUCCAAUGGAAAUUCAAAAUGUUCCAAGAUCCGGGUGACCAAAAGUGCAUAUGGUAAGGGAGCAUUUUGCUUCAGAGCCUUCUUCAUCUUAUAUCGGAUGAGAUGGGUCCAACUGAUCUGCUUUCCCGUCAUUAUAAUCCACAUUAAAAUGACAUCUUCCUUAGUAGCCUGGGCAAUGUUAGAAAGACAUGGCAAAAGAACACGAUAGAUAAUAUAAUGUAAAAUUCUAGCAUCAAUUUUCAUAGGUCCGGCUAGAAUUCUACCAAUUUGAGGUUUGUAAGGCAAAGUUAUCAACCGUCUUGCGACAUCCAUACUAUAUUCAUCAGCCCAUUGAUCUAGUAUUUUUCGUUCAAAAUUCAAACCAUGAGUGGGGAGGUUGGCUAUGGAAGCCAAGAGACUAGGUUUGAUAAUCAUUUUAACAUUUUUAACCUCAGUCUUUAAGGUUCCAUUUUCAAAAAUUUUCAAAUUGCUAUAAAACAUACGUAUUAAAUCAGGAAAAUAACUUGUAUGAUCAGCGACAAAAUCAAGCAAACCUAAAUUUGUGAGCAUGUUCAAAAAUUCAAAACCUUCAUCCUCAAAGAAAUGUGUGUCCAAGUAUCUUGGGUCAAUGACCUCACGGUCACUAAAAAGAGUAAAAUACCUUUCUGCUAAUUUUCUUCUAAUUCAUUUUCUGAGGGUGGUGGUGAGAUUGACGGCGAGCUUUGAAUGGGUGAAGGUUGACGGCGACGACGUCCCGCACCCGUAGAAGAUGAGCCCCUAACCCUUUGCCUCUUUGAAGGUUCCGCCAUUUGAAAUUUGAUACAGUGGAAAUUGAAGAGAAUUAAGAGUAUAAUGAGAAUAUGUUGUUUGGAAUUGAAAAUAGUAGCAAAGGAAGUGAUUUUGAAGCUUUUGGAGGUGCAAAAAUGGUGGUUUGGGGCACUGCUGUCGGAGGGGGGGGGUUUGGGUUUGCGUGAGGAGAGAGAAAAAGUUGAAUUUAUAGACUAGGGUUUCGCGUGUAAUCGAUUAUAGGAUUGGUGUAAUCGAUUACGAGGGACCCCUGGUAAUCGAUUACAGGACUGUGUAAUCAAUUACCAAGGCAUCUGGUAGUGGGAUGACAUAUAAGCUCUGAUAAUCGAUUACAGAGUCCCUGUAAUCAAAUACUAAGGGGUCUUUUUGCAUAAAAAUAUAUUUGGUUGUAUUAUUUGAGAAGGAAAUAAUAUCGUUUGGAUAGAAAUAUUAGUUUCACAAUUUGCAUUUAAAUUUAUAUACAUUGUGAACAUAUGAAAUAAUAAUAAACAUAACAAGUUAUUAUUACAAUAAUCAAAGUUGAAGUCGAGUAUUAAGCAUAAGAAGUACUUAUUACAGUCAUCCAUGUAGAAGUGUUAUAAGGACUUAUAAAUAGUAUAAAGUAAUGGAAAGAUUAUUAAACAUUACAUAUUACCAUUGACGUAAAGGGUAUAUGAAUCUUGUUCUUUUUUGUCCAUCUUCGUCUGUGUAAGUCCAAUCUUUAAGAUCCUCGUAGUGCUCAAAUUGAGUUGGAGGACGUAUAUCUAUUAUUUGGACGAAUAGUUCAAUGUACUGAGAUGUGUUUGGACGUUUAACAGACCUGUCAAUAGUUUGUGCUUUUUGCCAACGUCCAAUCAUCUGUGCAAUAUCAUUAUCACAUUUUAUGGAAGCUGUAUCAUGAAUUAGAGUGUUGUUACGUACCUUGAUUGGACGACAAUAGUCGAUAUAGGUGAUAACUCUUCUGUAUCCAAAUUGGACAAUUUCACUUAUUUGAGAAUGAAGUUCAUUGAAUGAGAUAUUGUGAUUGAUUGAGGUGGUGACUUUUGCAUCUGAUCGAAAUUCGAGCCCGUAACCAAACCGACUUUCUAUGAUUCCAGCGCCUUUAAGUUGACCUUCGAAAUAGAUUAUUGCUGGUGAGUUUGGAAUGUCAUUUGUUGGUGCCACAGAUGAAGAUGAUGCAUUUGUUGGAAUCAUAAGACCCAUGAUUUGGUCCAGAGAUCUUACCCAUGUAACAUAAAUUUCAAUGACUGCGUUAACGGGAAAGUGAGACUUACAUGUUAUCAUUUGUCUCACAUCUUCUUCUGAUCGUAGCUUAAAUGCUUCAUACGAAAUUGUUUGAUCAACAUCAAUUGUGGGUCGACGAAAGUACAACUUGUUGAUUGCUGUGUUAGUGGGUUUGUCUGACGCUAUGCAAACUUUUUCCUUAAGAAGUUUGUGGAUGCAGUCGUAUGGGAUGCGAAACCAUUUUGGAUGGUCACAUAUAAACUCAACCCCAUGAUCGCCAUUCCUAAUUUCGUCGUCUUGAAAUAAGGCAGCAAGGUAUGAGUUAUAUAUGUUUUCCAUGGAGGUGGCAUUCAUGACAAAAACUUCAUCAUUGUACAUGUUCAUUUUUUUGAAAGGGGAUGAAGUGCUUUUGAAGAGAACCAUUCAAUAUUAGUUGAAAGUGAGACAAUAUUCUUAUGAGAAUAAAUUUUUAUUACUUAUUCAAAAUACUUGGUACAUGAUAUAAACCAAUUUAAGUUAAGGUUUAUCAUCAUAAAAUAUAUGGUACAUGAUAAGCUCAGGUUUAUCUAUGUCCUCCAGUCCCACAAGUUGGUUUUCUCCGUUGGCGUUGCCCUCGUCUCUGUUGUUGUGGUGGCGAAGUCUGCAUAUCUUCAUCUUCAUCAACGUUUUCAGUUUCGAUCGACUUUUCUUCAUUUUGGAAAUCUAGGGAAGGUCGAUAAACAUUUUGUGAUGAAGACGUUAUUGGUAUCGGAGGGGGUAUUUUUCGAAGAGUAUAACGCAGCGGAAUUAAAAACUAAGAAAGCGUAUAAGCGUGUUCAGUCACUGUUAAAACGAAGUUGGUCCUUUUUCGCAAAAAUAAUUUUCUUUCAGAAAAUUAAUCACACAGUUAAUAUGCGUAAACUAAAAUGAGUGUAGGGAAUAGAAAAAUCACAUGAGUAUUUUUAUACUGGUUCGAUUCAACAGAAUCUACGUCCAGUCGUUAAUCACUGUAAAGAGUGAUUAACAGUUCCACUAAAAAAAAUCUCACAGAUUACAAUUAAGUGAACAAAUUAUAAAAGAACCUUCCUUCGACGAGCGAACCGGAAGAAGACCACUCUACCAACUUGAAGAGAACCGCUCCGGCAAUCGACCAACGAUUCACGAGCUUCUCCUUUCACAAGACCAGGCAGAGCACCUUGCUAACUCGAAGAGAGUCUGCUUCGACUAGCGACACACGAUAUGCGAGCCUCUUCUUUCACGAGACCAAGCAAGGGAACAAUGAACAAAAGCUUCUGAGAACGUUCCUCUAACACACAAUGUUUUAUUAAGCUUUCUUAGUUCAAAACGUUGCUUCUGAAGAUUACAAAAACCAAUUAUAUAGCCAAGUACACUGAAUGCCAAAGGUCAUCUCCCAACUGCCAUGAAUAAUCGAUUAUUGUAAGUGAUAAUCGAUUAUUCAAGUCCGUUACAGAGUUUUCAAAAAGUGAUAAUCGAUUAUAUGAAGUGAUAAUCGAUUAUUCAAGUAUGACUUGUGAUAAUCGAUUAUUGCUUCAUGAUAAUCGAUUAUUCUAGUACAAAAUGCAUGUGAUAAUCGAUUAUAGCUUGUCCAUAAUCGAUUAUUCCAGUAAAAAUUACAAGGUUUAAUAUUUUCCUACUACAUUCAAAAUCUACCAGUUGCUUUUUAAAUAAAUCUAAUGUUUUCUUCAAACAAUACUUCUUGCAGCAUCAUCAAAACAAUUCUUCAGGUUUUACCAAUACUCCUUAUUGGUAAGAAUCUCCCCCUUUUUGAUGAUGAUCAAAAAUUCACUUUUAAAAGCAACUUUGGUUUACCUGCAACACAUACAAGCUAAUAGACAACCACAAAGUUAGCAGUACCUGUACAAUUGUAAAAUAUUUCUCCCCUUAUAAUUCUUCUCCCCCUUUUCGAUCAUAAGCAAAAAGAAUAAUGUAAAAGUCUCCCCCUUAAUAUGAGUUCCCUCUCAAUUAUAUAAUAUAUGCAUAAGAUUGACAUAAAAGCUCAUUAUAUUAAGAACAGAAAGGAAUUACAUGAAAUUCAUAAAGAUCAAUACUAAAUACCACAAAGAAAAUAACAGAACAAACAAUCUUAGUGGCCUAAAACCUAGAAUUCAGGGCUAGGGGAUCUUUCAGUAGGUGGGAUAUUGAGAUGACUCUCAAUGUUAGAUAGGCGAACAUCAAUUUCAUGAAAUUGAUCAACCACUUAAUCUUCAUGAGCUUGCUGCCACUCAUAAAUUUUAUCAAAGUAAGUUCUUUGGGCAAGACUUCAGUUAUCACAAAAGUUCUCAAUCAAAAGCUUCACCCCUUCUUUUAAAAAAAAAUCAACUAAAGUUUAUGCUCCCUAUAAAAUAGGUAAAUUAAAAAGGAUUUAAGUCCUUUAAAAGUACUCUCCCUAAAUGUAAUAAUCCCUUUUGAAAGAAAAAUAGAAAAAAAAAUUAAAAAAGUUUUUUUUACGCUGAUAAUAAUCGAUUAUUUGUGUUCAAAAUUGUCAAAAUCUAAAUUUUUAGGCCGAGAUAAUCAAUUAUGACCCUUUGGUAAUCGAUUGUUGACGUUAAUUUCCGAAAAACAGAUAUUUGGGCCAAUUUUUCAACCUAAAACACAUCUAUCAUUCAUAAAAUGUCUUCUAAGAUCAUAGAGUAAAGAUAUUCCCUUAAAUGGCUCUCACCCUCAUCAAAAGAGAGAUGCAAUUUAUAAAAUUUGAACUUUUAUAAAAUGAGAGGCAAAUACAUGAUGAAAUACCAAAGUAUAGAUGAAUAACCAGAUAUCUAACAACCUUAUAUAUCUCUCCCUUAAAUGGGUACCAGGUAUCACAAGAUCAUGUCAUAAGAUGUCAAACAAAAAUUUCUUAUGCACUCACAAACAGAUUGAAAAAUAUUUUAAGAUCUGUUCAGCCCAAAACAAUGGAGAAAUGCUUACAAGCCAGAUAAGUAUUUGCAAUUCCAAAACAGUUUCAAUAAUUCUUAGUAAAUGAAAUCCAACUUUUAGCAUACUCAAUUUACCCAUGAAAUCAACAAUCAUUUAUCAAAUAAUUUAGAUGUUUAUGAUUCAACCACUAAUUUAUAAACUAUAAUGAACGCAAUAGUAGAUUAAAUGAAUAUGAUCACAUCACAAUUGCUUCAGGUUUAACAGGAAAGCAUUUCUACUAGCACAAGUAGUUCAAAAAUUAAUUUUGACAGCAUAAUUUAUACCUUCCCAAAUAGCAACUAUGAUUCAUGCAUUCUCAUAUCCCAGUCUGUUCAACCCCAUGAAUUCAGUUGUGCAUAUCAAAACAACAUAUACAUCAAUUCAAACAAUAUGCAGUAAUCAAAUUUAAUUCAAUAAAUUUUUUUAUCUUGGUCCAAAGAAUUUUAUCCCCCAACUUUGUCAACUACUUCAGGCUUUUCUUAAGAAACUUAAAGCACACAAAUCUUUCUUUCAAGUUUCAGAAACUAGAGAAGAAAAAACUUCUCAGACAAUAUUUGUUAGACUAAGAAAUUAGAAAUUUGAGGUAAAAUAAGACAGCUGCAAAUUGACAAACAAGAAGUUAUGAGACAUUUAAAAAAUAGUCAAAUUUGGGUGUAUCAGUUUUCAGAUUUAAGCUUGUGCUGUUCUUUCAUCCUUUUAGAAGGAUUUAGAAGUUUCUUUUGAAUCAAACAACUUUUGGACACCUAAUUGGUCUAAAAAACAAUUUAGAAAACUUCAAUAAGACACUAUGAAAUUAUUACAAGAUCUUCAACAUUAAACUAGUGGUAAACCAAAAAUUAAAAAAUUGACUCAACCAAGGAAUUCCAGUUUUGCCUAACUUAUUUUAAAAGACUAUUCCUUUGUGAUUUUCACACCAAAAUUUAACACAAAAGCUGAUUUAGAUUUUAUCUUUCAAUAAUCUUUUAAACCAAAUAAUUUAUAGCACAAUUAUGCAAAUUUGAUCAGUUAAUUUACUGUAUCCAAGCUCUCAAUGUGUAUAAACAAAUCUCAUAUGGGAUGGAUUUGAAAAAAAAUAAAUCUUCACAGAAACAGCUUCGAGACAGAAUUGUCAAUUUAAUCAUCAAUCGUCUUAAUCAUCCAGAAAUGCAGAUAGAAACUAUCAACUAGCUCAUUCAAAUUAAUUUUUCAUUGCUUUUGAUGCUUGAUAAAAAAUUAUACCAAGGCUAACUUUAAAGUACUCAUGGAAUUGAAUACUGAGCCAGUUAAACACAGAUUCAAUUUGUAAAUAAAAACAAAUCAUUGAAGUAACAAUUGCACAAUGACUAUUCAUUCCAAAAGAUUAAAUUUAGCACAUGAAUAUCUCAUAAUAGAAGAAUUUUACUGAUUAAAGUGUUAAAACAAAUAAGAACACACCACCGGAUAAAUGAAUUAGUGAUGAACAUAUCAUUUGCCCAAAUAGAAAUGAAUAUAAUAGUAAUCAAAGAUUUUAAGAUCAAGCAGAGAUGCAGCGGUACAGGUUAAAUACUACUUAACUCAAUCACUUGGUGCUCGAACCAAAGCUUUGGAUAUCACUUGAUUGACUCACUUCCUGGCUUGGAGCAUCAAUUCCAAAAGCAAAGUAUCAUAAAGUUCUCUUCUCCUUUUGAAAAACUUAUUCUGCAAGACAAAGCAAUAGAGUUUUUGGUACCCAUAAUCUUAUUUGGGUCCUUGAGGUUAGAGACAUAUUACUUUACGAUAUGAAUCCAAGUAUAUUUUCCAUUUGGAACUCCAAAAUGUUUAAUGUUGCAUUUGUUUGACGUGUGACCAUGCUUCAUACACUAAAAACAACACACAUUACUCACUUUAUUUUUAACAAAAGUCCCUUUUUCAACCCAAACUCUAUGAGUUUUUCUUACUUUGGACUUAUAAUUUUGAUGCAUGUUUCUAUUUUUAACAUUGCCUUUAUUAAAGUUUUUUUAGCAUGUGAAAUAUUCUUGGUUGCCUUUGCAAGUAAGUUUUCAAGUAUGUCAAUAUCAAACAUAUGACUCUUACAAGACAAACACUUAACAGGUUCACUAGUAGCAUUGGCAUCAGACAAUUUAGUUUCUAAAUUACUAAUUUUGUUUCUUAAAACAACUUCAUCAUCAAGCAAUUUGUCAUAUUUCAAUUUCAAUUCAUCAUGCUCUUUCUUAAGCUUUUUAUGAUCCGCAUCUAAUUUCUCAGAUUCAUUUCACAAUUCAAGAAUAGAUUUUUGUAAAUCAAACUCACUAGUGUCAAGNCUAGAGCCACUUACUUGGCUUGUAGUGUCAUCAGUAGCAACUGUCAAACAUAGGUUUGCUUCUUCAAUAGAAUCACUUGAACUGCAAGUGCUUGAUGCAUUAUCUUCCCAAGCAAUGUAGGCCUUCUUCUUUUUGUGAGAUUUCUUUGCUUUUCUUUUGUUGCUUGAACAAUCAGCUUUCACAUGGCCUCUUUCACCACAUCCAUAACAUUUGAAGCUUGAUGUGGAGCCUUGAUUGUUCUUCUUCUUCUUCUUCAGGAUUUUGCUUUCACUAUUUACCAUUAAGCAUAUAUUUUCUUCCUCAUUAAAAUCUCUUGAGCUUGAGGAGUUUGAUGUAGAGCUUGAAUCACACGGUGUCAACUUAUCCACAUCUAUGACUUCAUUAUAACUGAGUCUUAAAAAUUUCUACAUUUCUUAUGCACUUUUAUAAACAGAAACUUUGAAGAAUUCAUUAGGGGUUAGUGCAGAUAAAAUUAUAUUUCUAGCCUUAAAAUCAAAUUGGGCUCUUCUAUUUUCCUCUGUAGUGCAGUCAAAAUAUGAUUUCUCUACUUCUACACCAUCAACUGGCUCAUAGGGAUAUAAGGAUCAUUUUGUACAGCUUCCCAGAUGCCUCUAUCAACAGACCCAUAAAAAUUUCCAUUCUAACUUUCCAGAAGGCAUAGUUAUCACCAGUAAAAAGUGGAGGUCUGUUAAUGGAAGCACCCUCAGCAUAUACAAGGUUUUGAUUGUGACCGACCAUUUUCGCAAAUAUUUUUUGAAAAACUAUCAAAGCAAGCUCUGAUACCGAUUGUUCGUAUCGGAGGGGGUAUUUUUCGAAGAGUAUAACGCAGCGGAAUUAAAAACUAAGAGAGCGUAUAAGCGUGUUCAAUCACUGUUAAAACGAAGUUGGUCCUUUUUUGCAAAAAUAAUUUUCUUUCAGAAAAUUAAUCAAACAGUUAAUAUGCGUAAACUAAAAUGAGUGUAGGGAAUAGAAAAAUCACACGAGUAUUUUUAUACUUGUUCGAUUCAACAGAAUCUACGUCCAGUCGUUAAUCAUUGUAAAGAGUGAUUAACAAUUCCACUAAAAACAAUCUCAUAGAUUACAAUUAAGUGAACAAAAUAUAAAAGAACCUUCCUUCGACGAGCGAACCAGAAGAAGACCACUCUACCAACUUGAAGAGAACCGCUCUGGCAAUCGACCAACGAUUCGCGAGCUUCUCCUUUCACAAGACCAGGCAGAGCACCUUGCUAACUCGAAGAGAGUCUGCUCCGACUAUCGACACACGAUACGCAAGCCUCUCCUUUCACGAGACCAAGCAAGGGAACAAUGAAAAAACGCUUCUGAGAACAUUCCUCUAACACACAGUGUUCUAUAAAUCUUUCUUAGUUCAAAACGUUGCUUCUGAAGAUUACAAAAACCAAUUAUAUAGCCAAGUACACUGAAUGCCAAAGGUCAGCUCCCAACUACCAUGAAUAUUUGAUUAUUGUAAGUGAUAAUCGAUUAUUCAAGUCCGUUACAGAGUUUUCAAAAAGUGAUAAUCGAUUAUAUGAAGUGAUAAUCGAUUAUUCAAGUAUGACUUGUGAUAAUCGAUUAUUGCUUCAUGAUAAUCGAUUAUUCUAGUACAAAAUGCAUGUGAUAAUCGAUUAUAGCUUGUCCAUAAUCGAUUAUUCCAGUAAAAAUUACAAGGUUUAAUAUUUUCCUACUACAUUCAAAAUCUACCAGUUGCUUUUUAAAUAAAUCUAAUGUUUUCUUCAAACAAUACUUCUUGCAGCAUCAUCAAAACAAUUCUUCAGGUUUUACCAAUACUCCUUAUUGGUAAGAAUCUCCCCCUUUUUGAUGAUGAUCAAAAAUUCACUUUUAAAAGCAACUUUGGUUUACCUGCAACACAUACAAGCUAAUAGACAACCACAAAGUUAGCAGUACCUGUACAAUUGUAAAAUAUUUCUCCCCUUAUAAUUCUUCUCCCCCUUUUCGAUCAUAAGCAAAAAGAAUAAUGUAAAAGUCUCCCCCUUAAUAUGAGUUCCCUCUCAAUUAUAUAAUAUAUGCAUAAGAUUGACAUAAAAGCUCAUUAUAUUAAGAACAGAAAGGAAUUACAUGAAAUUCAUAAAGAUCAAUACUAAAUACCACAAAGAAAAUAACAGAACAAACAAUCUUAGUGGCCUAAAACCUAGAAUUCAGGGCUAGGGGAUCUUUCAGUAGGUGGGAUAUUGAGAUGACUCUCAAUGUUAGAUAGGCGAACAUCAAUUUCAUGAAAUUGAUCAACCACUUAAUCUUCAUGAGCUUGCUGCCACUCAUAAAUUUUAUCAAAGUAAGUUCUUUGGGCAAGACUUCAGUUAUCACAAAAGUUCUCAAUCAAAAGCUUCACCCCUUCUUUUAAAAAAAAAUCAACUAAAGUUUAUGCUCCCUAUAAAAUAGGUAAAUUAAAAAGGAUUUAAGUCCUUUAAAAGUACUCUCCCUAAAUGUAAUAAUCCCUUUUGAAAGAAAAAUAGAAAAAAAAAUUAAAAAAGUUUUUUUUACGCUGAUAAUAAUCGAUUAUUUGUGUUCAAAAUUGUCAAAAUCUAAAUUUUUAGGCCGAGAUAAUCAAUUAUGACCCUUUGGUAAUCGAUUGUUGACGUUAAUUUCCGAAAAACAGAUAUUUGGGCCAAUUUUUCAACCUAAAACACAUCUAUCAUUCAUAAAAUGUCUUCUAAGAUCAUAGAGUAAAGAUAUUCCCUUAAAUGGCUCUCACCCUCAUCAAAAGAGAGAUGCAAUUUAUAAAAUUUGAACUUUUAUAAAAUGAGAGGCAAAUACAUGAUGAAAUACCAAAGUAUAGAUGAAUAACCAGAUAUCUAACAACCUUAUAUAUCUCUCCCUUAAAUGGGUACCAGGUAUCACAAGAUCAUGUCAUAAGAUGUCAAACAAAAAUUUCUUAUGCACUCACAAACAGAUUGAAAAAUAUUUUAAGAUCUGUUCAGCCCAAAACAAUGGAGAAAUGCUUACAAGCCAGAUAAGUAUUUGCAAUUCCAAAACAGUUUCAAUAAUUCUUAGUAAAUGAAAUCCAACUUUUAGCAUACUCAAUUUACCCAUGAAAUCAACAAUCAUUUAUCAAAUAAUUUAGAUGUUUAUGAUUCAACCACUAAUUUAUAAACUAUAAUGAACGCAAUAGUAGAUUAAAUGAAUAUGAUCACAUCACAAUUGCUUCAGGUUUAACAGGAAAGCAUUUCUACUAGCACAAGUAGUUCAAAAAUUAAUUUUGACAGCAUAAUUUAUACCUUCCCAAAUAGCAACUAUGAUUCAUGCAUUCUCAUAUCCCAGUCUGUUCAACCCCAUGAAUUCAGUUGUGCAUAUCAAAACAACAUAUACAUCAAUUCAAACAAUAUGCAGUAAUCAAAUUUAAUUCAAUAAAUUUUUUUAUCUUGGUCCAAAGAAUUUUAUCCCCCAACUUUGUCAACUACUUCAGGCUUUUCUUAAGAAACUUAAAGCACACAAAUCUUUCUUUCAAGUUUCAGAAACUAGAGAAGAAAAAACUUCUCAGACAAUAUUUGUUAGACUAAGAAAUUAGAAAUUUGAGGUAAAAUAAGACAGCUGCAAAUUGACAAACAAGAAGNUCAUGAUAAUCGAUUAUUCUAGUACAAAAUGCAUGUGAUAAUCGAUUAUAGCUUGUCCAUAAUCGAUUAUUCUAGUAAAAAUUACAAGGUUUAAUAUUUUCCUACUACAUUCAAAAUCUACAAGUUGCUUUUUAAAUAAAUCUAAUGUUCUCUUCAAACAAUACUUCUUGCAGCAUCAUCAAAAUAAUUCUUCAGGUUUUACCAAUACUCCUUGUUGGUAACAGACGCGUGUUGGUAUGCAGACGGAGGAGUCGUCGUGGAGGUUCCAAAAUGAUGCGAAGGCCCCGCACUAAAUGUUGACGGACCUACACUGAAUGGUGUUGACGAUGGAAAGUAAUCAUAAGAGCUUCCACCAUGAGGAUACGAAGAUGGAUAUGGACAGUUCAAGUGCUGAAAGGAAGACCUUUGUGAGACGUCGUACGGUGGUCAUGAACAAUAUGCAGAUGGUGGUUGAAAAUGUUGUUCAUUAUCCUGGUCAUACUGUGCAUAACAAAUUUAUGGUUACUUUCGUACCAAAAAACAAACAUUAAAGAAUGGAAUUUUAAUCAUAUUGUUCUAGCUCUUCGUCCGAUGAGUCAUCUUCAAUUAAAGCAAUAUAGUGGAUAGUAUGACUUAUAUACCAUUGCAUAUACUCUGAAUUGCCACGCCAAUGGCCAUUUCUGUGGAAUGGAACACUGGUAAAUAUAUGAUUUUGACGGUCAUUCCAUAUACCAAUCCACUGUUUAUGGUGAUCUUGUCAAUCCUAGUCUACUCGUCCUCUCAUAUCCUCUUUAUGUAUGUCGUCCAGAUUUAUCAGUGGUUGUGGGACAGGUUGUCGAAAUCCAAAUUGACGUAUAACACGGUCUGAGUGGUGGAAUUCUACAACUGAGGGAUUCCAUCACAUCUGUAGGGAUUCCAUAAAAAUGUAGAAUACUUGUUUCGGUGAAAGGUCAUCCAAUUUCUAACGAAAUUGUUGAAAAGUUGUGGUGUCGUGGAAUAUUGAUUGUGUUGUUCGACACCAUCUUUUUGCCAAUGGAAAAACAACAUCGCCGUAAAUGUCGUCCUGAGUUACCUUAUGUAUUUGCAGAGCAAUGCAUGUUAUUGUUUCCCAUGCCCAACACUGUAACAAUAUCAUGUAGUCGCAUGAUCAAGGGAACGGUACAAGCAUGAAAGAACUCCAGAUGCCCAGCUAUAGUUUGCCACCGUAUGUAAGUCAGCUAAAAGUGGUAGAUACAUUAAAUGUACCAUGCUUGCAGAAGUAUCUGGCAUUAGUAUGCUGCCAAUUAGCAGCAACAUGUACUCUCUUGCGUAUUGUUCCACUACCUCAUGGGUGGCGUCAUCAGGUAACAGGCGAAACGUAUUAUUCAGCCAGGAAAAUUUUAUUUUGUUGCCUCUGAUAGUAUUUUUCGGAGGAACAUGUCCUAGUAGCUGCUGACAAAAUAAUGUGAGAGGUCCACUGCUGAUGCCAGUGACAUCAUGACCUUCAAUUGGAAGCCCUAGUUGCAAAGCAACGUCUUCCAGUGUUAUUGUACUUUCCCCAAGAGGCAAGUGGAAAGUAUGAGUUUCCAUUCUCCACCUCUCGACCAAAGCAUUCACUAGCACAUGAUUUAUUUCCAUAUUUGAAACUUUCAAAAUAUGGCUAAAUCCUAUUGCUUCUAGUAUAUUCAUAACUCUAGCAUCGACUUCGUUGACAUGUUUAGCUAUCCAGAUUGCAUGUCUUCUUGGUCGAAGAACUCUUUCGAUUCCUUCCCAAAUUGCCUUGACAACGUGUUUAUCUUGAAGACGUAAGAGAGACAUAUCUACGGGAAGAUGACGUGCAAAUGCCAUUACGUAUAUUUUUUUAUACUUGGGUGUAAAAAGAAAGAGGGAUAGAAAAACGCACUUCUUUCUCUCAGAAUACAAUGCUUUCUCUCAUAAUACAAUGCUUACAAUGCCUUUGCUUAUGCUUUCUCUCCUCCAUCAAUUUAUAGGCGAAUGAUUGAUGGACAACAUCACUUUUUUCAUGUGAAUGUUUAUACAUUAUUGAGAAGGAAACCAUCAAGUUGGAAAGAAUAAAGUUGGUACAAUGAUAAAUGUGCACGAAUGGACAGAAAUGAAUAUUGAAGCAUGCUGAAUGAAUAGGAAGCCUAAAUAAUUAUUAGGUAGUACGUACUUUCACCUACAUAUAUUACUUUAAUUUAUUAUUUAAGUUGGAGAUAAUUUAUAUUUAAAAUUUUAAGAUACAUUAUUUGUUGUAAUUAAUUUAUUUAGUUUAAGUAAAAUAUUUAUAAUUUUAUUUUCGAUAUAUUAUAAUUUUUUAUGAAUUUUUUUAAUUUAAAUCAUUUUUUUAACAAAUUAAAAUGAAUUAAAGAAAAUAAAAAAUGGAAAAGUGAAGUUGUAAGGGGUGCACGACUUGAACUAUUAAAGUCGUACACUCCUCUUACAACUGCACUUUUCCAUUUUUUAUUUUCUUUAAUUCAUUUAAUUUGUUAAAUAUAUGAUUUUAAUUAAAAAUAUUCAUAAAAAAAUUACUUUAUGAAGACAAAAUUAAGAAAAAAUUUAUACAACUUCUAAAAUAUAAAUAAUUUAUUUUUCAAAAUAUAUUUUAAUGUUUUUUAAUUUGUUUAAUUUGUUUUUGUUAAUAUUAGGUUUUUAUAACAAAAAAAAUUAAAAAAAUUUCAUUUCUUUUAAAAAAUUAAUAUGACAUAAAAAAAAUUGUAUAACACAAAUACAUUUUUUAUGCAAUAUAUUUCAAUUUUUUAUGAUUUUUAUUUAUUAAAAAAUAAUGAUUUUGGUAAAUUAAAAUGAAUUAAAAAAAAUAAAAAAUGGAAAAGUGAAGUUAUAGGGGGUGCAGGACUUCAACUAUUAAAGUCGUGCACCCUCCCUACAACUUCACUUUUCCAUUUUUUAUUUUCUUUAGUUCAUUUUAGUUUGUUAAAAAUAUGAUUUUAAUUAAAAGAAUUCAUAAAAAACACUUUAUGAAGACAAAAUUAAGAAAAAAAUUAUACAACUUCUAAAACAUAAAUAAUUUAUUUUUCAAAAUAUAUUUUAAUUUUUUUUAUGUUUUUCAUUUUUUUUAAUAUUAGGAUUUUAUAACAAAAAAAAUUAAAAAAAUUUCAUUUCUUUAAGAAAAAAUUAAUAUGACAUAAAAACAAAUUGUAUAACACAAAUACAUUUUUUUUUUGCAAUAUAUUUCAAUUUUUUAUGAUUUUUCUUUAUUAAAAAAUAAUUUUUUUAGUAUAUUAAAAUGAAUUGAGGAAAAUAAAAAAUGGAAAAGUGAAGUUGUAGGGGGAGUGCACGACUUCAACUGUUAAACUCGUGCACCCCCUAAAACUUCACUUUUCCAUUUUUUAUUUUCUUUAAUUCGUUUUAAUUUGUCAAAAAUAUAUGAUUUUAAUUAAAAAAAUUCAUAAAAACUUACUUUAUGAAGAAAAAAUUAACAAAAAAAUUAUACAUCUUCUAAAACAUAAAUAAUUUAUUUUUCCAAGUCAAACUUUGUCAAAUGAAACUGGAUCUAGAAAUAAAAGGUAACUGCCAAAUUUAAUAAGCACGCCUGCAACCAUGCAUGCAAAGAUAUACUUAGCUGAUGCUGGCAACAGUUACACCUUGAACUUCACAAAUCGUAUUUCAUUAAAUAUGGCAUUUCAUCUUCAAAGCAACAUACAACACUCAAGCCAUAUCAAUUGUUGUAUUUCUCCUUACACACUAUUUCCUAAUGGUAUCCUCCAACUUUGGAGCAUCUUCAUCAUCACAAAUCAUUGAUGAAGAACCUUUGAUAUUGGAUAAUGUUGAUGAUUUCAGCAUAGAUGAUGAAUUGAAUAACUUACUUCGCGAUGAACACAAUGACGCUGAUCAAAUGACACAAUCAUCUCAGCAUGUCAUUCCAGAACUGCAUGAGCAUAUGCAAUUUUAAACAAAGGAGGAAACUGUUGCUGCAAUCAAACAAUAUCACAUCACCAACGGUUAUAAAUACAGCGUUGUUGAAUCCAAGCCUAACAUUUAUGUUAUUCGAUGUCUGAAAUGCCACGAAGGCUGUGAAUGGCGCUUGAGGGCAGGCUAUAGCAAAGUCCGUAAAUAUUGGGAAAGUAAAAAUAUCAAGGGGCAACAUACGUGUUUCUCAAAAAUACUAUCUCAAGAUCAUACAAAUCUUGAUAGUACACACAUUGCCGCAAUUGUAUCAAAUUAUGUCUGCACAAACCCCUCCAUUCCCAUCAAGAGUUUGAUUACAAAUAUUAAAGCUCGAUUCGGAUAUUCCAUGUCAUACAGAAAAGCUUGGAUCGCAAAACAAAAGGCUUUUGCUAUGGAGUUUGGUGAUUGGGAAGAGUCUUAUAACCAUCUGUCGUGGUGGUUGCAUGCAGUGAAGGAUGCAAACCUUGGGACAAUUUUACAAUGCAUCGGUUCUCCAGUGGAGAUUGAUGGAGAAACUAACAAUAAUUGCUACAUUAUGGAAAGAGGUUUUUGGUCUUUCGGUCCUUGCAUACAAGGAUUCAAAUAUUGUAAACCCAUUCUCUAAGUUGAUGGAACAUUUCUGAGAGGCAAAUAUAUCAUGGAACUUUGCUUAUUGCCAUGGGUCAGGAUGGCAAUAGAAAUCUUUUUCCAGUGGCAUUUGCCAUUGUAGAAGGUGAGACAAAGGAGGCCAUGAUAUGGUUCUUUCAACUACUUCGAGAACAUGUUUGCCCUCAACAAAAUAUUUGCAUCAUCACUGACAAAGGAAAAGGUAUCUUGUCCGCCUUAAGAUCAAAAGAAGUUGGUUGGGAAGAAGAUGGUUUGAACUCUGUUUAUUGCAUACGUCAUCUAGCCUCCAACUUCAACAGCAAAUUCAAAAAUUAUGACCUCAAAAAACAAUUCAUUAAUUUAGGUAUGACUACAUUCUUUUUUACUACUACCAUUUUACUGUUUAUAUUUUGUUAACAUAACUAUACAAAUUAUUGUAAUUAUUACAUCCUAACAGCAUACGAGGUCAAGCAACCUACGGUCACGACAAGAACAUAAUAUAAUUAUCUUUUUUAACCUUCUUAAUUUUAGAUAAAGUGUUAUAAUUUUAUAUCCUCAUAUUUUUUCUAAUACUAUUAAUAAUAACAAUCAUAAUAGAAAGUUAUUGACCUUGAUUUGUUUUAAAAUGUGUAUAAUAUAAUAAUUUUUUUUCUUAUCUUCUUCAAAUUUAAAGAAUAAAAUAUAAUCGUAAGUCCUAAGGAUGCAUAUUCAGACAAUAUAAGUAAUUCUAAGAUUUUUUUUUCUUUAAUUAGUGUUUGCUUAGGAUAAAUAAUGAAAAUUUGAAAAUAUUUAUAUUUAAUAAACUAAUAAAAAUAUAAAUUUUAUCAAUGUAAAUGUUUUAUAAAUAAGAAAUGCUGCAUUGCAUUUGAAGAUAAAAAGAGAACACGAGUCAGUUCUUGCUAAUUUAAAUAUACAAACAAUAUAAUACUUUUCUUUUAUAUAUAUAUAUAUAUAUAUAUAUAUAUAUAUAUAUAUAUAUAUAUAUAUAUAUAAUGAAGAAAAAAAUAAUAUUUUAGAAGUAGUAAUAAAUUAAAAAUAGUAAGACUCAAUUAUUUUAAUAUUAAAAAGUUUUAAUAUGAAUGGAUUUGUUACAAACGAAUUUCGUUAUUUUAAAACACAUAAUCUUUCUAGAAACCAUUUUUCUGGAGUUUUCUAACUUCUUUUUGGGAGUUAUUCUUCUAUGCUCAAUUGAUUGAGGAACUAAGACGGUAGGAGUGAUUUUGGCAACAACCUCUUCAAUUGAGACCAAUAAGUUUCUCAUAUGAGUAAGUUAAGUUUAGACCCUUUUCUUUGGUCCUUUCCUUCUUCUGUUGCAUGUGGGCCCCGCUCAUUUUGCAUGUAAUGUCUGAGUCUGACUCUCUAUUGAUCAAUGAUACCAACAGUAUACCCUGAUCAUGUUUCUGUUUUCUGUAGGAACAAAUAGAGUUCCUUAAGCUAUGUGAGCAGAUCAUGAUUCUUUAGAGCAAUUGGUCUUCUAAAAGGUAAGGGAAACUAAUUUUUUUGUCUUUAAUUUGUAUUAUGAAGCAUGAACUGAUAGUUAAUGGUACGUGGAAUUAAUGUAUGUUGAUUAUUAUACCUGGAAUGAUGGUUUUCAGUAUUAAGUGUGUUUAGAUGCAUUUUAUUGGUUGAAUGAUUGUUUAUGGACUUUGAUGUUUCUGUUUGGACUUGAAUAUUGUCAUUAAUGUUGUGAUUGUGAAGUCGGGGAUGUAAUAUCUAUGGUAUUGUUGAAGAGAAAGGAAUUAGGCUAAGUUAUAUGUCAUUUUUGGGCUAAAAUAGAGGUUUUAAUAGGUUAAUUUUAGAAGUAAGGGUUUAAGUAGAUAAACUGUAACUUAGGACAUGUUGUAGGGACAAUUGAGACUUGUUGGUAGCUUGAGUUGCUAAAAAUCUUAAAUGGAAAUGAGUACGAGUCAAUAGGGUGGUUUAGGAAGAUUUUAACCUCAAUUUAGGGGUUUUGGAGAGUGAGAUUUUGAUUUGAAAGGUUUGAGACAAAAUGGAGUGUUUGGGGACUGUCUCUGAGUCAUUUGUGACUUGUUUAGACUCCUAAGUUGCUAAGAUAUGCAUUAGAAUAAGGUAGAAAUGAUUUAAGGUCUAUGAAAUAGAGUUUUAGUUGUCAUGUGUUAGAUUUUCAUUGUAAAAUGAAUUUCAACAUGGUUAAAGUUGGGAUACAUACUCUCUAAUAGGUCAAGUGUGGCUUCGAGAACCAUAUGGAAGUGCUAGAAGUUGGUAGGAAUGUCUAAGAUAGGUUAAGUUAGGUUGAGAAGGUGCAAAUUCUGCAUAAAUAAUGUUUUGUAGAAUUAUGCAUAGUGGAUGGGCAAGCCAUGAGAGUAUUUGAGGGUCCUAACAGUGGGUUUUAGUGGCUAGGCGAGCCAGCUCGCUAGGCUUGUAGAGUUCACUGUUUUGGCUCUCUUGGGCGAGUAAAUGUUACUCGUUGGGCGAGCCUAUGCUCGUUGGGAACCUAGUUUCUGGUGCUGGGCGAAUGGGUUUGAGUCAUAUUGGAUGUUUUAAAUUCUUUGCUCUUAUGUGCAUAGUUUUAAUGGUAUGAUGGUUUUAUGAUCUGUGGUAUGGUUUGGAACAUAUGAUUGGAUGGAUGAUUGAUUUGUAAGAGUUCUAAGGAGAAUUCUUAAUGGUUGUAUUAAAGUGUUGUUGGUAUGAAUUUAGGGAACUCAAUCUUCGGGUUAACCCGAUACUUUAAUGAUCAUUCAUUCUCAAUUAGAGAUGAGGCAUACAUGUAGUGAGAGUAGUAGGAGGUUUAGUCUAGGUGCUUCUAGUAUGACCUAAGAUGCGGUACAAACUAACCUUGUGAGUCUAGUAGGAUGAAACCCAUUGGCAGUGACUUUGUAGAACAGUAGAAGCCACUACAAAUACAUGAACCACCAUAGCUCAACAUUCAUACCUUAUCCGAAUGGUCAGGUCUAGGUUCAUGGCAUGCCUAGCAUUUUUGUUUAAUUUGGUAUGAACUUUAUGUAUGAUGAACUCUAAUAUCCUGUGUUUGUUUCUAUUGAUACUAGCUUUUUUGAGAUUGUUGACAACACAAAAUCUAUAUCAAUCUGGUUUUUUAUGAUGACAACACAAUGCUUAAUAACAGUACACUUGUUGUUGUUUUACAUGUUCUUGUUCUGAACUUGUUGUUAUAUCUGUUGAACAUGUUUUGAUGUAUUGUGUUGUAUGUUCCUAUGUUAAUUGUGUCAUAUAUCUGUGGAACAUGCUCGUAUGACAAUGUGUAACAAAAUGUCUUUGAUAACAAUAUAUUCUGGAAGUGAAAAAUCACAAGCACCUUUAUGAACUUAUAAUUGUGUGACAAAGUUCUAGUACAGUCGAACACCUGUAAUGGAUUCGACUAUUCUAAAACCUUUGUACAGAUUUUGAACAUCAGUGCUUUGUGACAUUUUGGAUUGAAAAGAAUUUUAAAGUUUUUUUUCAUAUGUCAGUCGACUUUGUUAUGUGUACAUUCGACUGUAUCUUUGAUCUGUUUUGGAAUUCUGUUAUGCUUACGCGCUCCAACGAUUAUAUUUUUAAAAGAUAGUUAAGCAUUGAUGACCUGGUCAACUGUAAUAACUGUGUGUUGAUUUUUGCUGACUGAGAGCCUAUGUGUUGACUGUCUGUUAUAACUGUUUUAAUACAGUCGACUGGAUUAGUAGACUAUUUGACUGAGAAACAAUUUGACUGACAGAAAACUAUAAAUAGACUGAACGCGAUUUGUUCAAGAGACUUUUGACGCACUGACAUUUUCAUUUCUUGUUUCAUAUUGAAUUCUCUGUGUUAACAGCUCGAAGAAUUCUCCAAGAAGACGGUGGUGAUCUAUCUUGAGAGAGAUUCAAAGGGAGAAGGCUUAUGCGCUGAUUGUGUGAUCAAUAUCUGCACGAAGAAGGUGCUUCUUGAUUGAUCGUUGAAGGCUUGACAUCUCGUGAAGACUGCUAUGUUGAUUGUAGGCUUGACAUCAUGAAAAAUGUUGUGUUGAUUGAAGGCUUGACAUUUUGUAAAGACUGUCGUGUUGAUUGUAGGCUUGGCAUCCUGUGAAAAGUGUUGGUUACACGUUGAGGAUUAUUCGACGUUGGUUCAGAUUGCAGAAGAGGGGAUUCUUGCUGCAGGUCUAGUUUUGUUCUGUAACUACAUUUUAGUUUUGGGUUAGAGAGGAGAUUUAUAUUUUUGCGUGAGGCUUCUAUAAAUUCCUUGUUGUAAAAAUCGCAACCAUUAUAGUGCAUUUGCUUCCUGGGUUGGAAGGACACUGGAUGUAGGCAUUGUUGGUCGAAGUAGUAUAAAAACCAGUGUUUGAUUUUCUCUAUCCCUGCACUCUUUAAAUUCAGUCGACUAUAUUUGUUUAGCAGUCAACUGCAUUUUUCGGCUGCAUUGAAAUUUUCAUUACUUGCAUUUCUAGAAAAGACCAAAAAGCUUUAUACUUUUGUUUCCAGAUUGCGAAAAGAUUUGGUUUUUGAAACAACACAAAUUCAACCCCCCCCCCCCCCGGUGUAAAGAAGCCUACCUGUUUUCCUAACAAGCUUAUCCUGUUUUUGUGUUGUUUGUUUGUGUGUUUGUUUUCUCCUUUUUAGAAUUAUCACCUUUGUGAGCUUAUAGUGGUGAGUAGGUGUUAGGAAAUAGUGGAGCUAAAACAUAAAAUAGAAAGUUUGGUGUCAGUUUUCUCUUAUUCAUGUAAAGGUUUUUCUGUUUAAUUGUAAAAUUUUUUGGGAUGUUACACUUAUUUUAAAUAAUAAUGAUGAUAAUAAUAAUAACUAACGUAAUUUUUAAAAUAAUAAUAUAUGCACUAGCUUUGCAUAAAUUAAUAUUUUAAUUUAAUUACUUUUAAAGUGUGAUCAAUAUUUUAAAAAUAUAAACAAAAUGUUUAAUUAAUUAUGAGUAAUUAUCUGGAUGAUGGAAUAUUGCAUAAUUAUGAGUAAUCAACUCCUCGAGUUAAAACAACUGGUUUUGCAUAUCAAUAUUUUAAAACAAUUAUUUAAUGUUUUGUCCCAAUAGAUAUUGAUGAUAACUUUUUCUUUGUUUUUUUAUAUUCACCAGGAUCCCUUCUACAACUAUGCACAUAUUCAUUAUUAAAUGUAAAUAAUCCUUAUUAUAAUUUAAAAUUCAUAAGCAAAAUAUUAUGUUUUUGUAUUUUUAAUCAUCUAAUAUAUCUUUUUAUCUCCUUAAAUGAUUUGGUAUUUAAAAAGAUUUAGUUCCUUGAAUCCUUUUGCUAGAUACUCAAUGUUUUCCUAAUUCUUUCAUAGUUAAUAUUUUAAAUAUAUAGGUACGAAAGGUUAUUGGUUGCAUCAAUUAUCCCAUAUAACAUAGACUAAGAGAGCUAAGUCACAAUUUAUGACUUCUAAGUGGGACAAUUGUUGAGGAGAAAAUUAUUAUAUAGUGCAUCAAUUGUCCGAUAAGGUAGAUAUUUGAAUUGUGAACUUAGGUUGUUACACUUUUACAAGGAGUUACACUUUGACUGUUGACUAACUUUUGACCCAAUAGUUUCAAUCUAAAAAUUACUAUCAAAAUUAGUAUCAAGAGUUUGAUUUCUGGUAGAAAUAUUGUUGAUAAAAAAAGGUUACGGCAAUUAUCUUGUUACACAGAUCAUGUAGUUAAGCUAAGUUAUAAUCCAAAAGUUUGAUUCCUAACAAUUCAAUUGAUGAAGGGAAUAUUAUUGCAAGGUACACCAAUUAUUCUAUAUCGUAGGUCAAGCAGAGCAAUUCAAUUUUGGUGUUUGAGCUAUUAUGGUUUUAAGUAGAAAGAUAUACACUCUCACUAUUAGCUAUAAUUCCUCACUAAUUGAUAAAUAUUUAACUUAACACAAUAAAAAAAUUUAUCAUUAUUUUUGUACUAUAUAAAAUAUACCAUCGAAGUUAAUGGUAAUUAAUGGACAAUUAUUAGGUAUUAAUGAGUCAGAUUGUCUUGCACUUUACAAAUAGGGUGUUGCUCCCUCCACAUCCACCAAUGCUUCCUCCAUCUCCCCAUCUCUUUUUUACUCUUUAAUAAUAUUUAAACGGAUAUCAACAUCCGAUGAAGGACAAACGAACGUCAACAUCCGUUCACGAAAGUUGAAAUCCGUUUAAGAAAAUCAUUAUUCUGUUUGAAAAUAUUGAAUGUUUUCCUGCCAAUGUGUUUUUACUUUUUUUGCUUUUUCCAAACUAAUUCUGUAAAGCAUUGAUGAGUGGAUUUGACUAAUCAGCACAAACAUUUAUUACCAUCCACUUUAAAUAUCAAUAUCCAUGCAUGUCAACUGACGGAGAAUUCAAAAAUCUAUCAAUCUUUCUUUCUCAUUUUCCAGGUAUCAAAUACUAGCUUUAUGUUUUAAAGGACACUUAAUACCAACUAGUUAAUGCCACCAAAAAAAGCUGAAUUACAUAACCAUUACAAUGCCAUUUUCAUUCUCAACAAAAUUCACAAUUCCAUUUUUCCUUUUCAUAAACGUAGGGAUUCCAAUUUCAUAUUAUCAUCAUAAACUACCCACUCCCCCACUUUCUCCUAUUCCUAAAUCCUUCCUCUUCAUGUCUGCAUAUUCCUUGCAAAACCAGAUAUUACUACCAGUAUAUCAUCACCACCUAUAGGGUGACAAUUAACAAUAUAUAAGCUCAUAUAAUUGCGCCUACUUUGCAAUUUACUACAACCACCUGGUUUAACUUUUGUGAUGAAAGGUGGCACUUUUCGGAGACCCACAGAGGCUUGUGGGCUUUGUAUGCGUGAAAACCUUGCAAGCAUACGGUCAAGGUAACCACCCCUUUCGAGUCAGACUCGGAGGUUCUAUUAGCUUUUAGGUGGAUGGAACGAGCUUAGUUGUCUUUCUCUUCACUCACCAAUUAGAACAUGAGUGGAUGCACAGUAGACACAGAAACGAAACACCACCAACAAAUGACCACCGCACACACCGCCGCACGAUCGCCAAAUGACCACCGCACCGCCGUACUGCCGUACCGUCGCCAUGAGAUGGGAAGAAACAAAUAUGAAAGUGAGAGUUGGAGGGUGAGAACAAACAGACAUAGAAAAAGUGAAAGUGGGGCUGCGGCUGCGCAAGAAAUGGGUACUUUUGUAAUUAAAAAAAAAUUGGAAAAAUUUGGGGAGGUGGAGGAAACAUUGGUGGAGGUGGAUGGAGCAAUGCCUUUACAAAUAUAUGGUAUUGAUUAUUAUUUAUUGGGUUUGAUUGCCUAAAAAUAUACUGCACUAAUGGUUAAUCAAUGGACUUAGCUGUCACAAGCCCAAUAAACAUACAAUCAAUGUUCGGGUAAAGACAUCUUGAUCUAUCCUAAUGAAAUAGAGACCUAUUUGUGAAACAUAUCUGACUUGAGCGUAAGAGUGUCUUCUGCAGGUCAACAACCCAUCGGAGUGGAUUGCGUUCCGAGAGAGAAUUGAAGAUCAAAAGAGAGCAGAGCAAGGAAGGACAACUGACCCUCAGACCAAUUCAAUCUAAACAUGUUAGAAUCGACUGCAGCGGAAUUAUUAGCGUGGAAUAACAAACCAAGAGGGUUUUUAAAACAAACGCGUGCCUUUUAAUUUCUACUCAAUUAAACUUACUACGCAAAUAAUAGAUAUAAAUAAAAGAGUAAGGUUGAGAGAAAUUUGCACAGAUAAUUUUAUCCUGGUUCGGAUCAAACGGAUCCUACGUCCAGUCGCUUAUCUCAAACAAGAUAAACAUUUUUCACUAUCACAAAACAAUUACAAAUAUUAAUCACAGAGAAAAACAAUUUGUAAGAGUUUAGAAAUACCACCUCUCUUGAAACCACAAGAGAUGAACUUACACCUCCUUUGAAUCUUCACAAAGGAUGACCACCUCCUUCGAAUACUUCACGAAGGAUGAAACACCUCCUCCGAAUACUUCACGAAGGAUGAUCCUCUUCCAAACACCUCCUCAGACGCACCAAGGAUGAACCAACUAUUCCUCCGUCACCGUAGUUGCAAUGUACCAGCACCACAGACAAGUGUUUCCUUAGCUGAGCAAGAGCACACAGUUCUCAAAGAGUUCUGAGUGUUUUAGCGCAAGGGAAGAGUUUCUUUUGAUGGAUAAAGAGAGCCUAUAAAUAGACUCAAGCAAAAACUCUUCCAUUCUACGAAACUGGCCAUUUAACGCAUUUAAUCGAUUAAUAUUAGUGUUAAUCGAUUAAAAUAAGUACAACGGCUAGUUUUUCAAAUCNNNNNNNNNNNNNNNNNNNNNNNNNNNNNNNNNNNNNNNNNNNNNNNNNNNNNNNNNNNNNNNNNNNNNNNNNNNNNNNNNNNNNNNNNNNNNNNNNNNNNNNNNNNNNNNNNNNNNNNNNNNNNNNNNNNNNNNNNNNNNNNNNNNNNNNNNNNNNNNNNNNNNNNNNNNNNNNNNNNNNNNNNNNNNNNNNNNNNNNNNNNNNNNNNNNNNNNNNNNNNNNNNNNNNNNNNNNNNNNNNNNNNNNNNNNNNNNNNNNNUUUUCAUAACAAAAAUAAGUCUUCAAAGGAUCUUCAUGAAUCUUGAUAAAUCUUGACUUGAUUUGGGCAUCAUCAAAACUUCAUCUUCACCAUUUUGCUAACAAAACAUUUUUGCGCCCACCGUGGGGCCGAGCGACAUUUCCAUGAAACCACAAGGAACCAGACGCGCCCUCGGUCUCAACAUCACUACUUCGGAUCAAUACCAGGUUUUGCAACAAGAGCAAAAAAAUUUAUAAUAAUUUCUAAAUACAUGACUUUUGUUUUGAGAACUUCGAGGAAGGUUCAGACUUACGUUCAACCUUAUCAGGUUCCAUUUUUAUUAUAAUUUAUAAUAUAUUGAAGCAUGUACUUUAUUUUGUUUAACUCAUACUUUUGUGAGUAAUAAUAUCCUUCAGUCCUACGUUCCACCUUGACAGGUUCCAAUUAUAAUUUAUAAAUUAUAAUAUAUUUUUUCAACUCAUAUUUUUGUGAGUAAUAAUAUCUCGCACAGGAAGGUUCACACAUACGUUCCAUCUUAUCAGGUUCUAAUGUUAUCUCCUUAUAAAAUAAAAUAUUAAAUAUUUUAUUUAAUGCGCAUAUUUUGGUGAGUAAAAACAUACUGUAUAGGAAGAACGUUAAACCUUAUCAAGUUCUAAUGUCAUCUCAUUAUAAAAGUAAAAUAUUGAAUAUUUUAUUUAAUGGAUAUUGUUGUGAGUAAAAAUAUUUUGUCCAGGAAAGUUGAGAGCAACGUUGAUAAGCUGUCGUUGAAGCUAUCAAAUUAAUACUACUUUUGAAGGCAACUUCAGUAUUGCCUAGUAGUAUUCAAGAAAAUAGAUAGGGCUAAAGUAAUCUUAAGUCGUCUCCCAACGAACACGGAAUUUCUUUCGAAUAUCUGAAACUUAUGAAUGUUAUGUAAUGCUUAAGAACAAAAGUGAGGAUGUUUAAAGGUUGUUGUAAAACAAAUAGAAAACUUAAAAACAAUUAUGAAGAAACAGGCUAAUUCCACUGCUUUUCCAAAAUAGAUUCAUCGUCGGUUAUUCACAGAUCAUUGUUCAAUUGAUUAUUGUUUAAGUUUCAAAUUAAUUAAAGUACAUUCUGAAUUAAUUUGAGGGCGAUCAUGCAGUUAAUCAAAGUACAUUCUCAAUCAAAUGCAAGACCUUUCUNNNNNNNNNNNNNNNNNNNNNNNNNNNNNNNNNNNNNNNNNNNNNNNNNNNNNNNNNNNNNNNNNNNNNNNNNNNNNNNNNNNNNNNNNNNNNNNNNNNNNNNNNNNNNNNNNNNNNNNNNNNNNNNNNNNNNNNNNNNNNNNNNNNNNNNNNNNNNNNNNNNNNNNNNNNNNNNNNNNNNNNNNNNNNNNNNNNNNNNNNNNNNNNNNNNNNNNNNNNNNNNNNNNNNNNNNNNNNNNNNNNNNNNNNNNNNNNNNNNNNNNNNNNNNNNNNNNNNNNNNNNNNNNNNNNNNNNNNNNNNNNNNNNNNNNNNNNNNNNNNNNNNNNNNNNNNNNNNNNNNNNNNNNNNNNNNNNNNNNNNNNNNNNNNNNNNNNNNNNNNNNNNNNNNNNNNNNNNNNNNNNNNNNNNNNNNNNNNNNNNNNNNNNNNNNNNNNNNNNNNNNNNNNNNNNNNNNNNNNNNNNNNNNNNNNNNNNNNNNNNNNNNNNNNNNNNNNNNNNNNNNNNNNNNNNNNNNNNNNNNNNNNNNNNNNNNNNNNNNNNNNNNNNNNNNNNNNNNNNNNNNNNNNNNNNNNNNNNNNNNNNNNNNNNNNNNNNNNNNNNNNNNNNNNNNNNNNNNNNNNNNNNNNNNNNNNNNNNNNNNNNNNNNNNNNNNNNNNNNNNNNNNNNNNNNNNNNNNNNNNNNNNNNNNNNNNNNNNNNNNNNNNNNNNNNNNNNNNNNNNNNNNNNNNNNNNNNNNNNNNNNNNNNNNNNNNNNNNNNNNNNNNNNNNNNNNNNNNNNNNNNNNNNNNNNNNNNNNNNNNNNNNNNNNNNNNNNNNNNNNNNNNNNNNNNNNNNNNNNNNNNNNNNNNNNNNNNNNNNNNNNNNNNNNNNNNNNNNNNNNNNNNNNNNNNNNNNNNNNNNNNNNNNNNNNNNNNNNNNNNNNNNNNNNNNNNNNNNNNNNNNNNNNNNNGCCGCGAGAAUGGAAGAGGCGUUUCGUUCUCUGGAAGCAAUUCAACGAGCACUUGACGGCUGCUGUGAUUCUGGUUUGAUUGCAGGUGCGAAAUGCGAAGAAGAAGCUUCAUGAUGGCGGAGGAUGAAGGUGUCGCAGCGUUGACGGUUGUGAACGGGAUGAUGCGAAGACGAACUUGUUGAGUGAUGACGGCAAGGUGUGGAUGAUAGCGAUUUCUGUGUUGGGGUUGAUCUGGGUGAUUUGGGGUUUUGGGUUGGUUUUUCUGAGUACAGGUUCGAAGGAGAAGAUUGUGUCGUUCCUGUGACGGUGAUGAUGGCGGCAAUGGAGGUUUGAACAUCGCAAGGCUUCUGUCGCAAUUCUUGGUUAAGCGAGGAAGAUGGUUCGAGUCUGAGAUCUGUUUGCAGGGGCAUGUUGAUGGUGAUGUCUUCACGGCGGCUUGCUCGCGAGAAAGAAGAUGGUGGACGGAGCUUUGCGAAGAAGAAGAUGGUGGUCGAAGCGUGGUGGCCAUGGAGGAGGCGCUGUGAUGGUCGUUCCUGCGGCGGUGGAGGAAGAAGAUGGUGCUACUAGCUGUGAAAAUGGUUGCGCGAUGUUGGAGAGGACAUCGACGCGAUGGGUGGUCGGCGGCAAGGUGGUAGCAGCGGCGGCCCCUGCGACGGCUAGGGUUUCUGUUUGGAAAUUAGGGUUUCUGGAAAAGGGUUGAAGAUGAUGAUGUGGCAUGGGGGCUGAUGUGGCAACUUUUGAGUGGUUCAUUUGGUGAGUGCAGGGAUUAGUGAUGUGGCAUCAUCUGGAUGGUUGGAUCUAUUAUUUGUGGACUGCCAUGUGGCACCAUCUUAGGCAAUCUGACUUAGUUAGUGAUAGGAGGGGUAUGGGUAGGAAAAUUUAGGAGGUGUAGGAGAAAAGGGUUACUGUUGGGCUUCAGUAUUGGCCUGGUUUAGAAGAGAGGGGUGCAUGUAGGGAAAUCUGGAGGUGCAAGGGUAAAAACUGACUGUUUGGCCCAUCUCUACAUUAUUUAUCAAAUAAAAUCUGAUUUUGGGCUUUAAAUUGCAAUUUGAACCAAUAAAACUCUAACUUCAGUUGCACAAAUAAAUAUUAGAACAUCCAAGCAUAAUUUAUGCAAUUAAAAUCACUUUUUAAGCCCUUUUUAUUUCCAAACACACUAAAUCCAAUAAUUAUAAAUCCUCUACAAAUCAAUCAUUUAAGCACAAAUAUUCUAUCAAAAAUUUUAAUUUUAAAGCAUAAAUGUGGACAUAAAUAUGUACCCAUCAAACGUUCAACCUUAUCAAGUUCCACUUUUUAUUAUAAUUUAUAAAUGAUAAUAUAUCGAAGCAUGUACUUUAUUUUGUUUAAUUCAUAUUAUUGUGAGUAAAAAUAUCCUUCACAUUAAAGGUUCAAUCCUACGUUCAACCUUGACAGGUUUCACUUUUCAUUAUAAUUUAUAAAUUAUAAUAUAUUUGUUCAACUCAUAUUUUUGUGAGUAAAAAUAUUAUGUACAGGAAGGUUCAAACCAACGUUCAACCUUAUUAGGUUCUAAUUUCAUCUUAUAGUAAAAAUAAAAUGUUGAAUAUUUUAUUUAAUGCAUGUUUUUGUGAGUAAAAAUAUCCUAUACAAGAAAAGGUUCAGACCAAUGUUCAACCUUAUUAGGUUCUAAUGUUAUCUAAUUAUAAAAAUAAAUAUUUAUUUAACUCAUAUUUGUAUGAGUAAAAAUAUUACGUACAGGAAGGUUCAGACCAAAGUUCAACCUUAUCACGUUAUAACGUUAUCUUAUUAUAAAAAUAAAUAUUUUAUUUAACUCAUAUUUUUUGUGAGUAAAAAUAUCAUGUGCAAUACCAACGUUCAACCUUAUCAAGUUCUAACAUUAUCUCAUUAUAAAAAUAAAUAUUUUAUUUAACUCAUAUUUUUGUAAGUAAAAAUAUCCUCUACAGGAAGGUUUAGAACAAUUUUCAACCAUAUCAAGUUCUAAUGCCAUCUCAUUAUAAAAUAAAAUAUUGAAUAUUUUAUUUAACUCAUAUUUUUGUGAGUAAAAAAUCAUGUGCAGGAAGGAAGGUUCAGACCAACAUUCAACCUUAUCAGGUUCUAAUGUCAUCCCAUUGUAAAAAUAAAAUGUUGAAUAUUUUAUUUAACUCAUAUUUUUGUGAGUAAAAAUAUCCUGCACAGGAAAAGGUUCAUACCAUCGUUCAACCUUAUCAGGAUUUAAUGUCAUCUCGUUAUAAAAAUAAAUUAUAAAAUAUUUUUCUUUAACGCAUGCUUUUUGUGAGAAAAUAUUUUGCACAGGAAGAUUCAAUCCUCUACAACUUGUUGUUAUAACGUCAGGUGCCUUCUCCUCGCCUUGGACCAUCCAGCGUUGAAUUUUGCCGUCGGGCGGUUUCUUGACUCUUCUUUUCUUCAAUUUUCUUCCUUAAUCUUGAGUCAGACCUUCAUCUUCAAUCCCAAUCUUCACUUUAAUCAAAAUCACUACAAAACAAUGCAAAACAAGCAUAAUAUCGCUAAAAACAGCUUUUGACUCUCAACUGACUCAUUUAUUGAGUUUUACUUGAUUCUAAGCUCGUUUUAAGUCUUAAAGGGUGUAAUUUGGUCUAAAUUGACAUAUGAAAAUAACUGUUUUUCUACUGUUAUCAACUCUCAUUAAUGAAUGCGAAGAUUUACAUGAAGAGGAGAAUAAAAUGAUUGAAGAAUGUGGGUGUGACUUGGAGGCAAAAAAGGAAAUGUCAACAGAACAGGCUAGUUUUGAAAGAAUUGACCCCAAAGAGAAAGUGAAAGAAAGAAAGCUUGAAUUCAAAGAGUUACCACCACAUUUAAAAUAUGUAUUUCUAGAAGAUAAUGGAGGAAAGCGAGUUAUUAUUAGUACUUCAUUAUCUCUGGAAGAAGAAAAGAAGUUGGUGGAAGUCUUAAAAGCAAAUAAAGGUGUUAUAGGCUGGUCAAUUGCAGAUAUUAAAGGUAUAAGCCCCACAUAAUAGAAGCAGGAAUUAUUUAUCCAAUAUCUAAUAGUAAAUGGGUGAGUCCAGUCCAAGUGGUUCCAAAGAAAGGGGGAAUGACGGUAAUUCAUAAUGAGAAAAAUGAAUUGAUCCCUACAUGAAUAGUUACUGGGUGGCGGAUGUGUAUUAACUACAGAAAAUUAAAUACAGCUACCAGAAAGGAUCAUUUUCCUUUACUUUUUAUCGACCAGAUGCUAGAGAGAUUGGCUGGACAUGCAUACUAUUGUUUCCUUGAUGGCUAUUCUGGAUAUAAUCAAAUUGUGGUGGAUCUUGAAGAUCAAGAAAACACAGCCUUUACAUGUCCUUUUGGUAUAUUUGCCUAUAGAAAAAUGCCAUUUGGAUUAUGUAAUGUCCCUACUACGUUUCAAAGGUGUAUGCAAGCAAUCUUUGCGGAGUUUAUGGAGAAAAGCAUAGAAGUCUUCAUGGAUGAUUUUUCAGUGUUUGGAGAUUGUUUCCAAAGAUGCUUGACCAACCUGGAUGGUGUUCUUAAAAGGUGUGUUCAUAAAAAUAUUAUGCACAGGAAGAUUCAAUCCUCUACAAUAUUUUAAGAAGGAGUUUCUGAAGCCAUUUUUCUGACUUUUUUACAUUGAGCGGGGAUUUCUCAAGUCGCUUAGGGGAAGUCAGAAAAAUGGCUUCAGAAAUUCCUUCUCAACGCAGGAAGUCAGAAAAAUGACUCCUGCCUCAUGCCGGUCGGGGGAAAGUCAGAAAAAUGGCUUCAGAAAUCUCCGCUCAACGUAGAAAGUCAAAAAAAAUGACUUUUGGCUCAAGCCGGUCGCGGGGAAGUAAGAAAAAGGGCUUCAGAAGUCCCCGCUCAACGCAUGAAGUCAGAAAAAUAACUCCUACCUCAAGCCAUUCGGGGGGAAGUCAGAAAAAUGAGUUCAGAAAUCCCCGCUCAACGUAGGAAGUCAGAAAAAUGACUCCUGCCUUAAGCUGCUUGGGGGGAAGUCAGAAAAAUGGCUUCAGAAAUCCCUAAUCAACGUAAGAAGUCAGAAAAAUUACUCCUGCUUCAAGGUGCUCGGGGGAAAUCAGAAAAAUGGCUUUAGAAAUCCCCGCUCAACGCAGGAAGUCAGAAAAAUGACUCCUACCUCAAGCCGCUUAGGGGGAAGUCAAAAAAAUGCCUUCAGAAAUCCCCACUCAAUGUAAAAAGUCAAAAAAAUGACUCCUACCUCAAGCCGCUUGGGAGGAAGUAAGAAAAAUGGCUUCAGAAAUCCCCGCUCAACGCAGUAAAUCAGAAAGACGACUCCUGCCUCAAGUCACUCUGGGGGAAGUCAGAAAAAUGGUUUCAGAAAUCUCCGCUCAAUGCAGGAAGUAAGAAAAAGGACUCCUGCCUCAAGCCGCUCGAGGGAAGUCAGAAAAAUGGCUUCAGAAAUCUCCACUCAACACAGGAAGUUAGAAUAAUAACUCCUGCCUCAAGUCGCUCGGGGGGAAGUUCGAAAAAAGGCUACAAAAAUCCCCACUCAACGUAGGAAGUUUGAAAAAGAACUAUCAGUCGACUAGUCAACAGGUUCAUCUUUGUCAGGUUCUAAUGCCUUUUCAUUAUAAAAUAUUGAAGCAUUUACUUAAUUUUAUUUAAAAGCAUAUUUUUGGAGUGAAAGUCUUUUGCAAUGAAAAUAUUGAAGCGUUUAAUUUAUUUUAAUUAAGAGAACUUUUAGCAUUUUCUGUCCAGUGUAGGGAACAAAUCCAAAGAGAACUCUUAGAGUUUGCUGCUCGGUAUAGAGAGCAAGGAAGACUUAUAGCAUCGAAGAUAGACUCCCUAAAUACAAGGUGAGCGACUUCUUUUAAAGCUCAUAAUAAUCCUUGCGCACCUCUUUCAAGUAAAAGAGCUUGCUUGGGCUUGGGGGGCUUAUGUACUAUAUGAAAUACACCGAUUGGAGUUAAUGGUCAUUCAUGAACAAUUAUCAGGUAUUUAAUGGGCCAGAUUGCCUUACACUUUACAAAUAUAUGGUAUUGAUUAUUAUUUAUUGGGUUUGAUUACCUAAAAAUAUACCGCACUAAUUGUUAAUCAAUGGACUUGGCUGUCACAAUCCCUAUAAACAUACGAUCGAUGUUCAGGUAAAGACAUCUUGAUCUAUCCUAAUAAAAUAGAGACCUUUUUAUGAAACAUAUCUGACUUGAGCGUCAGAGUGUCUUCUGCAGGUCAACAACCCAUCGAAGUGGAUUGCGUUCCUAGAGAGAAUUAAAGAUUAAAAGAGAGCAGAACAAGGAAGGACGAUCGACCCUCAGACUAAUUCAACCGAAACAAUUUUAUAACACAAUUAUUUUAUUUUUAAUUUUUAAAUUAAAUUUUUCCUUUUAUUUUCAUCAUGCUUUUUUUUUAGUUGGUCUCCAUUCACUUCUUUUAUAAGUUUGAGUAUGACUUUGUGACCCUUGAAGUGAAGAGCAAUUUUAUUUUUAAGGUGUUCAUGUAAAAUCAUUUUCUCAUAUUCCUAAUGUCUCCCCAAAAGUAUGUAGGUUUCUUACAUGGACUCAACAUCACUCCAAACUUCAUCCUCAUAUUUACCGAUAGUGAAGGAAAAAUUCAACUUCUUUAUUUAAUUCAACCAUUGAAGUUUGAAAAACUGGUAUGAGAAGAGGUGGAUAAUCAAAAACUAGUCUACCACUCUUGUAAUAUUUAGUUAGCAUAACUAUUCCUACCUUUAAAAUACAUUGUGAUUGUUAAAACUACACCUACACUUAUCAUAAAAAAUACUACUUUUUAUGAGAUAUAAUUUUAACCGUUAUUAAAGAUAGGGUAUAAAACAUGUAAAUGACAUUUUGUGAUAAUUAUUUUAUGAUAAAUUUUUAAAACAACACAUAGAUGAUGAAUUUUUUAUCACAUCGUCUUAAAAAAUAAUAACUUCUCGUAACAAUUGUACUUGUAUCGAUUCUAAAUCUAAUGUAGAAGAUAUAUUUUAAAUGUCAUAAAAAAGUAUCAGCUACAUUAAUGGCACUUUUGUAAACAUUAUACUGUAAGAAAAAUAAAUUCAUUAUUUAAUUAAUAUACAUGUCAUCAUUUAAUUACUUUAAAAUACACAAACAAUUAUCUUAGCCAGUUUGGUAUGCACUAUAAUUUUAACAAAAAGAAAUCCAAUUAUACCUUAAAUAUUACUAUUAUUUUUGGUAUUAUUUUUGGUAGAGCUAUUAAAACGGAUAACUCGUACUAGUAAAAAAAUGCUAUUUAAACUCGCAUAAUAUACUUCGAUUUAGGUAAAACCGAAGUCUAUCAAAACACGGUGACAUUUUUGUAGUUAAAUUUAACUUAUACACCUCGGUUAAAAAGAGAACCGAAGCAUAUAAGCUUUAUUACCUCGGUUAAAGCAUACAACUGGUGCCUAAAAACCUGCAAUUCCACCUACCCCUCUGCACAACAGCCUUUUCAGCUUUUCGAACCUGACCUACUGCUUCGGUUCACCCAGAAGCGGUUUAAAAACAUGUUUGUGCCUCAGUUUAACUACUAACCGAGGUAGUCUCGCUUUAGGGGCUAAAAGAUUUAACCUUUAGUUUUCUUCUUCCUUGCCCAUUUCGUGCAGAACUUUUCCUCUCUCUGAUUCUACCCCUUAAUCCAAGAGUGUGAGCAUUGCCACCACCCCAUCGACCGUCACGAGGUGGCACGUGAGGAUGACGAAGAGCGUGGCGAGGUGGUGGAAGGCGAACGUGAGGUCUUCGCCGCCGGUGAAGAACGUGUCGAGAUGUACGAGGUUGGCAGCGAAGUGGGCGGCUCUGCAGUCUAGCACGAGGUUCUAGAAGUUGGUGUUUGCGGUGGCAAGGUUGCGGUUUUCAGCCGAGGGGACGACGACGACUGCGAGGAUCGUUGCCGAGAUGCCGUGGAAGAGGGAGAUGAGGCAGUUGGAAGCUUCGGGUCAGAUCUUGGAGCUCCAUUUUCGGAAGAUGAUGAAGUAACCGAGAAGGUGAAUGGAGAAGAAGAAGGCGAAGAAUUUGUGCACGUGAUUUUCCAUUUGCAUUGGGUUGUGAGAAUUGGUAGGCCAUUGGAGAAGCGUCGGCAGCUACGGUGGGGAAUCACCUUCCAGGACAUUUGAAUUUGCUGGCUUCGUUGUCCGGCGGACUUGCGAAUUCUUAGGGUUAGGUUUUUUUGUUUUUCUUUAAGAAAUUAUUCAAUUAAGAUUUUAUUUUAGUACCUGCUUCUGGGGCUUUAAGAAAGUUGGAUAAUUGUUUUAGAUUUUGGGGCUUUUGUUGGAGGAGAAUGUGAUGAAGCUUGUCGGUGUGGCAGUGGGUUGAAUUUGUAAUGUUGUUGUGGUGGUAGAAGAAAAUUGUUGCUUCUGUUUCACUUGCAUACACGAUGACUGGAAGCAUGCUUGCAUUGGUAUUAUUGCAGCUUUGAGUGGUAUAAUUGUAGCUUUGGGUGGUAUUUGAGUGGUAUCUUUGUGCCUUUGGAAAUCACUCUUCUGCCUCGGUUACCUAAAACCUAGGACAUAAUCCUAUUUUUGUUAACUCAGUUUAUAACCGAGGCAUAAAACGUACUCCUUUUUACCUCGUCCAGAUAUACCUCGGUUGUAGAACCGGUGCCUAUAAAUAAAAGCAACCGGUGCCAUUUCCUUUUAUUGCACUAGUGUCGGUCCGAUCCACCACGGGUCGGUCAGUUAGUGAGUCAAUCCAAUCCGACUUAUUUAUUAGCAAGCCGAAAAAAUUUGAACCUGACCCAAUCCACCACGGAUUGGUGGGUUAAACAGGUUGGCUCAUUGGCUGACUUAACUUUUUUUUCACCCUCUUCUUCCGAUAUUCUUAUAACAUGUUACUUUGAUUAAUCAAAUUGAAACAACAAUAAUUGGACCAAUUGAUAGAAAAGAAAAUGAAACAAAAGAACUCUAUUGUUAUAUAUUCUAAGCUAUCAAGCAUAAAAUUUUGCCAAUUUAAUUUAAUGAGACAUACACAAUCGUUUGACUAAGAAACUAUAUAUAGCCAUUAACAAAAAUAUAUAGCAGAUGAGAACUUUUGGAUAGAUAACAACACAACACAGCACGAAAAGCUCUACUGCGAAGUAAAUGUUGUGUGUUUUGAAUAAUUAAUUUAAUUAAUUUCAUUUCAAUAAAAAAAUAAGAUUUGAAUAAUUAAUUUAAAUAAUUUGAUUUUAAUAAAAAAAGUAGGUGGAUUGGUGAGCCAAUCCAACUCACCACGAGUUCAACCCAGGUAAGCCGAAUUCUUAGCAAGCCGGGUCAAAAUUGGUACGCAUCAAAAUUUUCACAUUUUUUUCCAAUCCAACCUGCCUCAAAUCCGUAGUGAAUCGGAUUGCCUCACGAAUUUCAAACCAUUUUGACGAGACUAAUUGUUGGAGAUGAUAUUGAGAAAAACAAAAGAAAGUAAAGAUUGUACAUAGUUACGUAUUUACUUUCUGUGCAUAUACAAAUUUGUUUCUGACUUAAUUACUUGUAUUAAAAAAUAAUGUAGUAAAAAAAGGUGGUGACACGUGAAGCAAAGCUUGUACUCUAAACUCCCUAAACCAGGAAUUAUUGUUUUACAAAGUUACCUACCUACCUCAUUUAAAGGCAUUUAAACCAUUAUUAACAAGUUGGCUUAAUUUUCGCCUUCUGCCUACCAAAAACCGUAUAAAUAUGCUAUGCUAUAACCUGAAAGGGAUUAUUCUUCUACAUUCACUAUUUCAUAUCUACAUUAUUACAAUUAAAACGAGUGUGUAUAGCAUUAGAUAAUUCUAAAUCUUUUUAUACUUUUUACACUGGUGAAUGGUGUAUUAUUAAGCAAUGAAUUAUAUAUAUAAUACAGUUUUAACUUAUUAUGUGCAGCCUUUGUACUAUAAUACGGAAAUAAGGAUAAGAAGACGAGGCUGGUAGAUCAUUUUUCUUCUACCUUCGUCUUUCUUGCAUGUGAAGCCCUAUAAAUCCUUUUGUAGAUAAUUUUAACGAAGUCUACGUCGCAUCCAUUAGCAUUUCUCAUACGAAAUAUAGAGAAACUAUAAAUAAUGCGAAGUCAAAGUGAUAAACUUAGGGUAUAUUGUUUAUUAUAUGUAUAAUAUAAGUUGGUAUAAUAGAACAUAGUGCACUGGCAGCAGUUAGAAAACCACAACGGAUGCAAGAGAAGGCGUAGACAUGAUUUGAACUGCCCUUAAAACUUGAAAUAUGAAAAUAUAUAAAUAUAUAAUGAAAGCGAAACCAAAUCAAUGCUAGAUUAACGAAACGUGUUCCAUUGUUCAGUAGAUGGUGGUUCUUCAAGUCCUUCCCUCUCCUUUAUUUGGACACGUUGUUUAUUUCCUGAAAAGCACAGCACAUGCAUUUAUAUUAUUAGUUUGUAAAGACAUGUAAUUAACAAAACGAUAAACUUUUCACGUUACAUAUAUGAAUGCAGGAAAAUUAAAAAAAAAGGGUAGUUUAUCACUUAAUUUACAAAAAAAAGAAGAAAGAAAGAUAGUUGACUUAAAAUUUAUAGAAAUAGUAAGAUGUAAUCACUCUUGACGACUUUUUAAUGGUAUUCGUCAUGAAUACUCACGUCUUCUUUAUAAAAUUUUGAAAAGGUAAAAUCGUCAUGAGUUAUGACAAUUUCUUUGUUUGAACGAAAAUCGUCAAAAGUGGUGAUGUAUUUUAAUUUCACUAAUUAAUUAGAAACUGUUAUCAUUACUAACGAUAGCUAGGUUAUAUGUAGGUGCACAAUCUUCAAUUUUGCAUCUCAUCACCAUUUAAUCAACGGAGUGUGUUGCCCUCCUACCAUCCUACAAUAUUUUCUUUCAAGUGUAGAACUUCCACCCUAAAUCCAUCAUCAAGGUAUGAUAUGUUAUCUAUGCACAUGGUCCUUCCCAACAAAUUCUUUGUGAUUUUUCAAUGCUUUAUGUUUGAACCUCUAGACAUGCAAAAUCAUCCAUCAAUGACACAUCCUAUCACUUUUUCCUCUAAUUGUUUAGCUUAUAGUCAUAUGCAUAGUACAACUUAUGGCUUCUCAACUACACAAGUAUGUGAACCAAUCUGAUCCACCAAACCUGAUAGCCCUAUGAUUAGUUGGGCUAGCCCAACAGGUCGACUUCAUUAAAACAAUUCAAAUACGAUAGCCUGACCAAACUUUGAUACAACUCGACCAAGGUUUAAUACAAGUCGACCAAGGAAUAAUACAACUUGGUUAAGGUCUAAAACAACUCGACCAAGGUCUCAAAACAGUUUAAACAACAACUUAUUUCGGCCCUUUUAAGCCUGGAUUCAAUGUCGCAACUUGACUGCAGUCGGGUCAAGUUAUAGAGUUGUAAUACAUAAAACAUAUAAAAGUUAAAUUUGUUUGUUCUCGAUUUACAUAAAUGGUUUUGUUGCUUUUAUUAUUGUAUUAUGUUUUGGAAUAAUGAAUGACAAUUUUCUUUCUGCGGUUAAACCCUUCAUCAUGGCACAUAAUCCACGAUUGUGGGCGAGAUCACUGUGAAUGUCGUCACCACUAUGGACAACAACCUAUAAAUUAAAAAUUGUCACCACUCUUGACAACUUUCAUUCAACAUAUUUAUAAAGAAUGAGUCGUGGCGACAUCAUCUUUUCAGAAUUUUAUGAAGAAGUUGUUAGAACUGAGUAUGUUUUCAAUUGGAAAGUCGUUAUGACUCAUGACGACUUACCCUAUUUUUGUAAAUUUUAAGCCAACUACCUCAUUUUUGUAAACUACGAGAUAAACUACUCCAUUUUUGCAAAUUUUCCAUGAAUGAAUCUUCAAAUGAAAACAAUUAUAGGGUUUUAUGAAAAUCAUACCAAAUAACAAUCUAGAGGUUGUGAUGAUGAGGAGGAGGUGGACUAUAAUAGUAUGGAGGUGGAGGUGACUUUUUAGGGUAAAUUGGUGGUGGUGGAGAAGGGACCGGGUAGCGCGGUGGUGGAGGGGGUGACUUAUAGUAUGGUGAUGGAGGUGGUGGAUAUAGUUCCCAAAGGGGUGGGGGUGGGCGUGGCCGAUAAUAUGAAGGUGGCGGAUGUGAGUCCCUGUAGGGUGGUGGUGGGGGUGGUGGGGACUUAUAGUAAUGUGAAGGGGGCGGAGGAGGAGAGUAGUUCUUCGGAGGUGGUGGAGAAUAGGAGUUCUUGGGAGGUGGUGGUGGAGGAGGAUAGUAGUUCUUCGGAGGUGGUGGAGAAUAGGAGUUCUUGGGAGGUGGUGGUGGAGGAGGAUAGUAGUUCUUCGGAGGUGGUGGAGAAUAAGAGUUCUUGGGAGGUGGUGGUGGAGGAGGAGAGUAGUUCUUCGGAGGUGGUGGAGAAUAGGAGUUCUUGGGAGGUGGUGGUGGAGGAGGAGAAUAGUUCUUCGGAGGUGGUGGAGAAAAGGAGUUCUUGGGAGGUGGUGGUGGGGGAGGAGAGUAGUUCUUCGAAGGUGGUGGAGAAUAGGAGUUUUUGGGAGGUGGUGGAGAAUAAGAGUUCUUGGGAGGUGGUGGUGGAGGAGAAUAGUCCUUGGGUGAGAAUGGGGGUGGUGGUGACUUAUAGUAUGGGGUAGGGGGUGGUGGUGGGGGUGAAGGUGAGUUAUAAUAUGGUAGUGGUGAUGGAGGAGAAGAGUCCUUGGGUGGGGGUAGGGGUGUUGGCAAGUUAUAGUAUGGUGAAGGUGUUGGUGAGUUAUAGUAUGGUGAAGGAGCUGGUGGUGAGUUAUAGUAUGGUGAAGGGGAUGGUGGUGAGUUAUAAUAUGGUGAAGAGGCUGGUGGUGAGCUAUAGUAUGGUGAAAGGGUUGGUGGUGAGUUAUAAUAUGGUGGUGUGGGUGAGGGUGAGUUAUAGUAGGGUGAUGGGAGUGGGGGUGAGUUAUAGUAGGGUGGCGGAGGUGAGUUAUAGUAUGGUGGUGGGNNNNNNNNNNNNNNNNNNNNNNNNNNNNNNNNNNNNNNNNNNNNNNNNNNNNNNNNNNNNNNNNNNNNNNNNNNNNNNNNNNNNNNNNNNNNNNNNNNNNNNNNNNNNNNNNNNNNNNNNNNNNNNNNNNNNNNNNNNNNNNNNNNNNNNNNNNNNNNNNNNNNNNNNNNNNNNNNNNNNNNNNNNNNNNNNNNNNNNNNNNNNNNNNNNNNNNNNNNNNNNNNNNNNNNNNNNNNNNNNNNNNNNNNNNNNNNNNNNNNNNNNNNNNNNNNNNNNNNNNNNNNNNNNNNNNNNNNNNNNNNNNNNNNNNNNNNNNNNNNNNNNNNNNNNNNNNNNNNNNNNNNNNNNNNNNNNNNNNNNNNNNNNNNNNNNNNNNNNNNNNNNNNNNNNNNNNNNNNNNNNNNNNNNNNNNNNNNNNNNNNNNNNNNNNNNNNNNNNNNNNNNNNNNNNNNNNNNNNNNNNNNNNNNNNNNNNNNNNNNNNNNNNNNNNNNNNNNNNNNNNNNNNNNNNNNNNNNNNNNNNNNNNNNNNNNNNNNNNNNNNNNNNNNNNNNNNNNNNNNNNNNNNNNNNNNNNNNNNNNNNNNNNNNNNNNNNNNNNNNNNNNNNNNNNNNNNNNNNNNNNNNNNNNNNNNNNNNNNNNNNNNNNNNNNNNNNNNNNNNNNNNNNNNNNNNNNNNNNNNNNNNNNNNNNNNNNNNNNNNNNNNNNNNNNNNNNNNNNNNNNNNNNNNNNNNNNNNNNNNNNNNNNNNNNNNNNNNNNNNNNNNNNNNNNNNNNNNNNNNNNNNNNNNNNNNNNNNNNNNNNNNNNNNNNNNNNNNNNNNNNNNNNNNNNNNNNNNNNNNNNNNNNNNNNNNNNNNNNNNNNNNNNNNNNNNNNNNNNNNNNNNNNNNNNNNNNNNNNNNNNNNNNNNNNNNNNNNNNNNNNNNNNNNNNNNNNNNNNNNNNNNNNNNNNNNNNNNNNNNNNNNNNNNNNNNNNNNNNNNNNNNNNNNNNNNNNNNNNNNNNNNNNNNNNNNNNNGAGGGUGAGUUAUAGUAGGGUGAUGGGAGUGGGGGUGAGUUAUAGUAGGGUGGCGGAGGUGAGUUAUAGUAUGGUGGUGGGGGUGGGGGUGACUUAUAGUAUGGUGGUGGGGGUGGGGGUGACUUAUAGUAUGGUGGUGGGGGUGGUGACUUUUGUGGCUUCUUGGGAGGUGGCGGAGGUGGUGGCCUAUACUUAUGACGUGGAGGUGGAGGAGAACGAUGGUGAUGGUGAUCGUGAUCGUCGUCAUCGUCAUGAUCGUGAUCGUGAUCAUCAUCGUCGUCAUGAUCGUGAUCGUCAUCGUCAUCAUGAUCAUGAUCGUGAUCAUUGUCCCUAUCAUUUGAGGUUGCAAUUGAUAAGGUGAGAGAACAUGUCACCAGGAGAAGAACAACGGUGACAAAAGUAAAUAGUGACCUCAUUUUCAUCCUAAACUUUUUCCUAUUCCGAAAGGCUUUUUUGAUUGUGCUACUACUAAAGCUUCCGUCUCUCUUAUAUAGUUGCUUAAUCAAUCAUGCAAACUAUAUAGCUAGUAUGUACGAGUAACGCUUUCACAAUUAAUGAAUGUAAAAAAUACCAUUUGAAAACUCUUAAUUUAAUAAAUUGAAUAAUAUAUAUAACACUGACAAACCCUUUAAUGUUUUCACGUUGCACUUAACUGGUUUCUUAUUUUCCAUAAAUCUCUCUCAGAAUACAGUGAAUUUUAUCAAACAAAUUAAACAGAUAUACAGUAACUUAUAAGACAUGUUAGUGUAUUUGUUUUUAACAUAAUUAAAGGAAUUAACAUACGAAAAAGAAAAGAGAGAUUCUCUAAACUAAAAAGUACGAUGAUGUUUUCUUUAUAAAUGUUUGAAACUAAAUUUGAUGCUUAGUUAUAUAUAUUUAGUAUAAUUUUCUUUUAUAUUAUACUGUAACAUUCCAAAAAUUACAAAUAUAACUAUAUUAUUAAGUGAGCAAGAGUGUUUGUAUUUGUUAGAUAUAACUUUUAAGAUGGCUAAUAAAUUUAUAAUAUAUAUGUAUAUGUAACCUUAUAAUUUAAUGAUAAAAUGUUAUAUUAACCUCAUAUAUACUAUUUACAACUCUUAAUUAACAAAAUAAAGUUGAAAGUAUCAAUUAGCAACUUCUAGCUCAAUGAAUGAUAGAGUUACUUACACAUGCACUUUAUGAAUGAAGAAAAAGAGAAAAGAAGAAGAAAAAAACAUAAAAUUACAAAUAACUUAUGCGUGUUUAUUCUCUCAAUGUUUCAAAUUUGUAGUUUUUGUAACAAGUGUAUAAAAAAUCUUCAUUAGUUAUUAAGAGAAUUUGAUAAUUUUAAUUGAAAAUAAGUGUAAAUAGAUUUUAUCCCUGUUAAUGUACGUCGGUAAAAUAUGUGUAAAUGGUGAGGUAGAUUGGUUAUAGUAGUUCUUGUUUGGACCAAUCGGUUAAUAGGUAGUAAAUUAAUAGUAACGUUGACAUUAACCUUAUUUUCUUUAAAGCUUUAAAGAAAACAAACCACACGUUAACGAAUUUUAUAGAUAUUUAGUCAAAUUAAAUAUGUAUUCCUAAAUUUAAUAUAUGUAAUAUCCCUUAAUUAUUAUUUAAGACAAAUUACUAACAAUUAUUUAAAACUUAGUUAAAUUAUUUUAGAUUAUUCUUAUACAUACUUAAUUAGAUUACAAAUGAAUUCUUUCUUUGUGAAAAUUAUCAAAAUUUAUCUCGAUUUUAAUGAAAAAUCUUUAUAUUUAAUAAGAAUAUGAGUAUGAAUAAUAUUUGAUAUUUUAAAUUAGAUAUAGAGAUGGUGUGUAUAUAUCUCUCUCGUCUCCUUCCCCAUAUAUAAUCAUUUCGUGCAUUAAAACAUGUGCAAUGUAUUCAGAAAUGAUGUAACAAGUACAAACUCAAUAUGUAUACAUUCACAUAGCAAUACAGCACAUAAACAUGUUCAACAAAUAUAUCAAAUAUUUAGCAUAAGAACAUGUAACACACCAACAACAUAAACAUGUAAUACACCAACAACAUAUGUGUUUUAUUAAGCAAUGUGUUGUCAUCAUCAAAAACCAGAGUGAUAUAGAUAUUGUGUUGUCAACAAUCUCAGUAGCCGAGAGUCAUUUGUGAUCGUUCGGUCUUUCAAGUGUGUUCGGUCUAAACUGAAUUCCCCUUCUAUAGAGUUUUUCAGUUAAUGACUAAUUAUGUAUAAUGGAAAAUAAUGUUCGAUCUAAGUAUAGUUUUCUAUUUUCACUUAGUAGUCAGCCUAGAUAAGGUGUUCUAUAUAGUUUAAACCUUCGACAUUAUAAUUAUUCUCAGUUUAUAAAUAAUGUUCUGUUAUUUCAGUGAUCGAUCCUACUUGUACAUUUGGUAUAAGUUCAGAGUGCUUGGUCUUGCAUUAGUACUUGGUUUCUUAGUAGUGCUCGAUCUUGCACUAGUAGUGCUUGGUCUUGUACUAGCAAUCGAUUUCUUAAGUAGUGCUCGGUCUUGUACUAAGCACUCA